rnacentral:lncRNA from 1 species
UUUGUUAUCAUCUAUAUCAAUGGCUUAAUUGCAUUUUUAGCGUCCCCAUGAGCUUAACUCAUUUGGUAAUGGUUAAUGCACAAUAUGUGCAGGGGUCGGAGUUCGAACCCCGAACACAAUUAUCGUUUAAAUAAAAGAUUUGGCAAAAGAAUUCAAUGACAGUACAUUAUUAAUGAGAAGUGAAUUUUAAAUAUACAUCAUAUAAUAUCAUGAGUACAAUAUUAAUUAUUUAUAUAACUCAUGUAAUUUUUCUUGUUAAAACAAGAAACUACAAAUAAAGGAGAAUCAAGUACCAAUAUAAAUGUCUCAAACUAAAAAAAGUACCAAAAUAAAUAAAUAAAUGUCGAUUGCUCUAGUCUCUUCAUAAGAAAUGGAUGACUACAAACGUGAGAGAUAAGAGUUAGUAGGGAAAUGAUAUACUACAAUUGGAGCUCCCUUUGAUUUUUCCUUACUCUUUUGUUUCUCUAAAGAUGAAGAUUUCAAUUUAGAUGAUUUUUCAUCAUAAUCAGAAACUUGAGAUGAUGAGUUUGAAGAAUGGCCAAAGCAACUUAAAAUGGAUGAAAUCAAAGCCAUAAAAAAAGUGAUUUAAUUUGCACUUUGAAGUGGGUUUUUUGUUUAUGUAAGUGUGCAAAGCUGAAAUGAUUUAGUUGUGGGUUGAACUUCAUGUAAUUAAUAACUUGAUCUAUUUAUAGAGUUAUCAUUUCAUAUCAUAUGAGAUAUGAUGAUAGUCAAAUUGCUUGGCGACCAAGCAGAACCUAAAUGGGACCACUUUGAAAAAAAUUCAUUUGUGGCUGCUUUGGACACUUGUUAAUCUCGUACAUGUUGCUUCGUUUGUCCUUUUCAAAGCUAUGUUUGGGAAUAUUCGGUUUUGCUGCUCUAGCGAAAUUCUACCUACAGUACACACUUUUUGAUCUUGGUCACAGGUUGAACGGUUAAGAUUGAAACAUGUGUUUUUUAAUUAAAACAAUCACAACCAUACAAUUUUGAUCAGACAACCAAUAUUAAUUACAACACUCUGUUGUAAUAGCAGGGAAUCCUAUUCCCUUUAUUUGGUGCAUGGAACAGAUGCCUGGCUUGGGGAGGAACUAGUCGUGGUCUUAGCCUAUAUUUUGUAUCCGAUAAAUAUGUUAAAAUAAUGGCGACCCAUCGUUCAAGGCCAACAAUGGUCUCCCCCUAGUUUUAGGUCGGGGAGGACCAGUUGGUUGACGCUCAAUUCACAUGAAGAAGUUUGAUAUCCCACCAGUGAUGACGUUGGCCGUAGGAAACGGUUCCCAUGUACAUGAAUAUGGAGUUAUAUCCACAUGCUCCACGAAUUCAUCCAGCUGCUCUACGGACAUAGCGACCACUAUGUCCUUAUUUUUCUUGUCGGUGAUUAAUUUGACGGUCUGCUUCUCAGGCUCGGGGUUCUUGGUCAACUGAUUGAGCCGACCUCGUUGUAUGAGGAUUUCAAUGGUAUCCUUCAGAUGGAUGCAGUCAUCAGUCAAGUGUCUAUGACACUUGUGGAAUCGGCAAUACUUUGUUUUAUCGGUUCCCUUAUUUUCUUGAGUAGGAGUUUUUGGCGGGUUUGAUCCCAACUUCUUUCAGAUCGGUAAUUGCAAUCUAAGCUAGGAUUUUUUUUCCCUGGACAACGCCAAGGACAUGUAUUCCGUGAAGCGACCGACGGGUCCCUCGCCUUCACGGGCAGGCUUUCCUUCCUUCUUUUUCUCUUGGAAUGGCUUUUUGGAAGAUUCAAAAGCAUGUUCUUCCUUCCUGGAUUUGUUGAGGCUGUCUGUGUGUAGCUCCUCCUCGUACCGUAUGUACGUCUUGGCGAUCGCUAGGAACUCAUUUAGAGUCCUUGGACGAUCGAGCUGGACAACCUUUUUCAUGUAUGUGUCUGCACGUAGAACUUUUGCAAUGAGAUACUUUUUCAUUAACUCGUCAGCACCUCGUACUUGCACAAUUUCUUUAUUGAACCUCUCGAUGUAAUCUCUGAUAGGUUAGCUCUUCCCUUGCGCUAUAGCUUCGAGGUACACCAUAGUUUUGAGUUGGGUCCUUGAAGCAGUGAAAUGAGCAGUGAACUCAUGGCACAUAUCGUCCAAUGAGUCAAUAUAAUUCAUCCUUAGGUUCUUGAACCUUGUCAUGGCUCCUCGUCGUAGGGUGGUAACGAAGAGCUUACAUUUCACGGCGCCCCGCACGUGUCUGUACGUGAGGACAACCUCAAUGUUCUCGAUAUGCUCGUCCGGAUCGAUCGUCUCGUCAUAAGAGCUCAAAUUUUCGAAUUAUUGUUUAAAUAGAAGAUUUGGCAAAAGAAUUCAAUGACACAGUACAUUAUUAAUAAGAAGUGAAUUUUAAAUAUACAUCAUAUAAUAUCAUGAUAGUAUACAAAUUAAAGAAAAUCAAAUACCAAUAUAAAUGUCUCAAACUAAAAAUGUACCAAAAUAAAUAAAUAAAUGUCGAUUGCUCUAGUCUCUUGAUAAGAAAGUGGAUGCAGAUUAAUACUGCAUGACUACAAACGUGAGAGAUAAGAGUUAACAGGGAAAUAAGAAACUACAAUUGGAGCUCUCUUUGAUUUUUCUUUGCUCUUUUGUUUCUCUAAAGAUGAAGAUUUCAAUUUAGAUGAUUUUUCAUCAUAAUCAGAAACUUGAGAUGAUGAGUCUAAAGAAUGGCCAAAGCAACUUAAGAAGGAUGAAAUCAAAGCCAUCAAAAAGUGAUUUAAUUUGCACUUUGAAGAGGGUUUUCUGUUUAUGUAAGUGUGGAAAGCUGAAAUGAUUUAGUUGUAGGUUGAACUUCAUGUAGUUAACUUGAUCUAUUUAUAGAUAUCAUAUGAGAUAUGAUAAUAGUCAAAUUGCUUGGUGACCAAGGAAAACAUAAAGGGACCACUUUGGAAAAAAAAAUAAAAAAAAUAAUUUGUGGCUGCUUUGAACACUUGUUAAUUAGAAUCAAAAUGUUGUUUCGUUUGUCUUUUUCAUUGCUUAUUUGGUGCCUGCAAUAUGGUUAUGAGGAACAAGUCAAGGUCUAAGUAUGAUUGACCAUCGCCAAACAAUUUUCUUUAAGAGAGUACAUCAAGUAUUAUUUAUACAUUGUUGAUAUUAUACUACUAACUUACGUUACAUCGGACCUGGAUCCUCUGCUGUAACCGCUUUAUGCAGUUUCACGCAGUGGUUAAUCUCAGCCAUAAAACAUUGAUCUAACAGUUCAUAUUUGUUCUGCUAAUUUUCACACAGUUUAAUUUCAGCCACUUAUUGUUGAUCGGACGGGUCACACGCCUUACAACAUCAUGCUGUUACAGCAGGAAAUCUACUUCCAACUAACGUCUACUAUCUUAGAAUUGUACUACACUAUUGUGACUUGUACUACAAGUUACUACUAUCUCAUUUCAUUUGUUUUCUUCAUGGUGCAAUACAUGGAACUAAAAGUAAAAAAAGUAAGAUGAACAAUUAUUGCACAAAUAAAGUUUGAAUGAUAGAGCAAAUAAUUAAAUACGUUCUUGAGUUAUGUAAAAUAAUAAUAAUUGAUUUUGUCAAAUUUUACUCAUAUGGGUCAUUCUAAGAGUCAAAGAUCAAAUUUUAUGAUAAGUUAAUAAUUAAAUAAGAGUCAAAGAUCAAAUUUUAUGAUAAGUUAAUAAUUAAAUUGUAGAUAAGUGGUUAAAUAUAGAGAUCAACUUGAUGAUUAAUGGCGUCAAACACAUUUUUAAAAUAUUUAUGAUCUCAAACUUAUUUGAGGGUGCCUUACAAAGUUAAAGACUAGCUUGAUGAUUUAGUUAUUAUACUAGGCCACAUUUAGGAUAAUAUUAAAAGAAUUUUUAGGGAGUAUUCCACAACUCGACACGUACCAUCCAGUCCUUGUAGUAACCGUCAACUAUGGAUUUAGAGCGGGUAUAUCAAGAGACAAAUGUAUUUAGAGACGGAUUCAGAGACAAAUGUAUUUAGAGGUGAAAUUUGAGAUGGAAGAUGAAUGUUUUCGUUAAUAACUCAUGAAAUGUAUUUAAUAACCAAUUACAGUCAUUAACACAAAGGUAAAAUCAGUUAAAUCUAAUCUAUGGUGGUUUUUAUCAUAUAUUAACGGUUCUUUUUUCCACUUACCAUGGUCUAAAUAUAAAACGUGCAAUUUUGACCCCUUAACUUUAUUUCCUUUGGAUUUACCACCUCCAACUUGGCAAAUUGAGGUAAUAUCGAUUUUUUUUUUUACACUUAGCAUGGUCUAAAUGGACAAGGUGAAAAUUAGUUAUUAUUAAAAUAAAAAAUGUUUUCCUAGGCAACACGUACCCAUUGUUCCAACCCAUCCUGUUGAAAAUAUAUUUUUUCAAAUUUGAUGAUUGAAGGUUCGACAUAAAUUGUGGCAUGAUUUGGUAAAACUGGGGCAUGAUUUUGGUUAAGAAUUUUAAGUCUGUCUCGACAAUUUUCGUAGCACGAAGAGGUGAAAUUUCGUGACACGAUUUUGUGUAUGGGGGUGUACGUGGGCUAGUUUGGGUUGGGUUUGGCCAAACCCAGAACCUAAACCAUAUAGGGUGCUCCAGUUUGGGUGAGGUAAAAUAAACAUCCAUUAUACCAUUGUGUUGGUUUGGGCAAACCCGUUAAUUUCUGGGUUGGGUUGGAUUGGGUAAUGGGUUACCCAACUUAUUUUUUCUUUUUUUUUAGUAGAAAAUUGCAUUUUUGACAUAAAAAACUUCAUAAAGACACAAGUAAAAUAAUUUAUUGCCCCUAACGGUAGUUAACUAUCGUUGGUAUAACCGCCGACAGUUAACUGCCGCUGUGACUCAGCGGUUGUUAACUGCCGUUGCUUUUUCCCCCCCAAAACCAGAAAAGCCAUACCUCAUAUUCACUUAUCACCUUACCAUUCCACAAAAAAUCCCCAUUUCAAAAAUCUUUUGUCAAAAUCUUUGUUUCAAAUCAUUGCUGAUCGAUUGCUAGGACGUUUCUACGCACAAUAUGCAUCAAAUAACAUGUAUUUCAACGUUAAACACCAUUACAUUUGAUUGAUUUUUGCUGUUUUUUUUUUCUACUGUCACGAGAUUUAGCGGCAGUUAACUACCGUUGGGAGUGAGUGGCUAUUAACUGCCGCGGGAUACUUAGAAAAUUUUCAAAUGGCAGUGCCACUGGCAAAAAAAAAAAAAAAAAAAAAAUUCAAUUUUUUUUUCCUUUUGUUUUUUUUUGUUUGUUUAUGUUAUUAUAUGAUAUUAGAUACAUGUUUAUUAAUUAGUUUACAAAUUAUAUGUUGUUUAUUUAUAGAUGCAGAUGAUGAUCCGGGUGAUCGAAAAUCUAGUGUUGUCGAUUCCGUUAAGGUUGAAGCUCCCAUUAAGUUCGAAGCUUCUGUGAAGAUUUAAGCUUCCGUUAAAGUAGAGGCUUCAAGCGUCAAUUCCGAUGUGUGUAAACUUCGUGACAACGAAGUGGACACGGCUCAUUUCUUUUCGACACGAGAUACAUGGAAAGAUAAAGAGGAAUUGCUCGGUUGGGUCCGUCAACAAGCAAAAGGGAUGGAUUUAUGGUUAUCAUUAGAAGAUCUUGUGAAGGUAGAAAUGCUAUGUUGGAGUUGGUUUGUGAACGAGCGGCGAACACAAAGUACCAAAUAGAAAAGUGAAGCAUGAAGCAACGAGAUCAAGAAAAUGUGGGUGUUUGUUCAAGGUGCGUGGAUAUGUCGUGAGGGAAAAGAAUGCUUGGAAAUUGACCAUUCUUAAUGGCGUUCACAACCAUGAGAUGGUGCGGUAUGUAGCAGGGCACCUUCUUGCCGGAAGAUUAAUGGAGGAUGACAAGAAGAUUGUACAUGGAGAGCCAGCCAAAGUUGUCGGAGAUUUGCAGUUUAGGACCGUUGGUUUUUCAAUUAUUUUACUUAUGGUUUUUCAAUUAUUUUACUUAUGUAUAUAUAUAAGUAAAAUAGGGAAAUUGGGGUCAAUCAUUUUCAGAAUUUUUACACUCGAAUUAUCUAAAUCAUUGAGAGAAAAGAGUAACAAGAAUGUAUAUACAUUGUUUGAUGAACCAUUUUUAUUAAAUGCAAUGCAAGUUUAUUUCCUUUAAACUUUCUUACUUUUACCUUUGAAGUUUAAGUAUUCUUUUAAAAGUCCUAAAAUAUUGUUUAAUUGUGUCGAAUUAAACUUUGAUCUUCAUCUUCUUCAUGUUUCAUCUCAAGAACAUGAUGAAUAUUCAAACAUUUUUUGAAAAAACAUUACACAUCAUGUCCUAGAAUUUUUAGUUUAAUCGUGCAAGUAACAUUUUAAAACUAGCGUCUUAUUUAUCGGAAACAAUUAUAAACAAUUGGCAUGUCUAGAGGAACAUUCUUGUGCAAUUUUUUGGAAAGAAAAUUCCAUUGGUUGAAAAAUUUUUCUAAGAGUGUUGAUAAGACUUCUUUCAUAAACUAAUUUCUGGGAAAGUUUUUUCAAGUGUGUCGAUAGAUUUUUUUAAGAAGGUUUUCAUUUGUGUAUGCGUUUAAGAAGUGACAAUGUCCUUCCAAAAAUGGCUCGUCCUAAUUCAACAAAUAAUUCAUCUGCAUCAAAUACACAAAGUAACGUUCAAACCACGCAAAAACAAUCAACCCAGACGCCAGUUUCGACAGUUAGAUGCGUCAAUGUGUCAACUGCUAUGGGAGUAACUUAUCCCGUGUCAUUUUCAACGGUUAGUGACGCCGAUGUUUUUUUUUCCUGAGUUGGGACAGGAGUUGUAGCUCUGCUCUUUGCUUACAUACGCUCAGUAGGCCACUGGUAGCUAUUAACAACUAUAGAUUCUACAAGAUCAUAACACUCUUUAUAGGACUUUCUCAAUAGUGCACCUCCUGAAGAGGCAUCUACCAUAAGAUUUGUUGAUGGAACAAACCCAUUGUAAAAGGUUUUCAUUUGAAUGCAUACACGUAUCCCAUGAUGAGGACACCUUCUCAACAGAUCUUUAAACCUUUCCCAUCCUUCAAAGACUGUGUUUCUUCAUUUGUUUGCCUGAAAGAGUUUAUCUCAUUCCUCUUUCGAGCAUUGGAGGAAAAUGUUUGACUAAGAACUUCUCAUCAAGUUCUCUUUAUUUGUUGUCACAAUUUUUAAGAUAAGAUUUUCAUUUUAAAUUUCUUAACAACGUCCUUAGAGCACUUGUUAACAUUUUUCUUAAAAUUAUGCUUGUUACAUAAGAACAGGUACAACUUCAACUACUUAAAUAAUUCAUAUCAAGAGCCCAGAGGUGGUUCUAAGAUUUCCAAUUAAUUAUUUGCUUUAGUUUGCAUACAAUCUUUUUCGAAUUAUUGUUUAAAUAGAAGAUUUGGAUGAAGAAUUCAAUGAUUGUAAAUGAUUAAUGAAGUGAAUUCCAAAUAUACAUAUCAUCAUAUAAUAUCAUGAUAGUACAACAAUAUUAACUAUUUAUACAACUCAUGUAAUUUUUCUCGUUAAAACAAGAAACUACAAAUAAAAGAAAAUCAAGUACCAAUAUAAAUGUCUCAAACUAAAAAAAGUACCAAAAUAAAUAAAUAAAUGUCGAUUGCUCUAGUUUCUUCAUAUUGGAUGACUACAAACGAGAGAGAUAAGAGUUAGCAGGGAAAUGAUAUACUACAAUUGGAGCUCCCUUUGAUUUUUCCUUACUCUUUUGUUUCUCUAAAGAUGAAGAUUUCAAUUUAGAUGAUUUUUCAUCAUAAUCAGAAACUUGAGACGAUGAGUCUAAAGAAUGGCCAAAGCAACUUAAGAAGGAUGAAAUCAAAGCCAUAAAAAAAGUGAUUUAAUUUGCACUUUGAAGUGGGUUUCUUGUUUAUGUAAGUGUGGAAAGCUGAAAUGAUUUAGUUGUGGGUUGAACUUCAUGUAAUUAACUUGAUCCAUUUAUAGACAUCAUAUCAUAUCAUAUGAGAUAGGAUGGGAUGAUAGUCAAAUUGCUUGGCGACCAAGGAGAACAUAAAUGGGACCACUUUGAAAAAAAAAUUCAUUUGUGGCUGCUUUGGACACGUGUUUGAAAAUCUCAUUUGAAUGCAUACAUGACUUAAUCAUCAAGUCAUGUAUUCUACAUGUUGUUUCCUCUGUCCUUUUCAAAGCUUUAUUUGGUGCUUGCUUGGGGAAGAACUAGUAAUGGCAGGAUCGGUACUAAAUUUUGUGUCAUUCGCGAAUCAAUAAAAUUUUAACUUUUUAACUAAGGUCUUGUUAACCAGGAUAAUGAUUAAGAAAUUUACAAAUAAAAAUUUUAUCUUUUUUUUUUCUUUUUAAUAUAAGAUACUCCCUUCGAUUCUAUUUAACUUUUUAGAUUCAUUGAGUAAUUGAUGUAUUUUAUCUAAAAUAUACCAAACACAUUAUUUAUACAAUGAAUCAAAAAAGUCAAAUGUUUCUUAUAAAUAGGACCGGAGGGAGUAUUCUUUUUUAUUAAGUAAUUAGUACACAUCUUUUUCAUAAAAAUUUACUCCAUCCGUUCACAUUUAUAAGCAAAAAAACAAUUUUUUAGGUACAUUGAAUAACUUAUGUAUUAGACAUAUAAAUGUGACCAAAUGUAUUGGAUGUUUAACCAAUGUCCUUGGGACACUAGUUAUCAUUUUCCUUUUAAUUAUUUAAAUGUCUCUCUUUUUGUAUUUUUUGUUGUAAAAGGUUCAUUAAUAAUCAAGGUUCUCUGAAAACAUAUUUUCAGUAGAGUUUAAUCAAACAGAGUUAAAAGAAAAUAUACCUAUAUAAUACUAACUAUUACGUAAAAAUCAUAAUUUUGGUGCCUUUUAAAAAAUGGUGUCCUGAACUAUCGUCCUUCCUAUCCACCCUCACGGUCACCCUUGAGUCGUGGUCUUAGCCUAUAUUUGAUAUCCGAUAGAUAUUUUAAAAUCACGACGAUCCACCAUAUUAAGGAUAAGACUCUGUCUCCGGUGCAUGACCCAUCCAUGCCUCCCACCGUAACAAACCUCAUAUUUUUUUUGUUUUUUUUUUUCUUUCUGCAAAAUGAAUAAGUGUCAUUGGAUUAAAUCCAAUAGUUGAGUAAAAAAAAGAUAAAACUGACACUUUUGUUAUUUCAUUAUUUAAUUAAGGGUGUUUUAGUAAAAUUGUUAAACCUUUGCUUCCACCAUCUUUUUUUUCUGUUAGCAACAGAGCAAAUUACCUAUUUUGGUUGCAUAAAAGUCAGUAGCGGUUAGGACUCUUUGAAUCCCCCCUAUUUAUUUUGUUGGAUAUUAAAUAACAUUCAUGUCACGUUUAAUUAUCUUAAAUAGACUAUGCAACUGAUGAGGUCGUUGUGACGUUCCUACCUAGUCGGUUGUCAAGCUGCACCCGCUGAUCGCAAGGUGAUCUUUACGUGCAGGAUCUUGCUAAUUCAAAGGUAAUUGAAACAUAGACUUUAUAAUAGCAUUCCUAAAUUUUCAAAGGCAAGAUGGUCACACUAAGGUUAUACGCGCGCUAUGGUAUUGGGUUAAUAAUCCUAUAGGAUUCUGCCACCUUCAUAAGGAUUAUUAGUGUGGGGUCUGGCUAGUGUUCCUAAAGGUUCUCGAAUCUAUGAAUCUUAGGACACUCAUAGCACACUCUCCUUCUCCCUUUGGUAGUUCUAAAAAUGGGCAGCCCUAUCAGCGUCUACCUUACCAAGAGGUCGAGGAGAUUGGUCUCACUAGGAUCGAUUCACUCCCCUUGGUACUUGUUUCCCUAAUUAAUAACGAGUUACAUCAUAGGUUCAACAGAUUUUACUAAAUAUUAGUAAUGUGACCUCCUAAAUAUUUACUAUUAGGGUCAACUCCCUUUCAGUAUCUUUCGUCUUGUUAUUAACUACUUACUUCCUAGAUAGCUAGUUAUCAGUAUAAAGAUAAAAAUAACAAGAUAUAAGCAUCAUGAUAGUAACAGCAGUAUUAGGUAUUGUCACAACCUAAGUACCUAAUCUAGGGUUGCACUUUGCCGAAAUAAAUUAAUCCUAACAAAACUUAACUGGGUACCAAAAAUAUACAAAAAUAAAACGACAUUAAAUUAAAUAAUUAUCCAAUAAAAUAAAUAGAGGUUCAUCUUAGAACCCUAACCUAUAAUUAUCUAGUUACACAUGAUAACUAAGACAAAAUACAAAAAUAUAAAAAUAUACCCAAGAAAAUAUAGGAGAGGAUAAAAGUCCUCCUUGCCUUCUGUAACAACCGAUUUUUAGCUAGAUUUAUUUAAUUACUUUUAUUAUGUGUUUGUGUGUGAUUAUUUGUGCUUGUGUGUAUUUAAUUGUCAUCGGGUGCAUUUACGUGGAUUACCGUAUUAGAAGGGUAUUUUAGUCAUUUGACGGGUAAGGGUAAAAUAGUAAUUUUGGUGAGAAUUAUUUUAAUAAUUAGUGAGAACCCUUAUUUUACUAAGUUACUAGUGUAGUGAUUAGUUUUUACCGUUAGUGACCGUUGAUUACAUUUUACCGUUAUUAAUUAAAAUAUCGUUUGGAGUGUAGUAAUAUUUUUGGUUUGAAUAGAAAUGGGUUGAGCCCACUAGAAACUAAGUUAAGCCCAUUAGUGGAGAUAACACUAGGGUUGUGUUAGAAGAACCAAUUCAUUCAUUUCACAAACAUUUCUAGAGAGAGGUAGAGAGAGAAAGAGGUGAAGAGAAGAGCAAAAGGGUUUUGGAGAGAAGAACUUGAAGAAAUCCAAUUGGGUAAGCUUAGGAGCUAAAUUGAAGCAAGAGUUUGGGUUAAUCUUCUUCUAAGGUAAGGGGGUUAGUUAUUAUCAUAAUCAUGAUUGUUUUGUUUGCAAUUUUCCUUGUUUUAUGAAAUAGGUUGAUUGGAAUGAAUUGAUAAUUGUUGUUAAAUUCGUGCUCUUGUUUUGGUGAUAAGUUUGAGUAUGUUAAUUGAACGAUAAAUGAAUUGUUGGUGAUGAAAUAACAUGUUCAUAAUGUAUGAAAAUUGGUUGUUAUGAAAUUAUGCUUAAUUGAUGAAUUAUGACAUGUUGUUGUUGAAUUGAGGUGAGAAUCAAGUUUUAAUUGAUGUUAUUGUUGCUGAGACAUGUUGUUGUUUAUGAUUAUGGCUUGGGUGUUCAUAUAUCAUGAUUGUUGGUGAGAAAUAAGAUGUUGUUGGUUGUUUUGCAAAAAUGGGUCAAAUGGUGAUUUUGGUUUAAGAUGAUGUUUGAUUCAAGUGAUUAUAUGUAUUCGAGUGUCUUUUCAUGUUAAGAAACGUUUGGAUACACUUUGGAAUUGAAUUUGGGUAAUGGGAAGUCGAAAAUUGGGAUUUUUGGGGUGAAAAUGGAUUUUUCCCAUAAAACUGAAUUUUUCUGAACUGCGCGAUUCCGCCGGGCGAGCUAAUGGUGAGCAGCUACUGCCUUCACUCGCCAUGGCGAGCAAACAUUCCGCCAGGCGAAAAUGCCCAGUUCCAGCAUCCCCUGUUUCGUGUUCUUGCAUCUUUUUCACCUAUUUCUGUUUUGAAUUGGACUUUGGUGUAAACAUGAAAGUUGUAGAUAAUUUUAUUAGCUUUCUAAUGGCUUGGGUUUGACGUCCAAAUGAUUUUUAGAACUUGAGAUAUGAUUAAAUUACUACACAUGGGUCAUGUGGAUUUUUGUGAAAACUUAUCGUAACUUUUUCUAUGAGCCGUGAAACUUUUCCAAACUUGAUUUCGGGCUUAAUGAAGUAUUUAGAGUGAAUAACUGAGUAUGUAAAUAUGUAAUUGGGAUGUGAUGAUUAUCAUGAGAUGUAUCUUGCUGUCUUACUUGGAAUAUGAGAAUGCUUGAAUUGGUGAACUAUAUGUGAUAGUUGAUGUUGAAUAACAUUGUUGAUUAUUGAUAAUCAUGUUGAUGUGUGAUGAUGAAUACUAUGAUUUAUUUGUGUGGGCAUGUUUUCUUGAUAAUGCAAUGUUGUGGAGAUAAUCAAUAUAAUUGGGUGUUGUCCUAUAUAUUGAGUUGAGAUUGUGAAUUGUUGUCGCAUUAUCGAGUCCUUAUACAUGUCCAUGCAUCAUAGUCGUUGUUGCUGUAAAAGGGAUGACUCUUUUACUUCGAGAUUAUUGUAAGGCAGAUGUGAGCCCUUACAUUCGGUGUGCAAGUGGCAUCGAAAGGUGACGACCUUGUUGAGAUUUGGUACCGCAUGCAUUUAUGUGUCCAUAAGUGCAUAUCAUAGCAUGAGUCCUAUGUGAAUUAUGUGAUUGGUGAUGAAUUGAGAUGAAUGAAUGUUGAUAAUGAUUGUCUAUGAUUGAUGUUGUGAAUGAAUAUUUGUGAUUAGAUAAAUUAUUCAUGUGAUUGAUAUAUGUGGAUACGAACUAUCAAGUGGUGAUGUAAAUAUUUAUGCAUGACUAUUAUUAUUCAAGUACAUGAUAUUAUUUGAUUUGAUUAUUAUCUGGAUUAUGAUAAUGUAAUGCUUACCCCCAGUGGUUUUAACCGCCUACUUGCCUGUAUGGGUGAGUAGACGUUGUGCAGGAGUAGUCUUGGUGAGUCUUUGCGUGGGAUAUCGGGAGCUUCCUCCGAUAUCGGGUCGUGUCGGUUCUGAUCUAGGCUUGUCGUGUCGGUCUAGAUUAGAUUGUUAUAUUUUCCGUUGGAUUAUGAUUUUGUUGAUGAUUACUCGUAUGUUUGGGUUUUGAGAUUUAUCUUUGAGACAUGAUUUAUUUGCUCAUGACAUGUAUAUAUUUGAUCACUCUGAUUUGUAUUCCGCUGUAACUGUUGAGGUUUACAUACAUGUCUAUCGUUUUUUUUUGAAUUUUGAAUGAGACGUAAUCUCUAUUUCUUGAAUAAAUGUAUUAUUCGCAUGUUUAAUUGCUUUAAUAGAAAUAGGAGCGUUGCAAGUUGGUAUCAGAGCCAUGGUUAGUCGUGUUUAGAUUAAUCUUUGUUGUGUUGUUUCUUAUCGGUUAGAUGGUUGUGUAAUGCGAACAUGGCAGGAGGUCGUGAUGAUGCGGCGAUUGCAAAAGCCUUGGCAGCGAUGGCUCAGGUGUUGGCUCAAUCGAAUGAGCAAGCGGCGAUUGGUCGUCGGAAUGAGGGAGAAGUUGAGGAGCGGAGGCUUGAUCGUUUCUUACGAAACAAUCCACCUACGUUCAAGGGAAGGUUCGACCCGGAUGGAGCUCAGACAUGGUUGCAAGGCAUGGAGAGGAUCUUUCGUGCUAUGGUGACUAGUGAUGAUCAAAAGGUGAGGUUGGCUACUCGCAUGCUUGCUGAGGAGGCUGAGUAUUGGUGGACCAAUGCUAAGGGAAGACUUGAGAUUGGUGGAGAGGUUGUGACUUGGACAAGGUUCAAGGCUGAGUUUUUGAGGAAGUACUUUCCAGAGGAUUUGAGGACUAGGAAGGAAGUGGAGUUCCUGAAUUUGAAGCAAGGGAGUAUGUCCGUGGCCGAGUAUGCGGCGAAGUUUGAGGAGCUUGCAAGGUUUUGUCCCUACAUCAAUGCUGAGGAUGCUAUGGUUUCAAAGUGUGUGAAGUUUGAAAGUGGGCUUAGGCCGGACAUCUAUCAGUACAUGUGUGUUCAGGAGAUCCGAGACUUUGAUACUUUGGUGAAUAAGUGUCGUAUGUUUGAUGAUGCUGGGAAGGUUAAGUCUAAUUACUACAAGGCUCAGAAUGAGAAGAAAGGGAAGGGCUAUGGAGUUGGGAAACCUUACAGCAAGGAUAAAGGAAAGAAGAGAGAAUCUGGUGGGGGCUCUAAGCCAAGUUUGGCGGAUGUCAAGUGCUUUAAGUGUGGAGCUAUGGGUCAUUAUGUUAGUGAUUGCAAGAACGAUUUUACUUGUCACAAGUGUGGGAAAGCGGGUCACAAGGCGGCCGAUUGCAGAGGUGUUGCAAGAGAGAUUACUUGUUACAAUUGUGGAGAGAAGGGUCAUAUUAGUACCAAGUGUACCAAGCCGAAGAAGGCGGCGGGAAAGGUGUUUGCUUUGAAUGCGGAGGAGGUGGAGCAGCCGGAUAAUCUUAUCCGAGGUAUGUGUUUUAUCAAUAGUACUCCUUUGAUUGCAAUUAUUGAUACUGGUGCUACUCAUUCUUUUAUCUCGGCUAGUUGUGUUGAACGUUUGGAUUUGGUUGUAACUCCUUUGUUGCGUGGAAUGGUUAUUGACACCCCGGCUAGCGGUUCGGUGACUACUUCUUUUAUGUGUGCUAAAUGUCCUGUUAAUUUUGGUGAUGUUGAUUUUGAGUUGGAUCUUGUUUGUCUUCCGUUGAAGCAUAUGGAUGUGAUUUUUGGUAUGGAUUGGUUGUUAGCUUUUGGGGUUCGCAUUAAUUGUUUGACUAGGAGUGUGACUUUUUCUAAACCGGUAGAAGAGUUAGAUAGGAAGUUUUUGACCGCGGGGCAAGUGAAGAAGUCUUUAGAAGGUGAGGCUUGUGUGUUUAUGAUGUUUGCAUCCUUGAAGGUUAGUGGUGAGACAGGAGUUAGUUAUUUGCCGGUAGUGCAAGAGUUUCCUUAGGUUUUUCCAGAGGAUAUUACCGAGUUACCGCCAGAGAGAGAAGUUGAGUUUGCAAUUGAUUUGGUACCAGGCACGAGUCCUAUUUCGAUUGCGCCGUAUCGGAUGUCUGCAUUGGAGUUGGGUGAAAUGAAGAAUCAGUUGGAAGAGUUGCUUGAGAAGCAGUUUAUUAGACCGAGUGUUUCACCGUGGGGUGCUCCAGUGUUGCUAGUUAAGAAGAAAUAUGGAAGCAUGAGGUUGUGUGUGGAUUAUCGGUAGUUGAACAAGGUGACGAUUAAGAAUCGGUAUCCACUUCCAAGGAUUGAUGAUUUGAUGGAUCAGCUAGUGGGUGCAGAGGUGUUUAGUAAGAUUGAUUUGAGAUCAGGAUAUCAUCAGAUUAGAGUAAAGGCAGAAGAUAUAUCCAAAACUGCGUUCCGAACGAGGUAUGGACACUAUGAGUAUUCUGUGAUGCCAUUUGGAGUAUCUAAUGCGCCAGGUGUCUUUAUGGAAUACAUGAAUAGAAUAUUUCAUCCUUAUCUGGACCGUUUUGUGGUGGUGUUCAUAGAUGAUAUUUUGGUGUAUUCAAAGUCUGAGGAAGAGCAUGCUGAGCAUUUGAGGAUUGUGUUGCAAGUCUUGAAAGAGAACCAGUUGUGCGCCAAGUUGUCUAAGUGUGAGUUUUGGUUGAAGGAAGUGAGUUUCCUUGGUCAUGUGAUUUCUAAGGGUGGUAUUUCUGUGGAUCCUUCCAAGGUUGAUGCAGUGUUGCAGUGGGAGUCUCCUAAGUCUGUUUUUGAGAUUAGAAGCUUUCUUGGUUUGGCCGGUUACUAUCGGAGGUUCAUUGAGGGAUUCUCUAAGUUGGCGUUGCCAUUGACGCAGUUGACUCGGAAGGGACAAGCUUAUGUUUGGGAUGCCAAGUGUGAGAAGAGUUUCCAAGAGUUGAAGAAGAGGUUGACUUCAGCUCCAGUGUUGAUUUUGCCGAAUCCGAAGGAAUCGUUUGUUGUGUAUUGUGAUGCUUCUAAGAUGGGUCUUGGUGGUGUGCUUAUGCAGAAUCGUCAGGUUGUAGCUUAUGCUUCGAGGCAAUUGAAAGUGCAUGAGAAGAAUUAUCCGACUCAUGAUUUGGAAUUGGCGGCAGUUGUGUAUGCAUUGAAGAUUUGGAGGCACUAUCUGUAUGGUUCUAAGUUUGAGGUGUUCAGUGACCACAAGAGUUUGAAGUAUUUGUUUGAUCAGAAAGAGUUGAAUAUGAGGCAGAGAAGAUGGUUGGAAUAUCUUAAGGAUUUUGAUUUUCAGUUGAGUUAUCAUCCCGGAAAGGCUAAUGUUGUUGCGGAUGCUUUGAGUAGAAAGACUUUGCAUAUGUCUGCUUUGAUGGUUAAAGAGUUGGAAUUGAUUGAGCAGUUUCGAGAUUUGAGUUUGGUCAGUGAGUUGACACCUGAUGGUGUGAGGUUGGGUAUGUUGAAGUUGACAAGCAAUAUUUUAGAAGAGAUUAAGAAGGGUCAGAAGGAAGAUUUGGAACUCGUGGACCGAAUGACAUUGGUUAAUCAAGGUAAAUGUGGAGACUUUAGAUUGGAUGAGAAUGGUGUUUUGAUGUUUCGUGAUCGAGUUUAUGUGCCAGAUGUGUUUGAGCUUAAGAGGCAAAUUUUGGACGAAGGUCAUAGAAGUAGUUUGAGUAUUCAUCCAGGAGCAACUAAGAUGUAUCAGGAUUUGAAAAGGUUGUUUUGGUGGCCUGGAAUGAAGAAGGAGAUUGCUGAGUUUGUUUAUUCUUGCUUGGUUUGUCAGAAAUCAAAGAUUGAACAUCAGAGACCGUCGGGUUUGAUGCAACCAUUCUUUGUGCCAGAGUGGAAGUGGGAUAGCAUUUCUAUGGAUUUUGUUGGAGCAUUGCCUAAGACUAGUAAGGGUUUUGAUUCGAUUUGGGUGAUUGUUGAUCGGUUGACGAAGUCAACGCAUUUUGUUCCUAUCAAGACUGGUAUGUCAGUAGCGAAGUUGGCUGAGAUCUACAUUGAGCAGAUUGUUAGAUUGCAUGGUAUUCCUUCUAGUAUUGUGUCGGAUCGGGAUCCGAGGUUUACUUCUAAGUUUUGGGAAGGUUUGCAAGCUGCUUUGGGAACUAAGUUGAGAUUGAGUUCUGCUUACCAUCCUCAGACCGAUGGGCAGACAGAGAGGACUAUUCAAAGUUUGGAGGAUUUGUUGAGAGCUUGUGUUUUGGAGCAAGGUGUCAGUUGGGACGAAUGUUUACCGUUGAUUGAGUUUACUUACAACAACAGUUUUCAUGCUAGUAUCGGAAUGGCACCGUUUGAGGCUUUGUAUGGUCGGAGGUGUAGGACACCGUUGUGUUGGUUUGAGUCCGGAGAGAGUGCUUUGUUAGGACCGGAAGUUGUGCAAGAAACUACGGAAAAGGUUAAGAUGAUUCAGGAGAAGAUGAAGGCGUCUCAGAGUAGACAGAAGAGUUAUCAUGAUAAGAGGAGAAAGGAUAUUGAGUUUCAAGUUGGUGAUCAUGUGUUUUUGAGGGUGAAUCCUGUGACCGGAGUUGGUCGUGCUUUGAAGUGUAGGAAGUUGACUCCUCGUUUUGUUGGGCCGUUUGAUGUCAUUGAGAAGGUUGGGGUUGUAGCGUAUCGGAUUGCGUUACCACCGUCUUUGUCGAAUCUUCAUAAUGUGUUUCAUGUGUCUCAGUUGAGGAAGUAUGUGCAUGAUGCUUCUCAUGUGAUUCAAGUGGAUGAGUUGGAAGUCAGAGAUAAUUUGACCGUUGAGACUUGGCCAGUUAGGAUUGAGGAUCGUGAGUUGAAGCGUUUGCGUGGCAAAGAGAUUGUUUUGGUCAAAGUGAUUUGGGUUGGACCAACCGGUGAGAGUGCCACUUGGGAGCCGGAGAGUAGGAUGAGGGUUUCGCAUCCGGAGUUGUUUCCUUCAGGUAAAUUUUCGAGGGCGAAAAUUCUUUUAGGGGGGAGAGUUGUAACAGCCGAUUUUUAGCUAGAUUUAUUUAAUUACUUUUAUUAUGUGUUUGUGUGUGAUUAUUUGUGCUUGUGUGUAUUUAAUUGUCAUCGGGUGCAUUUACGUGGAUUACCGUAUUAGAAGGGUAUUUUAGUCAUUUGACGGGUAAGGGUAAAAUGGUAAUUUUGGUGAGAAUUAUUUUAAUAAUUAGUGAGAACCCUUAUUUUACUAAGUUACUAGUGUAGUGAUUAGUUUUUACCGUUAGUGACCGUUGAUUACAUUUUACCGUUAUUAAUUAAAAUAUCGUUUGGAGUGUAGUAAUAUUUUUGGUUUGAAUAGAAAUGGGUUGAGCCCACUAGAAACUAAGUUAAGCCCAUUAGUGGAGAUAACACUAGGGUUGUGUUAGAAGAACCAAUUCAUUCAUUUCACAAACAUUUCUAGAGAGAGGUAGAGAGAGAAAGAGGUGAAGAGAAGAGCAAAAGGGUUUUGGAGAGAAGAACUUGAAGAAAUCCAAUUGGGUAAGCUUAGGAGCUAAAUUGAAGCAAGAGUUUGGGUUAAUCUUCUUCUAAGGUAAGGGGGUUAGUUAUUAUCAUAAUCAUGAUUGUUUUGUUUGCAAUUUUCCUUGUUUUAUGAAAUAGGUUGAUUGGAAUGAAUUGAUAAUUGUUGUUAAAUUCGUGCUCUUGUUUUGGUGAUAAGUUUGAGUAUGUUAAUUGAACGAUAAAUGAAUUGUUGGUGAUGAAAUAACAUGUUCAUAAUGUAUGAAAAUGGGUUGUUAUGAAAUUAUGCUUAAUUGAUGAAUUAUGACAUGUUGUUGUUGAAUUGAGGUGAGAAUCAAGUUUUAAUUGAUGUUAUUGUUGCUGAGACAUGUUGUUGUUUAUGAUUAUGGCUUGGGUGUUCAUAUAUCAUGAUUGUUGGUGAGAAAUAAGAUGUUGUUGGUUGUUUUGCAAACAUGGAUCAAAUGGUGAUUUUGGUUUAAGAUGAUGUUUGAUUCAAGUGAUUAUAUGUAUUCGAGUGUCUUUUCAUGUUAAGAAACGUUUGGAUACACUUUGGAAUUGAAUUUGGGUAAUGGGAAGUCGAAAAUUGGGAUUUUUGGGGUGAAAAUGGAUUUUUCCCGUAAAACUGAAUUUUUCUGAACUGCGCGAUUCCGCCGAGCGAGCUAAUGGCGAGCUAGUGGCGAGCAGCUACUGCCUUCACUCGCCAUGGCGAGCAAACAUUCCGCCAGGCGAAAAUGCCCAGUUCCAGCAUCCCCUGUUUCGUGUUCUUGCAUCUUUUUCACCUAUUUCUGUUUUGAAUUGGACUUUGGUGUAAACAUGAAAGUUGUAGAUAAUUUUAUUAGCUUUCUAAUGGCUUUGGUUUGACGUCGAAAUGAUUUUUAGAACUUGAGAUAUGAUUAAAUUACUACACAUGGGUCAUGUGGAUUUUUGUGAAAACUUAUCAUAACUUUUUCUAUGAGCCGUGAAACUUUUCCAAACUUGAUUUCGGGCUUAAUGAAGUAUUUAGAGUGAAUAACUGAGUAUGUAAAUAUGUAAUUGGGAUGUGAUGAUUAUCAUGAGAUGUAUCUUGCUGUCUUACUUGGAAUAUGAGAAUGCUUGAAUUGGUGAACUAUAUGUGAUAGUUGAUGUUGAAUAACAUUGUUGAUUAUUGAUAAUCAUGUUGAUGUGUGAUGAUGAAUACUAUGAUUUAUUUGUGUGGGCAUGUUUUCUUGAUAAUGCAAUGUUGUGGAGAUAAUCAAUAUAAUUGGGUGUUGUCCUAUAUAUUGAGUUGAGAUUGUGAAUUGUUGUCGCAUUAUCGAGUCCUUAUACAUGUCCAUGCAUCAUAGUCGUUGUUGCUGUAAAAGGGAUGACUCUUUUACUUCGAGAUUAUUGUAAGGCAGAUGUGAGCCCUUACAUUCGGUGUGCAAGUGGCAUCGAAAGGUGACGACCUUGUUGAGAUUUGGUACCGCAUGCAUUUAUGUGUCCAUAAGUGCAUAUCAUAGCAUGAGUCCUAUGUGAAUUAUGUGAUUGGUGAUGAAUUGAGAUGAAUGAAUGUUGAUAAUGAUUGUCUAUGAUUGAUGUUGUGAAUGAAUAUUUGUGAUUAGAUAAAUUAUUCAUGUGAUUGAUAUAUGUGGAUACGAACUAUCAAGUGGUGAUGUAAAUAUUUAUGAAUGACUAUUAUUAUUCAAGUACAUGAUAUUAUUUGAUUUGAUUAUUAUCUGGAUUAUGAUAAUGUAAUGCUUACCCCCAGUGGUUUUAACCGCCUACUUGCCUGUAUGGGUGAGUAGACGUUGUGCAGGAGUAGUCUCGGUGAGUCUUUGCGUGGGAUAUCGGGAGCUUCCUCCGAUAUCGGGUCGUGUCGGCUCUGAUCUAGGCUUGUCGUGUCGGUCUAGAUUAGAUUGUUAUAUUUUCCGUUGGAUUAUGAUUUUGUUGAUGAUUACCCGUAUGUUUGGGUUUUGAGAUUUAUCUUUGAGACAUGAUUUAUUUGCUCAUGGCAUGUAUAUAUUUGAUCACUCUGAUUUGUAUUCCGCUGUAACUGUUGAGGUUUACAUACAUGUCUAUCGUUUUUUUUGAAUUUUGAAUGAGACGUAAUCUCUAUUUCUUGAAUAAAUGUAUUAUUCGCAUGUUUAAUUGCUUUAAUAGAAAUAGGAGCGUUACACCUUCCCUAAAAAACAGAAAAAAAAACUCCUGCUUUCCUGCUAGAAUCGCCUUCCUCUUGAAUGCUUAAACUUCAUAAAGUUAAACAUUCAACGUUUGACCUCAACCCUAGUGUUACAGAUCACAACACAUGCUUAUUCGACUAUGUAAAUAAUUAGAUAAUAGCUAAGAAUUUGUAACUUAAUUAGGUGGACCAACUUUGUUUUUUGAAGUCAAAGUAUUCAGGGCAUUAAAGCGAUUGGAGGCUUUUUGCUUAACAGUUUUUGUGGUAAAUGAGAUGGGGCUAUUUGGAAUUUUCUUUUUUCUAGUGACGAGCAGCCAAUCACCAUGCAGUUCAUUAUUUUCACCAUCAAUGCUAAUUAUUGUGUCAUUAUUUGCUGAUGAUUUUGAGGAAAAAUAGUAACUGUCUUACCGUUUUGGGUCACCGGAAUUGAAUGCGUGAUGGUAGGGCUUGGUUAUUGCGUUUGGAUAUGCUCCUCAUGGUGGUUGACUGCGGCUGGCUUAGUCGGAGGUGUGGUGGUGCAGUUCCGUCCAAGGUGCCCGUAACAACCACAACUGGUGCAAAUUAGGUGCAGACCCUCGUACUGGACUUUGUACCAAUAUCCGUUUACCCAAAUCUUUCCUAUGACCUGCAUAGUCAUAUCAAUCUUGUUAUCGCGAUUUUCGGGUGUCAAGUCAUUAAUUAGGCUUGAACCUUUCAAUCUUUGAUAUUCUCUAUUUUUUCUUGGGGAGGGCAAAAUUGAGAAAAAAAACCCUUAGAUUCUAAGUUCGGGGGUCGUUUUCACUACGGGAAGGUGUUAGGCACCCGCGGUGACUAUAGUACUCUAUAGGAGCCGUUUUCUUAGUUUAUGUCUACGCUUUAUUUUUAAUGCUAUUUAUGAAAAGGGAAAUUUAUUUAUGUUAAGAAUGGGGGGAGAAAGUGUUUGAGGUUUUAUUUUAGUGGACUUGGAGAGGUUUUGACCUCAUGCCUACAUACCCAUUUAAGGGAUCAAACUCCAUGUAGUUCUCUCUCAAAAAAUGUUUUUUUGUGUGUUUGGUUGAUUUUAGUUUUUUGUUGGAAAAUGGUUUUGAAGAAGAGAAAGAGGCCUUAAAGGCAUAAGAGAGAAAAAUGGUGAAUGGUUGGUUCAAUUGUUAUUAAAAAAGUCUAAGUAGGAAUUAGGAUUCAUUUGGAUUUGUUUAAGAAAAUAAAGGAAGAAAUUCAAUGGAGUUUUGACUCCAAGGUUUGUUUGGAAAAAUUUGAGUGAUGGAAUUGGUUUAUUAUUUUUUUGAAAAUUGGCAUUUGUCUAAAAAUCGCGUUUCCUAAGCAUACAUCUAAACGGUAAACAUGCAACGUGUGUGCGUGUCGGUGCUUGUGUCGGUGUACAUCACUUAUAGUGUCCAUAGUCCUUUACAUUGAGUCCUAAAUACAUGCUAUGGUCUUGCAAGGAAUUAAAAAAAGGAACUAAUCUAUCUAAAAUUAUUACAAACCCAUUUGAUAUAGAAAUGAAUAGAAAAAUGAUGUCUAAACUAUGGGAUGAAUGAAAUGUGAGAUGAAAUGGUUAGUAUCAUAAGGCAUAAAAAUAGUAGAAAGGUAAACAAAAUUGAAUAGAAUAGCAAGAGGAAAAAAGUAAUGAAAUGAAAUAAAAUGGCAAAAUAUACCUAAAAUUGGUUAUGACAGUUAGACAUGCACAUGACCUAUAAUCCCCUCAUUAUAGCAAUGUUAAAGGGGUUUGAUUUUGAGCUAUAAUGUGGGAACAAAUAGGACACAUGCAAGCCAAGAAUCAUGACACAUUUUUAAAGACAUUUUGCACUUUAUUUCUUGGUAAAAACACACAUUACUUGCAAAACAAGAAAGAAAUGAAAAUCUACAUCCACAAUCAGCAAGACAUACAUAUGAUCAGCAACAUAUUCACCAUGAAAUUACACACCAAUCAUCCACAUCACAUGCCAACAUUUUAUGAGAAAAUAUACCACAAAAAUACAUAAACUUAGAUCAAACACAAAAUUAAUCAAGAAAAAUAACACACACAUUUUUAUCAUUUUUUAAACCAUUGAAAAAUAUCACAAAAGUAUUAAAAUGUAUUAAGAAACAUAUAACAAUUUUUUUUAGGAAUUUUUAGAGAAAAGAUUGAGCAUGAAGAGGUUCAAUUAGCAAAAAAGCAGGGUGCAGAUAGCAGGAAAAUAGCAAAAACGUACAAGAACCUUAGGCCCAAACCCAAAGUCCAACACCAGAUCACAGGAAAGUACAGGGACCGUUGGAUUGAUCCAGGAGAUGGAACCCUAGAUCCAACGGUCUAGAUUGAGGGAAAACGAACCAGAAUUGGACCGGUCCGGUUCAGUUGGUUAUAAAAGGGUUGGGGGACCGGUCCAGUUCAUUCUUCUUUCUCCUCUCUCUCUCUCUCUAACCUAAACCUAGUGAGAGAAGCUCUCACACCUCUCCUCUCUUCCGGUCGUCUUCUCCGGUGAGCUUCACCGCUCCGGUGUGGUGGUUUGCCGGCCCAACAGGGCGGCGCCGCCGCACCGGAGAUGAGAAACUCCUCCGUUUUCAAAUUUUUUUGCAGAUUAAGACAUCCUUUUUCGUUCUAAGCAUGAAUAUGGCAUUGGAUUUUGCAUACAAGGUUCGAAUCAACGUAGAUCUGGAAUUUUGUGUUUGCGGUUUACGAAAUCUUUUUCUUGUUUUCUUAGUUCUUUUCGAAUGGAAACUUUCAGAGCUUCACGGAUCUACGUUAGAUUCGUCCUUGUUGACGUUUUUUUACGGGAAAAAAAAGGUGCUUAGGUUUUACCUGGAAUUUUGAAUCGGAGAUUUCGAAACGGAAUCUUCAGGAAAAGCUUGAAUCCGGUUCUGCUUGUUGAUUUCUUGCUUUAAACCGGAAAUAAAUCGGUGCCGUUCCUUCUUCUUCUUCACCGGUCCAGAUUCUGCUUCUUUUCUUCUUCUUCUCACUGAUUCCUUCGUGAUCGGUGCUGGAGUUUGCCAAUGGCGAAUUCGCACCUUGAAUUGCGAAGGAAACUGAUUCGAUGAUGAAGAUUCAGUGAUGAAUCUCUGAGAAUUGCGAAAGAUCUUGUUGAUUCUCUGUUGAUUUGCACUGAUUUGUGAUGUUUUGUGUUGAUUUGUGUUGAUUUGUGAUGAUUUGUGUUGAUUUGUGAUGAUUCUGGUGGAAUUUUGAAACGGUUAGGGUUUGAGUGUUCUUGGUGUUCUUCGUGAUUUCUGGAAAUUGUUGAGUUUUGAUCUUUGAGAGCAGAAAGAGAAAGUUGGAAAGUGUUUGUGAUGUGGCAUGUGAUUAAUGGAUCUCCCUCUGACUUGUACAGUAAUUGCACCUUUUAUAGGCUGCCAAGUGUGCUUGAGACCCAAUGAAAGAGGGACACCUGUAAUUGGACUUAUGGACAUUGCUGCAAAAAAGAAAAAAUAAAAGGACUAAUCUGCAAUUAUGAAAAAGGACUUAAAAAUGCAAUUUUAAAAAGUAUUGGACUAAAAUGCAAUUUUAGAAACUGUUUCAGGGACUAAAAUGCAAUAAAAAUAAAAUUGGACUAAAAUUGGACAAAACGUAAAGUGAAACCAAAAAUAAAAUCAACAAAAGGACUAAAAUGAACCAGCUACAAAAAUGAGGUAUUUUAAAAUACCUCUCUGCCGAAAUUUUGACAGGAAAAGACCAAAAUGCCCCUAGGGACUAAACUGACUCAAACUGACUCAGAUGCAAUUUUUGAAAUGAUUUUUAAACAAAGACUCAACAAUGAUUUGUACAGACAAAUUGAAAAGACUCAGAGGCAAACACAGGGACUAAAAUGGGUUCCACUGCAGGAAAUGACCAAAAUACCCUUUUGUAUGAUUUUUUGAAAUAAAAUGCAAGAAAAGUAAUGCGACGUUUCAGAGGGUUCUUAAAUGACUUGUAAUGUCAGAAAAGACAGAGGCAGUAAAAUACGUUUAAAAAGAGAGUAAAGAUUCAGAGUAAAUUAACAGAGAAUUGACAAAUAUCAGUGUUAAAAAAGAAAUUUGAACGAGUAUUUUUAGGUCCAAAAUCAGGGUAUAACAGCUGCCCCUAUUUAAGUUUCUUUGUCUGGAGGGUCAAGAGACGGAGUCUUUGGCUUGACGGGACGAAGAUACUUAAAUAUUAACAUUUGCACUGUGUUUGGACGUAAAAAUACGCUUGUACAUUUUCAAAUAUCAUGAAUGCCAUGCAACAUUUGGAUUAUGAGUGCGAGACAAACGAAAGCUGGAAUUAACAAAAGAUGUCGUAUCCAUUGCGGGAUUGGUAGACAUUGACAAGAUAACAGAUAAUAGGGUAGAUAGGAGACUAGGAACAAAUUGACGGGUACAAGCUGCUCUUGGAUUGAGCUGGGCACUUGACCGGGAAUAAAAGCAGACAAACAGGUGCGAGUUGUUCUUGAAUUCGAACUGGUUACUCCACCGGAGACAUGGAGAAGACGGACAGGUACGAGUUGUUCUUGAUUCGAACUGGUCACUCGACUGAAAGCAAGGCAAAUAGACAGGUGCGAGCUUGUUCUUGGAUGCGAACUAGUUACUCCACCGGAGACAAAGACAAAUAGACAGGUGCAAGCUGCUCUUGGAUUGAGCUAGCCACUUGAACGAACAGAAACAGAUAGACGGGUACAAGCUGUUCUUGGACUUGAACUAGCCACUUGACCAAAAUCAUAGACACAUGGACAGGUACGAGCUGUUCUUGGAUUCGAACUGGUAACUCGACCGAUAACAUUGAAAAGCAAACGGGUACAAGUCGUUCUUGGAGGCGAACUGGUAACUCGACCGGAAACGUAAACAAAUAGGUAGGUUCAAGCUGCUCUUGGAUUGAGCUAGCCACUUGACCGAACAGAAACAGAUUCAGUGGGGAUUGUUUUUUGACAAAAUAUAGAUUGAGAUUGACUUGACGUCGAUUUGAUUUGAAAGGUAGAAAUUGACCGAUAUUAUUGGCUCACAAGGUUUUGACAGAGAACCCGACAUGAGUAUUGAACUGCGACUGAUGUUGACAUUGGAAAUGCAACAUGCAUGAAUGAUAUAACAGUUUCAUUAAAUGCAUGGGCACGUAAUAUGCAUGAUUAUGCAUGUAUGAAUGCUUGUAAUGCAUGACUGUUGGCAGUUUGUAGACACAGUUCCGCAGAGACAGACAAGACACUGGAGUGUUGGGCACGCAGUGGCUCGUGCUAUAUUACACAUUCCUGGAAAUCCUCUUUGGAGAUGACGUCGUUGGGAGACGUAUCGGGACCAUGGCUGAGGGCAGGUAGCUAUGCAACUUGCUGGGGAUAGAAUCUCGGAAGACUCUACUGGGUAUAAUGGCGUCAUCGUGGAUGUCGCAUCUGUGGUCAAUGCUUUUUGCAUGUUAUUUUUCAAUUUUCAUUCAUUCAUUUUUUUGCAUCCCAUUUUUGCCUGGAUCGCCCUUUCGGGUUUUCGAUCCAUCGGGGAAAUAAAUUCUUUUCAAUGCCCCAUUUUUGCCUGAACUGCCCUUUCGGGUUGUCAAUCCAGCGGGGUGCUCAUUUUUGCCUAAGCCGCCCUUUCGGGUUUUCAACUUAGCGAGCCUAUUCAUUUUCAUGCAUUUUCAUUCUGUUUUUUCAUUCUUGCCAUUGACCACAGACUAUCCUGGAGGAGAACCUGCUUGUAACAUAUAUUGAAAUAGACACCAACACACGCUCGCUCAUGCAUGUUUUGUUUGAAUGUACCCUGUUGCUCAGGUUUGCUUUCCAAAAAAAAAAAAAAAAAAAAAACUUUUUCAAUUUUCAAGAUGCUUGUUUCGAGCAUUUGUCAUUAUUAAAAAUAGAAGGAAAAUGUUUUUGUACAUAACUUUGAAAGUAAAAAGAAAGCGGAGUUUCAAACAAAAACACAUGCUCAAAUUGAUGUAUAAGAGUGGUGGUCAGCCGAAGGCGUGACUCCACGGAUUCACAAAGCUUGGAAAAUGGUAAUUUUAUUGGUUGGUGGUACAUUGAACACAUCAAUCAUUACAUUUCCUAGAAACUUUGAAUUCGCAAGCGUAGGAGCUUUCGAUGAAGAUAGUCAUUAACAGCUGCAGAUGCCCCAAGGGAGACGGUGGUUAGCCAGAUAUAGUUACUUGCCUUUUGUUUCAAUCUCAUUUUUGCAUGAACCGCCCUUCCGGGUUUUCGGCUCAUCGAGACGCUCAUUCUUGUCUGAGUUGUGUACAAUCUCAGCGAGCUUUUUCAUAUAUAUUUUUUUUUGUCCCUUAUUUUUGCCUGGACCGCCCUUUCGGGUUUUCGAUCCACCGGGAAGCGCAUUUUUGCCUAGGCCGCCCUUUCGGGUUUUCGACCUACCACGCUGUUCUUUUCAUAUUUCUAGGCAAAGUAUUUCUUGACUAUAUCGGCAUUCACUAGAUUUGGAAGUUCUACACCAUCCAUGUGUGUAAGGAUUAAAGCACCACCGGAGAAGGCCUUCUUGACAACAUAAGGACCUUCAUAGUUAGGCGUCCACUUGCCCCUUGGGUCGGGUUGCUGGCUUACCCUUCUUUUCAAUACAAGUUCCCCUACCUUGAAUUCUCGAGGAUGGACUUUCUUGUCAAAGGCAGUCUUCAUUCUUGCUUGAUAUGACUGUCCACGAGCCAUGGCAUCCAUACGUUUUUCCUCAAUCAAAUUCAACUGAUCAUACCGGCUUUGGCACCAUUCAGCCUCGGAUAACUUUGCUUCCAUGAUCACACGGAGAGAUGGGAUCUCCACUUCCAAAGGAAGAACUGCUUCCAUACCAUAUACAAGAGAGAAAGGGGUUGCCCCGGUUGAACUGCGCACGGUAGUACGGUAGCCAUGCAGAGCAUAGGGUAACAUCUCAUGCCAGUCCUUAUAAGUGGUUACCAUUUUCUGGACAAUCCUCUUGAUAUUCUUGUUGGCGGCCUCAACUGCACCAUUCAUCUGAGGUCUAUAAGGAGAAGAGUUAUGAUGCUCAAAUUUUGAAUUCUUCACAAAGAGCUUGCACCACAUUGUUAUUCAGGUUGGUACCAUUGUCGGUAAUAAUCUUGCUGGGAACACCAUAUCGACAGAUGAUGUUGUUCUUGAUGAACUUAGCUACCACUUGCUUGGUCACAUUGGUAUAAGAUGCCGCUUCAACCCAUUUGGUGAAGUAGUCAAUUGCCACUAAGAUGAAACGAUGACCAUUUGAAGCCUUCGGUUCAAUUCUUCCAAUCAUGUCGAUGCCCCACAUUGAAAACGGCCAUGGGGAUGAAAUAACAUUGAGAGCGUGCGGAGGCACAUGAAUCUUAUCAGCAUAGAUUUGACAUUUGUGGCACUUUCUGGCGUGCUGGUAGCAAUCAUGCUCCAUGGUCAUCCAGUAGUAACCUGCUCGUAACAACUUUCUUGACAUAGUAUGCCCUGUAGCAUGGGUCCCGAAGGUAACGUCAUGUACAUCAUGCAUCAACUGCUCUGCUUCAUGUUCAUCAACACAUCUUAACAAUACCAUGUCAUAAUUUCUCUUGUACAGAAUAUCUCCAUCUAACAGGAAUCUACUGGCCAAUCUUCUCAGGGUCUUCUUAUCUUGGUUGGAAGCACCUGGCGGAUACUCACGGCUCAGCAAGAACUGUUUGAUGUCGUAGUACCAGGGUUUAUAGUCAACCACAUUUUCACCAGCCUGAUCGAUCACAUCCCCAAUAGCAAACACAUGUGAAGGUCUUUCAAGGCGUUGCACUUUCAUUAUUGGCACAUCAUUCCAAUGGUUUACUCGAAACAUGGAGGAUAGAGUAGCAAGAGCAUCAGCCAUUUGGUUCUCAUCACGAGGAAUAUGGUGCAGCUCAACCUUUGUAAAAUAUGUCAGCAAACAUCUCGCAUAAUCACGAUAAGGAAUCAACUUAGCAUGGUGGGUCUCCCAUUCACCCUUUAUCUGAUUGAUGACGAGCGCAGAAUCUCCAUAGAUGUCGAGGUGUUUGAUUCUCAUGUCAAUUGCUUCCUCGAUCCCAAAGAUACAUGCUUCAUACUCAGCCAUAUUGUUUGUACAUUCGAACAGAAUCCGGGCGGUAAAAGGAAUGUGAUGCCCCUGUGGGGAUACAAUGACUGCCCCAAUUCCUUUACCAUAAGCAUUGACAACACCAUCAAAGACUAAACCCCACUUGCUAUUGGGAUCUGGACCUUCAUCAAUCAACGGUUCUUCGCAGUCUUUUGAUUUCAAAUACAUGAUCUCUUCAUCGGGGAAAUCGAACUCAAUUGGUUGAUAAUCAUCAAGAGGUUGGUAAGCAAGAUGAUCGGCAAGAAUGCUACCUUUGAUUGCCUUUUGAGUUUUGAACACAAUAUCAUAUUCAGACAAAAGCAUCUGCCAGCGUGCAAUCUUCCCGGUAACAGCAGCUUUCUCAAAGAUAUACUUUAUCGGAUCCAUUCUGGAUAUCAACCAAGUCGUAUGAUUCACCAAAUAAUGACGCAGGCGUUUAGCGGCCCAAGCCAAAGCACAACAAGUCUUCUCAAGCAUUGUAUACCGAGUUUCACAAUCGGUGAACUUCUUGCUUAGAUAGUAGAUAGCAUGUUCUUUCUUUCCAGUCUCAUCUUGUUGACCAAGUACGCAUCCCAUGGAUUCAUCAAAUACUGCCAAAUACAUAAUCAAAGGCCUUCCUUCCACGGGUGGGACAAGGAUAGGUGGUUCCAGCAGGUAAUUCUUGAUGCUAUCAAAAGCUUCUUGGCAUUCAUCAUUCCAUACAAUAGGCUGAUUCUUUCUGAGUAGCUUGAAGAUCGGCCCGCAGGUUGCGGUCAUGUGAGAUAUGAAUCGGGAGAUGUAAUUCAAACGCCCGAGGAAACCUCUGACUUGCUUCUCGGUCUGCGGAGCUGGCAUUUCUCGGAUGGCCCGGACUUUAUCAGGAUCGACUUCAAUGCCCUUUUGGCUGACAAUGAAGCCUAAUAACUUUCCGGAUCUGACGUCGAACGUACAUUUGUUAGGAUUCAAUCGAAGCUUGUACUUUCUCAACCUUUCGAACAUCUUUGUCAAAUAUUCAACAUGUUGCUCCUCAUCUGUUGACUUCACAAUCAUAUCAUCCACAUAUACCUCGACUUCUUUGUGAAUCAUGUCAUGAAAUAGAGUAGUCAUUCCUCUUUGGUAGGUAGCACCAGCAUUUAUUAGGCCGAACGGCAUCACUUUGUAGCAGAAGGUACCCCAUGGAGUGAUAAAAGACGUCUUUUCUCUAUCUUCAGGAGACAUUUUGAUCUGAUUGUAACCGGAGAAACCAUCCAUGAAGGAGAACACCUUAGACUGAGCAGUAUUAUCAACAAGCACAUCAAUAUGAGGUAAUGGAAAGUUGUCUUUUGGACUGGCUUUGUUCAGGUCUCUGAAAUCAACACACAUCCGGACUUUACCAUCCUUCUUUGGCACAGGUACAAUAUUGGAAACCCAUUCAGGGUACUCAACUGUCAUGAGGAAACCCGCAUCUAUCUGUUUUUGAACCUCGCUCUUAAUCUUGAGAGCCAUAUCUGGAUGAGUCCUUCUCAAUUUCUGCCUAACAGGAGGACAUUCAGGCUUUGUGGGGAUCCGAUGCUCCACAAUCUUAGGAUCUAGACCUGGCAUAUCUUCAUACGACCAUGCAAAAAUAUCCGGAUAUUCCCGGAGGAGUUGGAUGAUCUUCUUUUUAACCCCUUCCUCUAGAGCAGCACCGAUCUUGAUCUCUCGCUUGUUCUCCUCGGUACCUAUGUUGAUAAGCUCAAUCUCUUCCUAGUGAGGCUGAAUGGCUUUCUUUUCUUGCUCAAGUAGCCGAGUGAUCUCAUAUGGUAUGUCAUCACCUUCCUCAUCUUCGGCCUCAUACACUGGGAAUUCAAAAUCCAGAGGGAAUGCAGGGUUACUGUGUCCAACGGGUUUAUUAUAGUCCAAUCUGCGUAAAAUGGUUGGAUGAUUUUAGAAAGAGGUUUUUUUAUGCAGAUUUUCGAAAUUAAUAAGAAAAUACAGAUGUUUUGGUUUUUUCUGGCAUUACCAUUAUUUCCAAGGAAAAAAGGCGCUAAAAAAAAGCAGUCGUGAAAGAAACGACAAUUUUUUAUUAAUCAACGGCAAUGCCGAAACAAACAUGCCCUUACAGAAAAUAUCACUCUCGCUUUGGGCAGAGCGAGAGGAUUGUUAUUUUGAAAAAACAAGAUACUUAAGCAACAAGGUAUAUUACUCAGAAACAUGCAUGAUUGAGGGAAUGUCAAUGGCAUCCCAAUCUCUCGCAAUGCCUCCUGGUGUAACAAAUACAGGCCUCAGGCCAAAUCCAGUUGCUUCCUCUGUGAUCGCGUUGACAAACCCAGCACUAUAGAAUGCCCCGGUGGAAACUCCUGAAGUUGGGGAGAAGCCAAGACCUUCCUUAUGCUUGUUCUCACGAAGCUGUAUUAACCUGCCCCAGCCAGCAGCUUGACCCUCUUGGACGGCUCUCUGUGCAUCCUUCAAAGAAGCCAUUGCAGUUCCAUCCCUUUUAGGCUCCGUACCUUCGACAGUUAAUCCUUGAAAAGCGGUCCCCUCCGCCGACCCUGCUUCUAUGCAAGAGAAAGAUGAUAGCUGGCUAACCAGGUAUGCUUCCUCUCCAUGAAUGGUAACAAGCUUUCCACUUUUUGCAAAUUUCAACUUUUGGUGCAAAGUAGAGGUCACCGCUCCCGCGUCAUGUAUCCAUGGUCUCCCCAAGAGACAGCUGUAAGAGGCAUUAAUAUCCAUGACCUGAAAGGUGAUUAGAAAGGUUUCAGGGCCGAUAGUUAUUGGCAAGUCUAUCUCCCCGAGAACACUCUUACGGGUUCCAUCAAAGGCUUUGACCAGAAAAGUGCUCCUCCUCAAGGGAGUUCCCCGGUAACUCAGCUGAUCCAGCGUUGAAUUGGGCAUCGCGUUCAAAGAUGAGCCAGUGUCUACUAACACAUUUGAGAUCAUGUCGGACUUGCAAUUCACGGAGAUAUGCAAGGCCAGAUUAUGAUGCUUUCCUGCUUCGGGCAAUUCAUCUUCAUUGAACCACAGGUUGCUGCAGGCGGUAAUGUUCCCCACUAGGCUACCAAAGUGAUCCACAGUUACUUCAUGAUCCACAUAAGCCUGCUCCAAUACUUUCAAAAGGGUAUCUCUGUGGGCAGCGUGUUAUACCCUGAUUUUGGACCUAAAAAUACUCGUUCAAACUUCUUUUCUAACACUGAUACUUGUCAGUUCGCUGUUAUUUUUCUCUGAAUCUUUACUCUCUUUUUAAAAACAUAUUUUACUGCCUCUGUCUGUCUUUUCUUGCAUUACAAGUCAUUUAAGACCUUUCUGAAACGUCGCAUUACUUUUCUUGCAUUUUAUUUCAAAAAUCAUACAAAAGGGUAUUUUGGUCAUUUCCUGCAGUGGAACCCAUUUUAGUACCUGUGGUUGCCUCUGAGCCUUUUCAAUUUGUCUGUACAAAUCAUUGUUGAGUCUUUGUUUAAAAAAUCAUUUCAAAAAUUGCAUCUGAGUCAAUUUGAGUCAGUUUAGUCCCUAGGGGCAUUUUGGUCUUUUCCUGUCAAAAUUUAGGCAGAGAGGUAUUUUAAAAUACCUCAUUUUUUGUAGCUGGUUCAUUUUAGUCCUUUUGUUGAUUUUAUUUUUGGUUUCACUUUACGUUUUUUUUCAAAUUACCAAUUUUAGUCCAAUUUUAUUUUUUAAUUGCAUUUUAGUCCCUGAACGGUUUCUAAAAUUGCAUUUCAGUCCUAAACAGUUUAUAAAUUUCAUUUUAGUCCACUUUUUCUUAUUUGCUGUUUAGUCCUUCAAGUUUCUUAUUUUGCAGAAAGGUCCCAAAUUCAUUUCAAGUCCAAGGCCGAGCCAAAAAGGUCCCAAACAGAUGUCACCACCUCAUUGGUCCAAGAUCACACAUGGCAGCCUAUAAAAGGUGCACAGUGCCACACAGACCCGUUCAAUCAGUGCCAACUCACAAACACGUGAGAAGUUUCUCUCUCCAUUCAGUUAGAUCAAAAAUCCAGAAAUCAUCAAGAACACAGAACAAUCACAAACCCUAACCGUUUCGAAUUCAACCAAAAUCAUCAAAAAUCAACACGAGAUUCAACAAAUUCAUCACAGUUCUCAGUGAUUCAUUGAAGAAUCAUCAUCAUCGAACUGAUUUCUCUGCAAUUCAAGUGCGGAUCCAUCACCGUUUGGCGACAAAUCCCAGCACGAUCACAGAGGAAACCGUGAGAAGAAGAGGGAAAGAAAACGAAGAAGAUUGAACCGGUGAAGAAGAAGAUAAAGAUCCGAAUCUGUUUCGAAGCAAGAAAUCUCACCGGAAACGAUUCAAGUUCUUCCUCAAAGAUUUCCGUUUGAAUCUCCAACUAAACCACAGGUAAACACAUAAACUCCAUCUUUCUUGCUUAAAAACAACAACGAGGACAAAUCAAUGUAGAUCUAUGGAGUUUUAAGAAGUUUCGUUCAAAACUGGAAAACCUAAAAAAAUUUCAUUCGAAAACCGUGAAGAAAUUUCUAGAUCUAUGUUGAUUCGAACCUUGCAUGUGAAAACCAGUGUUAAAUUCGUACUUAGGGUUAGAAAGCGAGUUGAUUGAUGUAAGAUUUGUGUUUUUCCGGUGAGGAUCUAGGUUACCGGAACCUGGAGAUCUCGCCGGAGAAGAUGAAGUUUCCGGCGGAUCUAUGAAGAUUCCGGCCGAGCUUCAUCAUCUCCGGCCGCUCAAUCCAGAAACCGGCGAGGAGGGGAGAGAGAAGAGAGAGAGAGCGUACAAGCUAGAGAGAGAAAGAAAGAAGGAAAUGAAUUGGACCGGAGUCCGUGUCCUUAUAUAGGCGCUUAGACCGGUCCGGUUCGCCUUCCUUCAUUCUCAACCGUUAGAUCUAGGUCUUGAAUUCUUGGAUCAAUCUAACGGUCCUGGUACUUUCCUGUGAUCUGGUUUUGGGCUGUUGGUUUGGGCUUUGUUUUUUUCUGCGUUUUUGUUUUUUCUUGCUAUUCACACCCUGUUUUCUUGCUGAUUGAACCUCUGUGUGCUUAAUUUUAUCUCUAAAAAUUCCGAAAAAUUGUUAUAUGUUUCUUAAUACAUUUUAAUACUUUUGUGAUAUUUUUCAAUGGUUUAAAAAUGAUAAAAAUGCGUGUGUUUUUUUUUCUUGAUUAAUUUUGUGUUUGAUCUAAGUUUGUGUAUGUUUGUGGUAUAUUUUCUCAUAAAAUGUUGGCAUGUGAUAUGGACGAUUGGUGUGAAUUUCAUGGUGAAUGAGAUGCUGAUCAUGUGUAUGUUUUGCUGAUUGUGGAUGUAGAUUUUCAUGUCUUUCUUGUUUUGCAAGCAAUGUGUGUUUUUAUCAAGAAAUAAAGUGCAAAAUGUCUUUGAAAAUGUGUCAUGAUUCUUGGCUUGAAUAUGUCCUAUUUGUUCCCACAUUAUAGCUCAAAAUUAAACCCCUUUAACAUUGCUAUAAUGAGGGGAUUAUAGGUCAUAUGCAUGUCUAAGUGUCAUAACCAAUUUUAGGUAUAUUUUGCCACUUUAUUUCAUUUCAUUACUUUUUUCUCUCUUACUAUUCUAUUCAAUUUUGUUUACCUUUCUACUAUUUUUAUGCUUUAUGAUACUAACCAUUUCAUCUCACAUUUCAUUCAUCCCAUAGUUUUGGCAUCAUUUUUUUCAUUUCUAUAUCAAUUGGGUUUGUAAUAAUUUUAGAUAGAUUAGUUCUUUUUUUUUUAAUUCCUUGCAAGACCAUAGCAUGUAUCUAGGACUCAAUGUAAAGGACUAUGGACACUAUAAGGGAUGUACACCGACACAAGCACCGACACGCACACACGUUGCAUGAUUACCGUUUAGAUGUAUGCAUAGGAAACGCGAUCUUUAGACAAAUGCCAAUUUUCAAAAAAAUAAUACAUCAAUUCCAUCACUCAAAUUUUUCCAAACAAACCUUGGAGUCAAAACUCCAUUGAAUUUCUUCUUUUAUUUUCUUAAACAAAUCCAAAUGAAUCCUAAUUUCUACUUAGACUUUUUUAAUAACAAUUGAACCAACCAUUCACCAUUUCUUCUCUCUUAUGCCUUUAAGGCCUCUUCCUCUUCUUCAAAACCAUUUUCCAACAAAAACUAAAAUCAACCAAACACACAAAAAAACCAUUUUCGGGAACGAACUACGUUUGGUUUUGAUCCCUUAAAAGGGUACGUAGGCAAUGAGUUAAAACUCCUCCAAGCCAAGUAAAAUAAAACCUCAAACACUUUCUCCCCCCCAUUCUUCACUCAAAUAAAACCCAUUUUUUAAUAAGUAGGCAAUAAAAAUAAAGCGUAGAAAUAAACUUAGGAGAACGGCUCUUAUGGAAUACCAUAAUCGUUCCGGGUGCCUAACACCUUCCCGUAGCGAAAGCGACCCCCGAACUUAGAAUCUAAGGGUUUUUUCUCAAUUUUGCCCUUCCCAAGAAAAAAUAGAGAAUAUCAAAGAUUGAAAGGUUCAAGCCUAAUUUAUGACUUGACACCCGAAAAUCGCGAUAACAGAAAUGGCGACUUCACUGGGGAUUACUUUUAGCGGGUCACGUCUAGUUUUCCUUAGUUUAUAUUUACACUUUGUUUUAUUGCUUACAUAUGUGAAUACUUGUUUAUUUUCAUUUGAUGUGUGGGGUGAGAAUAUCAAAAGUCCUAUACCCGGGCUGAGUGAACUUAUGAUUAGGUAGAGAUAUAAUCGACAAUUCGAUCCGAGGGUUGCCUCGUGUAUUGGAUUAUGCGAUCAAUCUCACAUAGCUGAGGCAUUUUGGAAGUAAUAUUGUCGGCGUGUGUUGUCAUGCUUAGGCACUUUGCUUUCAAUUGUUCGACGAUGCUAUGGACCAUAGUUACCAAACCCAUCCCUGGCCUUUUUAGGACGUAGUGCGGUGGCUAAACCGAGUGUUGUCUCGAGUUUUAGUCGUCACGCGAUACUACACUCACACUAGACCUUCUUGCGAAUAAACAUGGAACGGACGUUGUCCCGUGCUACCAUGAUAUACGUAAGAGAGGUUGCAGUUUGGGAACUUGAUUAGAACCUUGGUUACUAUUAUCCUAAACCUUAGUUUACCGGGCACCGUGUCCGCCCGUGGCUCCUCGACUUUAAUCUCAACCCUCCAUGUUUUCUCUGUAAUUGAAAAAAAAACAAUCAUGCAUACAUGCAUUCAUGCAUAAAUUUUUUCUCAUGCAUUCAUCGAAGGAUUGGACAAAUUAAAAAGCUUUGUAAACAUUACAGGUAUGAAGAAGACUAAAUCCUACAAGUUCAAGGAGGUUGAUUUGGUUAGUUUGAGAGAGUUGGCACUCAAGGUGAAGAAUCAAACAGGUUUCCGACUCCGGUAUGGUGGUUUGCUUACUAUUCUCCGGACUAAUGUUGAAGAGAAGCUCGUGCACACUCUAGUGCAAUUCUAUGACCCGAGUUUCCGCUGCUUCACUUUCCCGGAUUUCCAGUUGGUCCCUACUCUUGAGGCUUAUUCCCACUUAUUGGGUUCACCUAUAGCCGAGAAGACGCCUUUCACCGGUCCCGGGACUUCUCUUACUCCUCUGGUUAUUGCUAAGGAUCUCUAUCUCAAGACUUCUGAUGUCUCCAAGCAUCUUACUACCAAGUCUCACAUCCGAGGGUUCACUUCAAAGUAUCUACUUGAGCAAGCUAAUCUCGAAACUACUUGUCAGGACGCACUCGAGGCUAUUCUUGCAUUGCUUAUCUAUGGGCUCAUUCUCUUCCCAAAUCUCGACAACUUUGUGGACAUGAAUGCUAUUGAGAUCUUCCAUUCUAGGAAUCCGGUUCCUACCUUGCUAGCUGACAUGUACCAUGCUAUCCAUGACCGGACUCUCAAAGGUCGUGGGUAUAUCCUUUGCUGCGUACCUCUCCUGUAUAGGUGGUUUAUUUCUCACCUUCCGAGCUCCUUCCAUGACAACUCGGAGGAUUGGUCCUACUCACAACGGAUGAUGGCUCUCUCUCCUAACGAGGUGGUCUGGAUCACUCCCGCCACUCAGGUUAAGGAGAUUAUUACUGGUUGUGGAGAUUUUCUCAAUGUACCUCUUCUUGGUACCCGUGGGGGAAUCAACUACAAUCCGGAGCUUGCUAUGAGACAGUUCGGGUUCCCUAUGAAGACAAAGCCCAUCAAUCUUGCUACAUCUCCGGAGUUCUUCUAUUAUUCGAACGCCCCCACCGGACAAAGGGAGGCUUUCACAAGGGCUUGGUCUAAGGUCCGUAGGAAGAGUGUGAAGCAUUUGGGUGUGAGAUCUGGUAUUGCUCAUGAGGCCUAUACUCAGUGGGUAAUAAACCGAGCUGAAGAGAUUGGUAUGCCAUACCCUGCUAUGAGACAUGUGGCUGCAUCUGCUCCAUCUAUACCUUUACCUCUACCUCCCGCAACUCAGGAGAUGUAUCAGGAGCAUCUGGCCAUGGAAAGUCGUGAGAAACAAAUGUGGAAGGCCCAAUACAAUGAGGCUGAGAAUCUAAUCAUGACUUUGGAUGGUAAGGAUGAGCAGAAGACCCAUGAGAACCUGAUGUUGAAGAAGGAAUUGGUUAAGGUCCGAAGGGAACUUGAAGAAAAGGAUGAGCUACUUAUGCGGGACUCCAAGAGAGCUAGAGGACGACGCAACUUCUAUGCUAGAUAUUGCGGUUCGGAUUCGGAGUCUGAGUCUGAGGAUCAUCCCACUACUUCCUAUGCUUGAGAGUUUUAUUUGUUUACAUUUCAAAGUCUUCCCUUGGCUUAGUAUUUCAAAGGGAUUCAUCUUGUAACCGCUUCAUUUUGCUUUGUUUGUUUAGAUAUUGUUUACAAAACUCCUAAUUUGUCUAAAAAUCCUUCGAUGUCCAAAAAAAAACAACUUUUGCAUUUGCAUUUGUACAUAUCAUGCAUCAUGUGCAUCAUUCAUCAAGUCACAAAGGGUUUCCAAGUGCUCACUGCCUCCUGGUUCUUCUGCCACAGAUUGAAAGGUGGCUCGUGCUCGGAAAGUCUACGAACCAGAUACAAUACAUCGGACUAGACUCUACAGAAAGAAGAAUUCGGCAGCCAUGGAAGAAGAGAAUGCUCAGCUCCGUACCGAGUUAGCCACUUUAAGGGAAGAAUUGGCUAAGGCUAAUGAUGUCAUGACCGCUCUGCUAGCCGCUCAAGAACAAUCAGCCCCGGCUAUCCCUAUAGCCACAGCUAUACCGGUGACUACAAGCGUGCUCCCAACCGCAUCUACAGACGCUCGCUUUACUAUGCCAGCUGGGUUUCCGUAUGGGCUUCCACCGUUCUUCACUCCCAGUACUGCAGCGGGCACUUCAGGCACUGCUUACAAUGUUCUGAUCCCUGCAACAAAUGAUGUCUCCAUCAAUGCUACUUUGCCACAAACAACGGCAGCUGUCACUGAGCCUCUUGUGCAUACCAUGCCCCAAGGUGUUAACAUCAACACACCAUACGGAAGCAUCCCCGUGACCAAAACCAUGGAAGAGAUGAUGGAGGAACUUGCUAAAGAACUCCGUCAUGAGAUCAAAGCCAAUCGAGGGAAUGCGGACUCUUUCAAAACUCAAGAUCUCUGCUUAGUGUCAAAGGUGGAUGUCCCUAAGAAGUUCAAAAUCCCGGAUUUCGACCGAUACAAUGGGCUGACUUGUCCCCAGAACCACAUCAUCAAGUAUGUUCGAAAGAUGGGCAAUUACAAAGACAAUGAUUCCCUUAUGAUCCACUGCUUCCAGGAUAGUUUGAUGGAAGAUGCCGCAGAGUGGUAUACUAGUUUGAGCAAAAAUGACAUCCAUACCUUUGAUGAUUUAGCCGCUGCUUUCAAGAGCCACUAUGGGUUUAACACCCGACUGAAGCCGAACAGGGAAUUCCUCAGAUCUCUCUCCCAGAAGAACGAGGAAAGCUUCCGUGAAUACGCACAGAGAUGGAGGGGGGCAGCUGCCCGCAUUACUCCCGCUCUUGAUGAAGAAGAAAUGACCCAGACAUUCUUAAAGACCUUGAAAAAGGAUUAUGUUGAGAGAAUGAUCAUUGCUGCCCCGAAUAACUUUUCGGAGAUGGUCACCAUGGGAACUCGUCUGGAAGAAGCCGUCAAGGAUGGAAUCAUUGUGUUCGAGAAAGCUGAAUCCUCUGUGAAUGCAUCAAAGAGGUAUGGUAAUGGACACCACAAGAAGAAAGAAACGGAAGUAGGGAUGGUGUCUGCCGGAGCCGGUCAAUCCAUGGCUACUGUUGCUCCUAUCAAUGCAGCCCAAAUGCCUCCGUCAUACCCAUAUGCGCCGUAUUCUCAGCAUCCUUUCUUUCCGCCAUUUUAUCAUCAGUACCCUCUGUCACCGGGUCAACCUCAAGUACCUGUUAAUGCAAUCGCUCAACAGAUGAAACAACAGUUGCCAAUUCAACAACAACAAAAUCAGCAAGCUAGACCUACUUUCCCUCCGAUACCGAUGUUGUAUGCUGAGUUGCUUCCGACUUUACUCCACAGAGGGCAUUGUACAACCAGACAGGGCAAGCCCCUACCUGAUCUGUUGCCUCCCAGGUUCAGGUCCGAUCUCAAAUGUGAUUUUCAUCAAGGUGCCCUGGGUCAUGAUGUCGAGGGGUGCUAUGCUUUGAAGUAUAUCGUGAAGAAGCUCAUUGAUCAAGGAAAGUUGACUUUUGAGAAUAAUGUCCCACAUGUCCUCGACAAUCCUCUUCCAAAUCAUGCCGCUGUAAAUAUGAUCGAAGUAUGUGAGGAAGCUCCUAGACUUGAUGUCCGUAACGUCGCAACUCCUCUGGUGCCUCUACACAUCAAGCUGUGCAAAGCUUCUCUGUUCAGCCAUGAUCAUGCCAAGUGCCUAGGAUGCCUUCGUAAUCCUUUGGGUUGCUAUACUGUUCAAGACGACAUCCAAAGCUUGAUGAAUGAUGAUUUUUUGACUGUCAGUGAUGUCUGCGUGAUUGUGCCAGUUUUUCACGAUCCGCCUGUCAAGAGUUUGCCUUUGAAGGAGAAUGCUGAGCCACUGGUGAUAAGGUUGCCCGGACCGGUACCUUAUACUUCAGACAGGGCUAUCCCGUACAAAUAUAAUGCUACCAUAAUCGAAAACGGAGUAGAAGUGCCUCUGGUGUCCUUGGCUGUGAUGAACAAUACCGCCGAAGGAACUUCAGCAGCUCUUAGAAGCGGAAGAGUCCGUCCACCGUUGUUUCAAAAGAAGGCAGCUACGCCUACCGUGCCACCCAUUGACAAGCCAACCCCGACUGAUGUUUCUCCCGUUAACAGAGACGUGAGCCAACCAGGCCGGUCUAUAGAGGAUUCUAAUCUGGACGAGAUUUUGAGGUUGAUCAAAAGAAGUGAUUAUAAGAUUGUAGAUCAGCUGCUGCAAACUCCGUCGAAGAUAUCCAUUUUGUCUCUACUCCUGAGUUCCGCUGCCCACAGAGAUACCCUUUUGAAAGUAUUGGAGCAAGCUUAUGUGGAUCAUGAAGUAACUGUGGAUCACUUUGGUAGCAUAGUGGGGAACAUUACUGCCUGCAGCAAUCUGUGGUUCAGUGAAGAUGAAUUGCCCGAAGCAGGAAAGCAUCAUAAUCUGGCCUUGCAUAUCUCCGUGAAUUGCAAGUCCGAUAUGCUAUCAAAUGUGUUAGUAGACACUGGCUCAUCUUUGAACGUGAUGCCCAAGUCAACGCUGGAUCAGCUGAGUUACCGAGGAACUCCUUUGAGGAGGAGCACUUUUUUGGUCAAAGCCUUUGAUGGAACCCGCAAGAGCGUUCUCGGGGAGAUAGACUUGCCAAUAACUAUUGGCCCCGAAACCUUUCUAAUCACCUUUCAGGUCAUGGACAUUAAUGCCUCUUACAGCUGUCUCUUGGGGAGACCAUGGAUACAUGACGCGGGAGCGGUGACCUCUACCUUGCAUCAGAAGUUGAAAUUUGCAAAAAGUGGAAAGCUUGUUACCAUUCAUGGAGAGGAAGCAUACCUGGUUAGCCAGCUAUCAUCUUUCUCUUGCAUAGAAGCAGGGUCUGCAGAGGGGACCGCUUUUCAAGGAUUAACUGUCGAAGGUACGGAGCCCAAGAGAGAUGGAACUGCCAUGGCUUCUUUGAAGGAUGCACAGAGAGCCGUCCAAGAGGGUCAAGCUGCCGGCUGGGGCAGGUUAAUACAGCUUCGUGAGAACAAGCAUAAGGAAGGUCUUGGCUUCUCCCCAACUUCAGGAGUUUCCACCGGGGCAUUCUAUAGUGCUGGGUUUGUCAACGCAAUCACAGAAGAAGCAACUGGAUUUGGCCCGAGGCCUGUAUUUGUUAUACCAGGAGGCAUUGCAAGAGAUUGGGAUGCCAUUGACAUUCCCUCAAUCAUGCAUGUUUCUGAGUAAUAUACCUUGUUGCUUAAGUAUCUUGUUUUUUCAAAAUAACAAUCAUCUCACUCUGCCCAAAGCGAGAGUGAUAUUUUCUGUAAGGGCAUGUUUGUUUCGGCAUUGCCGUUGAUUAAUAAAAAAUUGUCGUUUCUUUCACGACUGCUCUGUUUUAGUGCCUUUUUUCCUUGGAAAUAAUGGUAAUGCCAGAAAAAACCAAAACAUCUGUAUUUUUCUUAUUAAUUUCAAAAAUCUGCAUAAAAACCCUCUUUCUAAAAUCAUCCAACCAUUUUACGCAGAUUGAACUAUAAUAAACCCGUUGGGCACAGUAACCCUGCAUUCCCUCCGAAUUUUGAAUUCCCAGUGUAUGAAGCCGAAGAUGAGGGAGGUGAUGACAUACCAUAUAAGAUCACUCGGUUACUUGAGCAAGAAAAGAAAGCCAUCCAGCCUCACCAGGAAGAGAUUGAGCUUAUCAACAUAGGUACCGAGGAGAACAAGCGAGAAAUCAAGAUCGGUGCUGCUCUAGAGGAAGGGGUUAAAAAGAAGAUCAUCCAACUCCUCCGGAAAUAUCCGGAUAUUUUUGCAUGGUCGUAUGAAGAUAUGCCAGGUCUAGAUCCUAUGAUUGUGGAGCAUCGGAUCCCCACCAAGCUUGAAUGUCCUCCCGUCAGGCAGAAAUUGAGAAGGACUCAUCCAGAUAUGGCUCUCAAGAUUAAGGGCGAGGUUCAAAAACAGAUUGAUGCGGGUUUCCUCAUGACAGUUGAGUACCCUGAAUGGGUUGCCAAUAUUGUACCUGUGCCAAAGAAGGAUGGUAAAGUCCGAAUGUGUGUUGACUUCAGAGACCUGAACAAAGCUAGUCCAAAAGACAACUUUCCAUUACCUCAUAUUGAUGUGCUCGUUGAUAAUACUGCUCAGUCUAAGGUGUUCUCCUUCAUGGAUGGUUUCUCCGGUUACAAUCAGAUCAAAAUGUCUCCUGAAGAUAGAGAAAAGACGUCUUUUAUCACUCCAUGGGGUACCUUCUACUACAAAGUGAUGCCGUUCGGCCUAAUAAAUGCUGGUGCUACCUACCAAAGAGGAAUGACUACUCUGUUUCAUGACAUGAUUCACAAAGAAGUCGAAGUAUAUGUGGAUGAUAUGAUUGUGAAGUCAACAGAUGAGGAGCAACAUGUUGAAUAUUUGACAAAGAUGUUUGAAAGGUUGAGAAAAUACAAGCUUCGAUUGAAUCCCAACAAAUGUACAUUCGGCGUCAGAUCCGGGAAGUUAUUAGGCUUCAUUGUCAGCCAAAAGGGCAUUGAAGUCGAUCCUGAUAAAGUCCGGGCCAUCCGAGAAAUGCCAGCUCCACAGACCGAGAAGCAAGUCAGAGGUUUCCUCGGACGUUUGAAUUACAUCUCCCGAUUCAUAUCUCACAUGACCGCAACCUGCGGGCCGAUCUUCAAGCUACUCAGAAAGAAUCAACCUAUUGUAUGGAAUGAUGAAUGUCAAGAAGCUUUUGAUAGCAUCAAGAAUUACCUGCUGGAACCACCUAUCCUUGUCCCACCCGUGGAAGGAAGGCCUUUGAUUAUGUAUUUGGCAGUAUUUGAUGAAUCCAUGGGAUGCGUGCUUGGUCAACAAGAUGAGAUUGGAAAGAAAGAACAUGCUAUCUACUAUCUAAGCAAGAAGUUCACCGAUUGUGAAACUCGGUAUACAAUGCUUGAGAAGACUUGUUGUGCUUUGGCUUGGGCCGCUAAACGCCUGCGUCAUUAUUUGAUGAAUCAUACAACUUGGUUGAUAUCCAUAAUGGAUCCGAUAAAGUAUAUCUUUGAGAAAGCUGCUGUUACUGGGAAGAUUGCACGCUGGCAGAUGCUUUUGUCUGAAUAUGAUAUUGUGUUCAAAACUCAAAAGGCAAUCAAAGGUAGAAUUCUUGCCGAUCAUCUUGCUUACCAACCUCUUGAUGAUUAUCAACCAAUUGAGUUCGAUUUCCCUGAUGAAGAGAUCAUGUAUUUGAAAUCCAAAGACUGCGAAGAACCGUUGAUUGAUGAAGGUCCAGAUCCCAAUAGCAAGUGGGGUUUAGUCUUUGAUGGUGCUGUCAAUUCUUAUGGCAAAGGAAUUGGGGCAGUCAUUGUAUCCCCACAGGGGCAUCACAUUCCUUUUACCGCCCGAAUUCUGUUCGAAUGUACAAACAAUAUGGCUGAGUAUGAAGCAUGUAUCUUCGGGAUCGAGGAAGCUAUUGACAUGAGAAUCAAACACCUCGACAUCUAUGGGGAUUCUGCGCUCGUCAUCAAUCAGAUAAAGGGUGAAUGGGAGACCCACCAUGCUAAGUUGAUUCCUUAUCGGGAUUAUGCGAGACGUUUGCUGACAUAUUUUACAAAGGUUGAGCUGCACCAUAUUCCUCGUGAUGAGAACCAAAUGGCUGAUGCUCUUGCUACUCUAUCUUCCAUGUUUCGAGUAAACCAUUGGAAUGAUGUGCCAAUAAUCAAAGUGCAACGCCUUGAAAGACCUUCACAUGUGUUUGCUAUUGGGGAUGUGAUCGAUCAGGCUGGCGAAAAUGUGGUUGACUAUAAACCCUGGUACUACGACAUCAAACGAGAACGGCUCUUAUGGAAUACCAUAAUCGUUCCGGGUGCCUAACACCUUCCCGUAGCGAAAGCGACCCCCGAACUUAGAAUCUAAGGGUUUUUUCUCAAUUUUGCCCUUCCCAAGAAAAAAUAGAGAAUAUCAAAGAUUGAAAGGUUCAAGCCUAAUUUAUGACUUGACACCCGAAAAUCGCGAUAACACAGCGGAACUCAGGAGUAGAGAUAAAAUGGAUAUCUUCGACGGAGUUUGCAGCAGCUGAUCUACAAUCUUAUAAUCACUUCUUUUGAUCAACCUCAAAAUCUCGUCCAGAUUAGAAUCCUCUAUAGACCGGCCUGGUUGGCUCGCGUCUCUGUUAACUGGAGAAACAUCAGUCGGGGUUGGCUUGUCAAUGGGUGGCACGGUAGGUGUAGCUGCCUUCUUUUGAAACAACGGUGGACGGACUCUUCCGCUUCUUAGGGCUGCUGAAGUUCCUUCGGCGGUAUUGUUCAUCACAGCCAAGGACACCAGAGGCACUUCUACUCCGUUUUCAAUUAUGGUAGCAUUAUAUUUGUACGGGAUAGCCCUAUCUGAAGUAUACGGUACCGGUCCGGGCAACCUUAUCACCAGAGGCUCAGCAUUCUCCUUUAAAGGCAUACUCUUGACAGGCGGAUCGUGAAAAACUGGCACAAUCACGCAGACAUCACCGACAAUCAAAAAAUUAUCAUUCAUCAAGCUUUGGAUGUCAUUUUGAACAGUAAAGCAACCCAAAGGAUUACGAAGGCAUCCUAGGCACUUGGCAUGAUCAUGGCUGAACAGAGAAGCUUUGCACAGCUUGAUGUGUAGAGGCACCAGAGGAGUUGCGACGUUACGGACAUCAAGUCUAGGAGCUUCCUCACACACUUCGAUCAUAUUUACAGCGGCAUGAUUUGGAAGAGGAUUGUCGAGGACAUGCGGGACAUUAUUCUCAAAAGUCAGCUUUCCUUGAUCAAUGAGCUUCUUCACGAUAUACUUCAAAGCAUAGCACCCCUCUACAUCAUGACCCAGGGCGCCUUGAUGGAAAUCACAUUUGAGAUCGGACCUGAACCUUGGAGGCAACGGAUCAGGUGGGGGCUUGCCCUGUCUGGUUGUACAAUGCCCUCUAUGGAGUAAAGUCGGAAGCAACUCAGCAUACAACAUCGGUAUCGGAGGGAAAGUAGGUCUAGCUUGCUGAUUUUGUUGUUGUUGAACUGGCAACUGUUGUUUCAUCUGUUGAGCAAUUGCAUUAACGGGUACUUGAGGUUGACCCGGUGGCAAAGGGUACUGAUGAUAGAAUGGCGGAAAGAAAGGAUGCUGAGAAUACGGCGCAUAUGAGUACGACGGAGGCAUUUGGGCAGCAUUGAUAGGAGCAACAAUAGCCAUGGAUUGACCGGCUCCGGCAGACACCAUCCAUACUUCCGUUUCUUUCUUCUUGUGGUGUCCAUUACCAUACCUCUUUGACGCAUUCACAGAGGAUUCAGCUUUCUCGAACACAAUGAUUCCUUCCCUGACGGCUUCUUCCAGACGAGUUCCCAUGGUGACCAUCUCCGAAAAGUUAUUCGGGGCAGCAAUGAUCAUUCUCUCAACAUAAUCCUUUUUCAAGGUCUUUAAGAAUGUCUGGGUCAUUUCUUCUUCAUCAAGAGCGGGAGUAAUGCGGGCAGCUGCCCCCCUCCAUCUCUGUGCGUAUUCACGGAAGCUUUCCUCCUUCUGGGAGAGAGAUCUGAGGAAUUCCCUGUUCGGCUUCAAUCUGGUGUUAAACCCAUAGUGGCUUUUGAAAGCAGUGGCCAAUUCAUCAAAGGUAUGGAUGUCAUUUUUGCUCAAACUAGUAUACCACUCUGCAGCAUCUUCCAUCAAGCUAUCUUGGAAGCAGUGGAUCAUAAGUGAAUCAUUGUCUUUGUAAUUACCCAUCUUUCGGACAUACUUGAUGAUGUGGUUCUGGGGACAAGUCAGCCCAUUGUAUCGGUCGAAAUCCGGGAUUUUGAACUUCUUAGGGACAUCCACCUUUGACACCAAGCAGAGAUCUUGAGUUUUGAAAGAGUCCGCAUUCCCUCGAUUGGCUUUGAUUUCAUGAUGGAGUUCUUUAGCAAGUUCCUCCAUCAUCUCUUCCAUGGUUUUGAUCACGGGGAUGUUUCCGUGCUGUGUGUUGAUGUUAACACCUUGAGGUAUGGCAUGCACAAGAGGCUCAGUGACAGCUGCCGUUGUUUGUGGCAAAGUAGUAUUGAUGGAGACAGCAUUUGUUGCAGGAAUCAGAACAUUGUUAGCAAUACCAGAAGUGCCCGCUGCAGUACUGAGAGUGAAGAACGGUGGAAGCCCAUACGGAAACCCAGCCGGCAUAGCGAAGCGAGCGUCAGUAGAGGCAGUUGGGAGCAUGCUUGUAGUCACAUGCAUGGCUGUGCCUAUAGGGAUAGCUGUGGCUGAUUGUUCCUGAGCGGCUAGCAGAGCUGUCAUGACAUCAUUAGCCUUAGCCAAUUCUUCCCUUAGAGUGGCUAACUCGGUACGGAGCUGAGCAUUUUCUUCUUCCAUGGCUACCGAAUUCUUCUUUCUGUAGAGUCUAGUCCGGUGUAUUCUGUCUGGUUCGUAGACUUUUCGAGCACGAGCCACCUUUCAAUCUGUGGCAGAAGAACCAGGAGGCAGUGAGCGCUUGGAAACCUUUUGUGACUUGAUGAAUGAUGCACAUGAUGCAUGAUAUGUACACAUGCAAAUGCAAAAAAGUUUUUUUUUUGACAUCGAAGGAUUUUUAGACAAAUUAGGAGCUCUGUAAACAAUAUCUAAACAAGCAAAGCAAAACGAAGUGUUUACACGACGAAUCCCUUUGAAAUACUAAGCCAAGGGAAGACUUUGCAAUAUAAACAAAUAAAACUCUCAUGCACAGGAAGUGGUGGGAUGAUCCUCAGACUCAGACUCCGAAUCCGAACUGCAGUAUCUAGCAUAGAAGUUGUGUCGUCCUCUAGCUCUCUUGGAGUCCCGCAUAAGUAACUCAUCCCUUUCUUCAAGUUCCUUUCGGACUUUAACCAAUUCCUUCUUCAACAUCAGGUUCUCAUGAGUCUUCUGCUCAUCCUUACCGUCCAAAGUUAUGAUUAGAUUCUCAGCUUCAUUGUAUCGGGCUUUCCACAUUUGUUUCUCACGACUUUCCAUGGCCAGAUGCUCCUGAUACAUCUCCUGAGUUGUGGGAGGUAGAGGUAAAGGUAUAGAUGGAGCAGAUGCAGCCACAUGUCUCAUAGCAGGGUAUGGCAUACCAAUCUCUUCAGCUCGGUUUAUUACCCACUGAGUAUAGGCCUCAUGAGCAAUACCAGAUCUCACACCCAAAUGCUUCACACUCUUCCUUCGGACCUUAGACCAAGCCCUUGUGAAAGCCUCCCUUUGUCCGGUGGGGGCGUUCGAAUAGUAGAAGAACUCCGGAGAUGUACCAAGAUUGAUGGGCUUUGUCUUCAUUGGGAACCCAAACUGUCUCAUAGCAAGCUCCGGAUUGUAGUUGAUUCCCCCACGGGUACCAAGAAGAGGUACAUUGAGAAAAUCUCCACAACCAGUAAUAAUUUCCUUAACCUGAGCGGCGGGAGUGAUCUAGACCACCUCGUUAGGAGAGAGAGCCAUCAUCCGCUGUGAGCAGGACCAAUCCUCCGAGUUGUCAUGGAAGGAGCUCGGAAGGUGAGAAAUAAACCACCUAUAUAGGAGAGGCACGCAGCAAAGGAUAUACCCACGACCUUUGAGAGUCCGGUCAUGGAUAGCAUGAUAUGUGUCAGCUAGCAAGGUAGGAACCGGAUUCCUGAAAUGGAAGAUCUCAAUAGCAUUCAUGUCCACAAAGUUGUCGAGAUUCGGGAAGAGAAUGAGCCCAUAGAUAAGCAAUGCAAGAAUAGCCUCGAGUGUGUCCUGACAAGUAGUUUUGAGAUUGGCUUGCUCAAGUAGAUACUUUGAAGUGAACCCUCGGAUGUGAGACUUCGUAGUAAGAUGCUUGGAGACAUCGGAAGUCUUGAGAUAGAGAUCCUUAGCAAUAACCAGAGGAGUAAGAGAAGCCCCGGGACCGGUGAAAGGUGUCUUCUCGACUAUAGGUGAAUCCAAUAAGUGGGAAUAAGCCUCAAGAGUAGGGACCAACUGGAAAUCCGGGAAAGUGAAGCAACGGAAACUCGGGUCAUAAAAUUGCACUAGAGUGUGCACGAGCUUCUCUUCAACAUUAGUUCGGAGAAUAGUAAGCAAACCACCAUAUCGGAGUCGGAAACCUGUUUGAUUCUUAACCUUGAGUGCCAAAUCUCUCAAACUAACCAAAUCAACCUCCUUGAACUUGUAGGACUUAGUCUUCUUCAUACCUGUAAUGUUUACAAAGUUUUUUAAUUUGUCCAAUCCUUCGAUGAAUGCAUGAGAAAAAUUUAUGCAUGAAUGCAUGUAUGCAUGAUUGUUUUUUUUAAUUACAGAGAAAACAUGGAGGGUUGAGAUUAAAGUCGAGGAGCCACGGGCGGACACGGUGCCCGGUAAACUAGGGCUUAGGAUAAUAGUAACCAAGGUUCUAAUCAAGUUCCCAAACUGCAACCUCUCUUUCGUAUAUCAUGGUAGCACGGGACAACGUCCGUUCCAUGUUUAUUCGCAAGAAGGUCUAGUUUGAGUGUAGUAUCGCAUGACGACUAAAACUCGAGACAACACUCGGUUUAGCCACCGCACUACGUCCUAAAAAGGCCAGGGAUGGGUUUGGUAACUACGGUCCAUAGCAUCGUCGAACAAUUGAAAGCAAAGUGCCUAAGCAUGACAACACACGCCGACAAUAUUACUUCCAAAAUGCCUCAGCUAUGUGAGAUUGAUCGCAUAACCCAAUACACGAGGCAACCCUCGGAUCGAAUUGUCGAUUAUAUCUCUACCUAUUCAUAAGUUCACUCAGCCCGGGUAUAGGACUUUUGAUAUUCUCACCCCACACGUCAAAUGAAAAUAAACAAGUAUUCACAUAUGUAAGCAAUAAAACAAAGCAUAAAUAUAAACUAAGGAAAACUAGGCGUGACCCGCUAAAAGUGUCCCCAGUGAAGUCGCCAUUUCUGUUAUCGCGAUUUUCGGGUGUCAAGUCAUUAAUUAGGCUUGAACCUUUCAAUCUUUGAUAUUCUCUAUUUUUUCUUGGGGAGGGCAAAAUUGAGAAAAAAAACCCUUAGAUUCUAAGUUCGGGGGUCGUUUUCACUACGGGAAGGUGUUAGGCACCCGCGUUGACUAUAGUACUCUAUAGGAGCCGUUUUCUUAGUUUAUGUCUACGCUUUAUUUUUAAUGCUAUUUAUGAAAAGGGAAAUUUAUUUAUGUUAAGAAUGGGGGGAGAAAGUGUUUGAGGUUUUAUUUUAGUGGACUUGGAGAGGUCUUGAUAAUGCAAUGUUGUGGAGAUAAUCAAUAUAAUUGGGUGUUGUCCUAUAUAUUGAGUUGAGAUUGUGAAUUGUUGUCGCAUUAUCGAGUCCUUAUACAUGUCCAUGCAUCAUAGUCGUUGUUGCUGUAAAAGGGAUGACUCUUUUACUUCGAGAUUAUUGUAAGGCAGAUGUGAGCCCUUACAUUCGGUGUGCAAGUGGCAUCGAAAGGUGACGACCUUGUUGAGAUUUGGUACCGCAUGCAUUUAUGUGUCCAUAAGUGCAUAUCAUAGCAUGAGUCCUAUGUGAAUUAUGUGAUUGGUGAUGAAUUGAGAUGAAUGAAUGUUGAUAAUGAUUGUCUAUGAUUGAUGUUGUGAAUGAAUAUUUGUGAUUAGAUAAAUUAUUCAUGUGAUUGAUAUAUGUGGAUACGAACUAUCAAGUGGUGAUGUAAAUAUUUAUGAAUGACUAUUAUUAUUCAAGUACAUGAUAUUAUUUGAUUUGAUUAUUAUCUGGAUUAUGAUAAUGUAAUGCUUACCCCCAGUGGUUUUAACCGCCUACUUGCCUGUAUGGGUGAGUAGACGUUGUGCAGGAGUAGUCUCGGUGAGUCUUUGCGUGGGAUAUCGGGAGCUUCCUCCGAUAUCGGGUCGUGUCGGCUCUGAUCUAGGCUUGUCGUGUCGGUCUAGAUUAGAUUGUUAUAUUUUCCGUUGGAUUAUGAUUUUGUUGAUGAUUACCCGUAUGUUUGGGUUUUGAGAUUUAUCUUUGAGACAUGAUUUAUUUGCUCAUGGCAUGUAUAUAUUUGAUCACUCUGAUUUGUAUUCCGCUGUAACUGUUGAGGUUUACAUACAUGUCUAUCGUUUUUUUUGAAUUUUGAAUGAGACGUAAUCUCUAUUUCUUGAAUAAAUGUAUUAUUCGCAUGUUUAAUUGCUUUAAUAGAAAUAGGAGCGUUACACCUUCCCUAAAAAACAGAAAAAAAAACUCCUGCUUUCCUGCUAGAAUCGCCUUCCUCUUGAAUGCUUAAACUUCAUAAAGUUAAACAUUCAACGUUUGACCUCAACCCUAGUGUUACAGAUCACAACACAUGCUUAUUCGACUAUGUAAAUAAUUAGAUAAUAGCUAAGAAUUUGUAACUUAAUUAGGUGGACCAACUUUGUUUUUUGAAGUCAAAGUAUUCAGGGCAUUAAAGCGAUUGGAGGCUUUUUGCUUAACAGUUUUUGUGGUAAAUGAGAUGGGGCUAUUUGGAAUUUUCUUUUUUCUAGUGACGAGCAGCCAAUCACCAUACAGUUCAUUAUUUUCACCAUCAAUGCUAAUUAUUGUGUCAUUAUUUGCUGAUGAUUUUGAGGAAAAAUAGUAACUGUCUUACCGUUUUGGGUCACCGGAAUUGAAUGCGUGAUGGUAGGGCUUGGUUAUUGCGUUUGGAUAUGCUCCUCAUGGUGGUUGACUGCGGCUGGCUUAGUCGGAGGUGUGGUGGUGCAGUUCCGUCCAAGGUGCCCGUAACAACCACAACUGGUGCAAAUUAGGUGCAGACCCUCGUACUGGACUUUGUACCAAUAUCCGUUUACCCAAAUCUUUCCUAUGACCUGCAUAGUCAUAUCAAUCUUGUUAUCGCGAUUUUCGGGUGUCAAGUCAUUAAUUAGGCUUGAACCUUUCAAUCUUUGAUAUUCUCUAUUUUUUCUUGGGGAGGGCAAAAUUGAGAAAAAAAAACCCUUAGAUUCUAAGUUCGGGGGUCGUUUUCACUACGGGAAGGUGUUAGGCACCCGCGGUGACUAUAGUACUCUAUAGGAGCCGUUUUCUUAGUUUAUGUCUACGCUUUAUUUUUAAUGCUAUUUAUGAAAAGGGAAAUUUAUUUAUGUUAAGAAUGGGGGGAGAAAGUGUUUGAGGUUUUAUUUUAGUGGACUUGGAGAGGUUUUGACCUCAUGCCUACAUACCCAUUUAAGGGAUCAAACUCCAUGUAGUUCUCUCUCAAAAAAUGUUUUUUUGUGUGUUUGGUUGAUUUUAGUUUUUUGUUGGAAAAUGGUUUUGAAGAAGAGAAAGAGGCCUUAAAGGCAUAAGAGAGAAAAAUGGUGAAUGGUUGGUUCAAUUGUUAUUAAAAAAGUCUAAGUAGGAAUUAGGAUUCAUUUGGAUUUGUUUAAGAAAAUAAAGGAAGAAAUUCAAUGGAGUUUUGACUCCAAGGUUUGUUUGGAAAAAUUUGAGUGAUGGAAUUGGUUUAUUAUUUUUUUGAAAAUUGGCAUUUGUCUAAAAAUCGCGUUUCCUAAGCAUACAUCUAAACGGUAAACAUGCAACGUGUGUGCGUGUCGGUGCUUGUGUCGGUGUACAUCACUUAUAGUGUCCAUAGUCCUUUACAUUGAGUCCUAAAUACAUGCUAUGGUCUUGCAAGGAAUUAAAAAAAGGAACUAAUCUAUCUAAAAUUAUUACAAACCCAUUUGAUAUAGAAAUGAAUAGAAAAAUGAUGUCUAAACUAUGGGAUGAAUGAAAUGUGAGAUGAAAUGGUUAGUAUCAUAAGGCAUAAAAAUAGUAGAAAGGUAAACAAAAUUGAAUAGAAUAGCAAGAGGAAAAAAGUAAUGAAAUGAAAUAAAAUGGCAAAAUAUACCUAAAAUUGGUUAUGACAGUUAGACAUGCACAUGACCUAUAAUCCCCUCAUUAUAGCAAUGUUAAAGGGGUUUGAUUUUGAGCUAUAAUGUGGGAACAAAUAGGACACAUGCAAGCCAAGAAUCAUGACACAUUUUUAAAGACAUUUUGCACUUUAUUUCUUGGUAAAAACACACAUUACUUGCAAAACAAGAAAGAAAUGAAAAUCUACAUCCACAAUCAGCAAGACAUACAUAUGAUCAGCAACAUAUUCACCAUGAAAUUACACACCAAUCAUCCACAUCACAUGCCAACAUUUUAUGAGAAAAUAUACCACAAAAAUACAUAAACUUAGAUCAAACACAAAAUUAAUCAAGAAAAAUAACACACACAUUUUUAUCAUUUUUUAAACCAUUGAAAAAUAUCACAAAAGUAUUAAAAUGUAUUAAGAAACAUAUAACAAUUUUUUUUAGGAAUUUUUAGAGAAAAGAUUGAGCAUGAAGAGGUUCAAUUAGCAAAAAAGCAGGGUGCAGAUAGCAGGAAAAUAGCAAAAACGUACAAGAACCUUAGGCCCAAACCCAAAGUCCAACACCAGAUCACAGGAAAGUACAGGGACCGUUGGAUUGAUCCAGGAGAUGGAACCCUAGAUCCAACGGUCUAGAUUGAGGGAAAACGAACCAGAAUUGGACCGGUCCGGUUCAGUUGGUUAUAAAAGGGUUGGGGGACCGGUCCAGUUCAUUCUUCUUUCUCCUCUCUCUCUCUCUCUAACCUAAACCUAGUGAGAGAAGCUCUCACACCUCUCCUCUCUUCCGGUCGUCUUCUCCGGUGAGCUUCACCGCUCCGGUGUGGUGGUUUGCCGGCCCAACAGGGCGGCGCCGCCGCACCGGAGAUGAGAAACUCCUCCGUUUUCAAAUUUUUUUGCAGAUUAAGACAUCCUUUUUCGUUCUAAGCAUGAAUAUGGCAUUGGAUUUUGCAUACAAGGUUCGAAUCAACGUAGAUCUGGAAUUUUGUGUUUGCGGUUUACGAAAUCUUUUUCUUGUUUUCUUAGUUCUUUUCGAAUGGAAACUUUCAGAGCUUCACGGAUCUACGUUAGAUUCGUCCUUGUUGACGUUUUUUUACGGGAAAAAAAAGGUGCUUAGGUUUUACCUGGAAUUUUGAAUCGGAGAUUUCGAAACGGAAUCUUCAGGAAAAGCUUGAAUCCGGUUCUGCUUGUUGAUUUCUUGCUUUAAACCGGAAAUAAAUCGGUGCCGUUCCUUCUUCUUCUUCACCGGUCCAGAUUCUGCUUCUUUUCUUCUUCUUCUCACUGAUUCCUUCGUGAUCGGUGCUGGAGUUUGCCAAUGGCGAAUUCGCACCUUGAAUUGCGAAGGAAACUGAUUCGAUGAUGAAGAUUCAGUGAUGAAUCUCUGAGAAUUGCGAAAGAUCUUGUUGAUUCUCUGUUGAUUUGCACUGAUUUGUGAUGUUUUGUGUUGAUUUGUGUUGAUUUGUGAUGAUUUGUGUUGAUUUGUGAUGAUUCUGGUGGAAUUUUGAAACGGUUAGGGUUUGAGUGUUCUUGGUGUUCUUCGUGAUUUCUGGAAAUUGUUGAGUUUUGAUCUUUGAGAGCAGAAAGAGAAAGUUGGAAAGUGUUUGUGAUGUGGCAUGUGAUUAAUGGAUCUCCCUCUGACUUGUACAGUAAUUGCACCUUUUAUAGGCUGCCAAGUGUGCUUGAGACCCAAUGAAAGAGGGACACCUGUAAUUGGACUUAUGGACAUUGCUGCAAAAAAGAAAAAAUAAAAGGACUAAUCUGCAAUUAUGAAAAAGGACUUAAAAAUGCAAUUUUAAAAAGUAUUGGACUAAAAUGCAAUUUUAGAAACUGUUUCAGGGACUAAAAUGCAAUAAAAAUAAAAUUGGACUAAAAUUGGACAAAACGUAAAGUGAAACCAAAAAUAAAAUCAACAAAAGGACUAAAAUGAACCAGCUACAAAAAUGAGGUAUUUUAAAAUACCUCUCUGCCGAAAUUUUGACAGGAAAAGACCAAAAUGCCCCUAGGGACUAAACUGACUCAAACUGACUCAGAUGCAAUUUUUGAAAUGAUUUUUAAACAAAGACUCAACAAUGAUUUGUACAGACAAAUUGAAAAGACUCAGAGGCAAACACAGGGACUAAAAUGGGUUCCACUGCAGGAAAUGACCAAAAUACCCUUUUGUAUGAUUUUUUGAAAUAAAAUGCAAGAAAAGUAAUGCGACGUUUCAGAGGGUUCUUAAAUGACUUGUAAUGUCAGAAAAGACAGAGGCAGUAAAAUACGUUUAAAAAGAGAGUAAAGAUUCAGAGUAAAAUAACAGAGAAUUGACAAAUAUCAGUGUUAAAAAAGAAAUUUGAACGAGUAUUUUUAGGUCCAAAAUCAGGGUAUAACAAAUCUCAACACAAACUCUUGCGAAUUUACCUUGUUCAAUUUUCAGUGUUUGUAUCAAUCUUAAUGGGGCGGCCAAGAGCAGAAGCCAUAGCUAAGAGAAAGCUCUCGUCAUAGUAAACUAGGUUCAGCCCUGGAAAUCUCACUGAAACGAUUGUUUUGUCCACCUUAGCAUUUGGAGAUGCAAAUUCUGGCAUUCAGUGUGUGACUGCAAGACAAUGGUCGAAUAUUAACUAAGGGCCUCCGGUGAUGAUCUUUUCUUUGUAUGCAGCUUCAUCGAAUUUCACCAUAUAGAAUCCGUUAUUGUUGUCCAUGAUUUCAAAACCUCCCUGGGUUCUCCAAGUUUUUUGUAAUCGCUCCCUCAUUGUGUGGUAGCUGAGGUUUUUCCCUAGCAGCUUGACGACAAUUGCAUCCUUCCAUGGUGUACAAAGUUGUUGAAAGACUGAUUGUUCGAGAUGAACCUUGGGUAGAAGACGGUUUCCAUUCUCAUGUUCGAUACAGACAAGCUUUUUUUCGAUCAUGUCCUCUUUUUCUCGGAUUAGGGUUUCUUGGGAGGGGCCUUUGUCACGGAAAGAGAUCUUUGGGGUUGGAGGCUGUUGUGGAUCAGGCGGUUUUUUGGUGGCGGCUUGAAGGUUGUGAUCACUCUGAGCAGAGAAAAAUUCUUCCAUUGCACUCGAUUCCUAUCGUACUUAAAUUUUUAAUUCUGCAGGAUGAAGCUCAUGAACGACGACGAUGUGAACCAAAUUUUAUUAAAAUUAAGUAAGUAUUAAUUUAGAAGUUUUCAAUUUUAUAAAAACCAAAAACAUAUUUAACCCUUUAUUACAAAAGUUAUAGAUUUUUUUAUUAGUAUCCAGGUCGUUACACAAUCGUACCAGUGAUCAAUUAGUCUAUGCGAUGAUCUAAUUACCUAACGUCUUGACCGGUCUAAGUUUAAAUGUAUUUUUAUAUAUAAAUACAUAUAUACACACAAACUAAGAGCCAAAACCUCAUUCACGGCUUACCCGCCGUAACUGUUUGAAGAAGAAGGAGAAAUGCCGCAAAGGAGAAGUUCAAAAGCAGCGGCGACCGCCGAUAAGAUCAGCGGUUUACCGGACGAUGUUCUUUGCCACAUUCUCUCACUUUUCACCACCAAAGAAGUUGUUGCAACAAGCAUUCUUUCAAUAAUUUAACUUUUCUCAUGCUUUUAUUGGUAUCAACAUGUCAGGGUGGGUGUUAGUGUCAGUGUUUCGUUCGUAGUCCUGAAUUGAAUACAAUACACUAAUGUAACAAUGUGAUUUAUUUUCUUUUUUCUUUUGGAAAUUUCCCCCUAAUUUGUUAGUGUCUUUCCAUGUAAUAUAGGUCAGUCAGCCUCAUUCCCCAUAUGAAAAUAUUCCUAUCUUUCAUAAUUUGACAUACUUGGAGCUCCACAACAGUUGACAUUUGAAAUUACAAGUUCUUCACCACUGCCCUAAGCUUCAAAAUCUCAAAAUUUACGAGGUUUGUUAAGUUUAAAAAUCAUAUUUGGUUUAUCAUUUCUUAACAAAUGCUUAUGUUUUGUUUUAUUCUGUGUACAAUAUAUAGGAGUCAUAUGCGGCAAUGGGAAUUGAAGAUAAUCAAGAAAAUUGGGUGGACCCAGAAUUUGUUCCACAAUGCCUUUUAUCACACCUUAGAACUUACACUAUUCGGAACAAUGCAGGUCCACAAAGUCAACUUAUGUUAGGGAAAUAUAUUUUGAAGAAUGCAAACUCUUUACAAACCAUGACAAUCUCAAGUGAAAGUGAAAAAAGAAAAUUGUCUGAAUGUCCGAAAGCCUCUCCAACAUGUCAACUUCUACUUCCCUCUUCAUUUUUCUGUGUCUGAAAUGCUCCAGCUGCCAUGAUCAAAAUCUAGUUAUAGAUAGAUAGUUUGAAAAUACCCGUCAAAACAUGUUCCUGGAUUCUCGAAUCUUUUAGUUUUUAAAAGUUUACCAGAAAUGGAAUAGCCCCUACUUCUGCUAUCUUCUAUUGUCCAUUCCGGUUGUUGCGAGUAAGCCGAAUCUCGUAUGCCCAUUGUUGUUGGAUAUUAAUUCUACCAGUUCCCAAUUUUCCAACAAGAAAUAGCAUUCUCAUUCUUGUGCCUCUUGGUGGCACUGUCUAGGUAGUAAAACUCUGCAGUAAUCAUUCCCAACCAUAUUUUCUCUACUGAGGCAGAAGAAUUCUACAGUUGCAGAACAUGGAUUCUUUGUAAAUAGGAUCCGGAGGUGGCAGUGGCAGCAGGCCAACAAAUUUUAUCAACAGGAAAUCGAAUUAGUACAUGAGGUGGAAGCAAUUCUGCAAAUUUGAAUUCUGAACUAGUACAUUUCAGGUCAGCGGCAAGUAAACUUGGAUUCUAAUCUUUCACUUGCCUUGAAUCUUAUUUGGAAAAGCGAAGCUCCAUAAAAAUGUGUUUGAUUGGAGACUAUUGCAUGAUAGAGCACUUACAAGAGAAGCUUUGAACCAGCAGUGCUAUAUGGUGUGGAUAUAUUUUCGCAUAAAACACACGAACAAGUGGCUGAUGCGCUGAAAGAAACCUGCGGACUAACAAACCUUUCACUAUCGACCACAUGCGUCAAGAGUUUGUCUCUGGCAUGACUCACCUAUGCAAUGUUACUGCAUAGCCACCUACCUUAAUCCAUCUGAUAAGUUCCUUUAACCUCAACACCUUGACAAAUAGUAACAUUUCAAGUAAAACCGAGCAAUCAACUAAUCAUUGAAGUGAGAUUGAUGAUAGACUCCAAGUUCCUUUAACCCUAACACCUUGACUACAAGGAAACAUUUUGCUAGUUCUCAUGCGCAUUGUUCAAGUUUGAAAUUAAAUAAGUCUUCAAUAUUUAUUGAUUUUACAGAAUUAAUUAAUAUUUUUACAAAUUGUUACUGUAUUUUUCACGGGGUUAAGGCUUGACGCACAAACUAUCUGGACAAGCAUAAAUGGAAUAAUUUUCAGGGGUGAUAUUGUAGAAAUUAUGAAAGAUGAAAUGAGUUUUGUUAACACGUGCCUUAAAAGGCAUUGGCUAUGAAAUUCAUUAAUAGAAACUUUGUCUUAAAAAUACAAUUAUUUUUUAAAUGGAUUUUAUCGACCUCAUUAAUGGAUUUUUUUAAAUGAAGACCUUAAUUGCUUCAACAAUAUCAUCGACCUCAUUAACUUUAUCGCUAUAAAUAUCAUUACGAAGUCUCUAAGUCACCCAAAUCAUCGCAUGUAAAAUUAAGCAAAGUCGCUUUUCCCUAAAAAUGGGGCCACUUUUGUCAAUUUAUUUCAUAGAGGGCUAAAGUCGCAACUUUCUAAAACAUAAGGGGUGAAAAGUGCACUUUAAAAUUGAAUUUAUUAUAGGCUUAAUUGCACUUUUGGACCCCUAUCUUUCCAAAAGUUGCGGUUAUGGACCCCUAACUAAUUGGCUUAAUUGCACUUUUCUCCCCUAUAUUUUGUCAAUUGUGCGAUUUUGCACCCAAUGUUUUUAAACGUGCGAUUUUGCACCCUAUCAUUUUCCCCCUUUCUGAUUUUAUGGCCCCCUGCGUGUUUUACCGAUGAUCUGUCUGUUUUUUAUGACGUGUCCGCAUUUAAUUCAUGCCAUAUGUGUAAAUCAAAUUUAAAAAAAAAAACAAAAAAUAAAAUUUUUGGAUUUAAAGAGAAAGGAGUCACGUGACUCCCAUUCUUUAACAAACUAAUCAAACAUUACUAAAACAUAGGAAACAAUGUAUCCACAAUCAUUAAAUUUUAACAUUAUCUUGAUCAAAAAGAACUUCAACAUUACAUUACAACUUCAACAUUGUCACAAAUCAAAAAGAACUUCAACAUUACAUUACAUCUUAAACAUUACAUCAGACCUUCAACAUUAAAAUCACAACCACAAGGAACAUUACAAUCAAUCCUAAACAUACAACUCCUUUAACAAUUUUUCUGUUCAUUUUUUCCAGUGAAUCAUUUUUCCUCAACAAAGCAUUUAUAAGUUUCUUCUCUCUUUCAGAACAAGCUUCAUCGUACCAUUUGAAGAAGUUACAAAAUCAAGAAUAAACGAAGAACUAGGUUUUCGAAAAUCCAUGAAUCUACAACGGUUCAAAAUCGAUUGAUAGACACGGUUCAAAAUCAAGGAAGGAUGGGAGAAAAGAUGAGAGAUCGAUAAAAGGGUAGGAGAAAGCGAGCAAAACGAAAGCAGAAAAGAGGAAGAAAAUGGAAGAGGCAGUCGAUAGAAGUGGGGAAGAAGAUAGAAGCGGUAGUCGAUAGAAAGGGGGGGGGGGGGGGGGGGGGGGGGGUGCGGUGGCGGUGGCGGUAGGAUUUUGUGAAGGUAAAGAAAGGGAGUCGCGUGACUCCUUUCUCUUUAAAUCCAAAAAAAAAAAAAAUGUUCUUUUGUUUUAAUUUGAUUUACACACAUGGCGUGAAUUAAAUGCGGACACGUCAUCAAAAACAGACAGAUCAUCAGUAAACACACGCAGGGGACCAUAAAAUAAGAAAGGGGAAAAAGGAUAGGGUGCAAAAUCGCACAAUUGACAAAAUAUAGGGGGGAAAGUGCAAUUAAGCCUAACUAAUUUAAAUACAAAACAUCCCCUUAUGUUUUGAUUCUUUGGCAAUUUUGGACCCACAAGACAAAAAAUAAAUAAAAAUUUGACAUGUGGCACCUCACUUAGGGUGCCACGUCAACGUUGACCGAGUCAACAAUGGACUGGGGGUCCAAUACUGCCAAAGAAUCAAAACAGAGGAGACUGUUUUGUAUUUAAAUUAGUUAGGGGUCUAUAACCGCAACUUUUGAAAAAAUAGGGGUUCAAAAGUGCAAUUAAGCCUUUAUUAUAUUGAGAGGCUCAAAAGCCUCGUCUCGUUUACGCUACACCCCAAAGGAGAAGAAAUGCAGCGACAGAAACGGAGACGGAGAAGUUCAAAAGCAUCAUUGACAGUGGCGGAUAAGAUGAGCAGGUUACCUGAUAAUGUUCUUCACUACAUCCUCUCUCUUGUAUCCACCAAAGAAGCAGUUGCUACAAGCAUUCUUUCAAAGAGAUGGAAUAAUCUUUGGCUCUCUCUUCCCAAUAUCGAUUUCAACAACAUCAAAAUCGAUAACAUUGAAUCUAAUUCAAGAUUUAACGAUUCUGUUUACUCUGUUUUAGUCUCUCGAGACACUGCUAUCGGCGGUUCUCAUUUCAUCAACCGUUUCUGCCUCGACGUUCAAUUCUGUAACCCUCAUCUUGAGUAUAAGCGCAGUUAUCCCAAUGUUGUCAAAUGGAUUAACCUUGUUGUUCAACGCAGACUAAAGUAUCUUCGUCUCAAUCUCCGUUUGAGUUAUGAUGAUGAUGAUCUCCAUCUCGACGUAGAUGAUUAUGAUAAUAGCUACUUACCAAAAUUGCCUAUUACAAUCUUCACCUGCAGAACCCUUGUUAGUCUUGACCUCCAUCGCUUCUCUGUCAAGGGCUUUUUUUUUUUUCCAUUGGAUUUGGAUUUCCAUCACUCAAAACCCUUUGGUUGAGAGCAAUUAAAUUCGCUACAAAACGAGAUUUUAUCUUGCUUCUAUUUGGAUGUCCAGUUCUUGAGGAUCUAAAAUUAUUUCGUAUAUACUUGCGUCGUGGUGAUGACUCUGUUGCCAUUCAACAUUUUAAAACCUUAAGCUCAUGCUUACCCAAAUUGAUUAGAGCAGAUAUCACUCAACGUGUGUGUUACCGUUUUCUGCUGAAAGCACUUUCUACUUCUAACUCUCUGCGCUUAGAUACAUUCAAGUUGUACCGCAGCGUCUACCAGGUCCGUUUUAUUAUUAUGAAUACAAUGCUGAUUUAUUUUCUUUUUCUUUCGGAAAUUUUACCCUAAUUUGUUACUGUCAGGUUGGUCAGCCUCAGCCCCCAUAUGAUGAUAUUCCUAUCUUUCAAAAUUUGACCAACUUGGAGCUCUGCAAUAGGUGGCGUUUGGUAGUACAAGUUCUCCACCACUGCCCUAAGCUUCAAAAUCUCAAACUUUACACGGUUUGUUGAGUUUAAGAAUCAUACUCUGUUAUCUUUUCUUAACAAAAAAGCUUUAUGUUUUGUUUUAUUUUGUGUACAAUAAACAGGGGUCAUAUGCUGCAAAGAGAAAUGAAGAUGAUCAAGAAAAUUGGGUGGAACCAGAAUUUGUUCCACAAUGCCUUUUAUCACACCUUAGAACUUGCACUCUUCAGUUCUUUGUAAUCCGACGUAAACGAAUGAUAGCAAAAUAUAUUUUGAAGAAUGCAAAUUUUUUACAAUGCAUGACAAUCUUGAGUGAAUGUGAAAAAAGCAUAUUGUCCGAAUUCCCGAAAGCCUCUGCAACAUGUCAACUUUUAGUUAAUGCUAACAUAUAGACUAUGUAAGUAGUAGUUUCUCUAUUAUGCCUGUUAUUUAUUAUAGAUCAACUCUUAUCCAUUUUCUGGGUACUUGUAUGCGAAAUUCAGAUUUAAUGCAUAACCACAGGGAAGGACGCACACACGAAGAAUAAAUUAGUAGUUGUUUUCUAAAAGAAAUUCAUGUCUUUCUUUUGAAUCCAUAUAAUGUUUUGAUAGCGCUAUGAAGGACUUAGAUCUAAAUGAUCUUUUUGAAGAUUUAGUUUUGCUGUCAUAGGUUACCAGGUAGUUUAGUAGUCAGGAAAAGGUGCUUAAAAUUUACUGCCCGGCAAAAUUUUGUAAUUAGAUGACUUGUGAUUUGCGAGAUGCUUACGAUUGGGAUAUUAAGAACCAAUGUGUUAGAUUAAGGGCUGUGACUGUGAUCUGGGCUACAAAAUCAAGGUUUGUGAUGUUUCUGUGAUUGCAACAUGACCAUUAUUGAGGUCGCAUUUGACCGCAAUUCUACGCAAUAGAAAGGAUUGCGAGACAACUACGACAACAGUUUAAAACCUUGUUAGGAGCCUAUGAUUAGGCCUUCAACUUUUUAGCACUUUUGAAGAAAAUAAAAAGGACAAAAAGUGUUUAGUUUUCUUCCAAUGCUUUUGCCCCAAAGAUUGAAACAAAUCUUUCAAUCUGGCAAGUUUAUUUGGCAUAAUAGACCAUUCUUUCCUUUCUCUUGUUUGCUUGGAUCUAGUUGGAACUGACAAAAAGAUUUGUUUGACGAUUCAAAUUCUUUUGUUCACUUGAUAAAUUCAUUGAGUUUAUCUUUAAAAGCAUUAGUUGUUGCACCAGAUGAUUCAGAUUCUUUUGCUCGCUUGAUAAAUUCAUUGAGUUCUCUGCUCACUUGACUUGCUUAAUACUUGUUUUAUUCCUUUCUUCUGUGCAGCUUUAGCUGGUGGUGAUUUCAACAGAGAAAUAUUUUGUUUUUCUCAAUGAUAUUACAUUUCAAUGAUGUGAAGAUGUUGCCCAAUGAAGGAUUCACAAGCCAUGCAAGGAAUAAACAUCUUAACGGUGCUUCAAACGUUUAGAGUAAUGAUAUUUGUACAACCAUUUGAUGAUGUAAGACCCGGAUAUUUUAUCUUACCUCGAUGGUAAAGUAACAUAUCUUAUUUUGACAUAAAAUAAUUUAUAUCUUAGAGUAUUUAAGUGAUAGCAUCUAUUUAUAAUUUUUUUUCGAUAUUUAGUCUAGUUAAAAUUAAAAUUUAACGAAUGCCCUAUUUUAGUUUAACGUAUUUUGGAAAUAAAGAAAUGCUAGGGUUAAGAUGAUUAAUUUUAUUAGACAAUGAGAAGAUGGCACCUAGGUAACCAAGAGAAUAUAUAUGUAUAAGUUCUGUUAUAGAUUUUUAAGGCAAUGACUAUGAUAUGCAAUGACUAUGAUGCCUAUUAUUUAGGAAGAGAUAUUGACUUGUUUGUACCACGUACUAAUUCUUGAUGUACGAUGUACAUGCAUAUGGCUGAUUUCCAUUUAGUAAUUUUGUUAUCUAAUAAUAGGAAAUUAAAUGUUACUAAAAGAAAAUAAAAAGGGGACACGUUCUUGAGUUCUGAAUAAGUAGUGCGUGUAUUUGGAAGUAAAUUGUAUAAAAGAUAUGAAAUAGUACAUAUGUGUGAUUUGGAGGAACUAACUUCCUAACUAACUUUCUACUAUAGUUACCACUAAGUAACUCUAAUUUAUUCUCACUGUAUUAAAAUAGCAACUUCCAUUCCUAGUUGACAUAGAGUCCCACUUUCUUCUAUUCCACAUUCUAGUUCCACUUUUUGGAGAAGGAGUUAAUAGAGGGAUUAUUAUUUAUAACAUUUCUCCAUUAUUCAUUCACCGUUUCCACGAUCAGUAACAUGAAAAAUUUGUGUUUCGUGGGACACUAUUGCAGGAUAGACCACCCACAAAACAAGAGAAGCUUUGAAUAAAAGACGUGUCUUCAACGACAGUGGUUGAAGUUCUAAACAGAACGACGAUGGUGGGAGACUGGAGUAGAGGAGAUUUAUCAUGGGGAGGUGACAGUGAGCGGAUAGAUAGGAGGCGACGGUGGAGAAAAAUUUGUCGCUAGAGGAAUCUCAAUGGUGAGAGAGAGCACCAAAGGGAGGUGAGAGACAUGGUAGUUGAUGGUCAGAUUAGGCAAGUAUACCAAUCGUUUACCAAGUAAUGAAGUGAUAAGUAGAAUAUAGUAUCCACAGGGAUUAUCGUUUCGUACAAACAAUUCAUGUUACUUAUUUUAAGUUGAUGAUAUAAAAUACAAGAGAUAAGAGUUAGAGAUUGCAAUUUUUUUUUUCUUCUGUUAGCAACAUAGCAAAUUACCUAUUUUGGUUGCAUAAAAGUAAGCAGUGGUUAGGACUCUUUGAAUCCCCCCCUAUUUAUUUUGUUGGAUAUUAAAUAACAUUCAUGUCACGUUUAAUUAUCUUAAAUAGACUAUGCAACUGAUGAGGUCCUUGUGACGUUCCUACCUAGUCGGUUGUCAAGUUGUACCCGCUGGUCGCACGGUGAUCCUUACGUGCAGGAUCUUGCUAAUUCAAAGGUAAUUGAAACAUAGACUUUAUACUAGCAUUCCUAAAUUUUCAAAGGCAAGAUGGUCACACUAAGGUUAUACGCGCGCUAUGGUAUUGGGUUAUUAAUCCUAUAGGAUUCUGCCACCUUCAUAAGGAUUAUUAGUGUAGGGUCUGGCUAGUGUUCCUAAAGGUUCUCCCAUCUAUGAAUCUUAGGACACUCAUAGCACACUCUCAUUCUCCCUUUGAUAGUUCUAUAAAUGGACAGCCCUAUCAGCGUCAACCUUACCAAGAGGUCGAGGAGAUUGGUCUCACUAGGAUCGAUUCACUCCCUUUGGUACUUGUUUCCCUAAUAAUAAUCCUUCAAAAAAAAGUAUUAUAAUAAUAAUAGAAAAAAACUUGAAUUAGAAAAUACAUUCGUGCAAGUCACCUGCAAAAUAUUUGGAUGUGUUUGGUUGUGAGAAGAAAGUGAAAAGAGAGAAAUGGGUGAGAGAGUAUGAGAAGAGAGAAAUAGAUAAGAAAUAGAGUAGAUUUGAUAGCUUGUUUGGUAUAAGAGAAAGAAGAGAGAAAUAGAAGAGAAAGAAAUAUUAUUGUUUUUUGAAAAGACAAAAAUAUCCUUAAAUAAAAACAACAUAUAAUUUAUGAUUUAUUAAUUUGUUUUGAGUGGGGAUUGACUCCAAGAUUAAGUUUGGUUACUUACUCCAAAUCUUAGCUUUUAAUUUUAUUAUCAAUUGAUGGCUUGGAUUGAAUAAUAAUAAGUGAUAUGGUAGACUUUAAUUUUCUUAUGUAUUAGAGUUAACACUCAUCCCCUCAAAAUAGUAAAACAAUUAAUUACUUUUACUUGAUUUUUUUUUUUUUGGAUCAAACUUGAUUGUUUUUUCUAUUCUCCUCCCUUUUCUUUUUUAUACGCGUUAGAGAAACUUUUUUGUAAAGAUCCUGAACCAGAAAAGUUGAGGAUUGUGCAUCAUAUACUGAAAAUGCUAGAUAUCAAUAAUGAUUUUAUAAGAAAGAUUCAAGAAUGACAUGGCACAAUAAUCACCUUUAGAUUUCAGUCUCAUUUAUUAAUCUUUCAUAAAAAAAAAAAUACAUAACACCCACUACCCCCAUGAUUUCUGGCCAGGCUGAGAUUUUAUUGGCUAACAUUAAUUUCAAGACUAUUUCUUGAUAAAAUUUAAGGGUGAUUAUUUUGCCAUAUCAUUCUUAAAAUUUUCUUGAUAAAAUCUUUCUUGAUAUAUAACAUUGCUCCAUCUAAUACUCACACUUAGGCUCUGUUUGGUAAAAAGAAGCUAUAAGUUAGCUGAUAGCUGAUAAGCUAGCUGAUAGCUGAAAAGCUAGCUGAUAGCUGAUAGCUUAUAGCUGAAAAGCUUGCUUAUUAAAAAUAAUGUGUUUGGUAAAAUUAGCUGUUGAAGUGGCUGAUAAGUAUAAAAUGACAUAAAAGGACAUGUUUUUUUUUUUUAAUAUACAUAUAGACACACACAUUUUUUUUUAUAAUGUAUUUAUUUUUUAAUAUUUUUAAUUAUAGUUAAAUAUUUUUUUGGUCCCUAUAAAUAUUCAAAUUUUUGGCCUUAGUCUCCAUAAAAAAAUUCUUCGACCUUUAAUCCUAAAAAAAAAUUCACUAACAAUUUUGAUCUCUGCUUUAUGAGUUCCAAAAAUAAGAGAAAUGUGGAAACAAAAUGUGAGGUAGAAUAUAUAAAAUUUUACAACGUACAAUAGACUAGUUAUUUUUUCCUUUAAAAAAAAAUAGGCUAGUUAUUUUUUGUGUGGUGUACGGCAGGUUAGUUAUAACAAAAUAUAAAGCAUUUCCAUAAAAUAUAUAUAUAUAUAUAUAUAAAGUGCUCCUUAAAAAAAAUGACAUUUUAUUUAAGGGAAAAAAUGGGGCGGUUAUAAAGAUGAACAUGGGUACUUGUUUAAUUAAAAAAAUAAUUAAUUAAAUUAAUAGGGUUAAAGUUGGAAGAAAAUAUAAAAAGCUACCAGCUAUAAGCUAAAAAGCUAUUUGAUAUAGCUUUUCAAAAAACGCUAUAAGCUCAUGAAAAAAGCUUGUUACCAAACACGUCACGUUUUCUUCUAACGAGCUUAUAAGCUAAUCCAACAAGCUAUAAGCUAGCUUUUUUGUGUUACCAAACACAGCCUUACAUCUUUACAUAAAAAUAAAAAAAUAAAAAAAAACAUUUAGUCACAAGAAUACGACGAAGAUAAAAAAAUAAAAAUCACAAACCAAAACAUGUGUAAGAAUUGAAUACUUAAUUAUUUCAAAGUUUAAUUUAAAUUGAUAAUGGAAAAAUUACAAUGAUUGCUUUUCUACCAUGCCUUGUUUUAAAAAAAAAAAAAUAGUUAUCUUUUCUGUUCACGGUACCCCUUGUCCUGUUUUUUGAUAAGCCUUUACCAAAAAAAUUUCUUAUGUGUAUGAAAAAAAAUAAAGAGAGAAGAAUAAAAAAAAACAACCAAUUAAAACUCAUUAAUUGUUUUACCAUUUUGAAGUGAUGAGUGUUAACUCCAAUAGAGAAAAAAAUUAAAGUCUACUACUACCUCCGUCCCUAAUUAUAAGACCCUUUUGAGAAUUUUUUUUGUCCCUUUUUAUAAGACCCCUUUGCUAUUUCCAACUACAUUAAUUAUUUCUUUACAUACAUGCCCCUAUUAAUUAUACAUCUUUUUCUUCAAUCAACAAUAAAUAGCAUGUUGAAAACAUAAAACAUCUCUCUCUUAAAGGAUAAAACUGUAAAAACAAUACUAAUUACAAACAUAUUUAAUACAAAUAUUCACUAUCUUAAUUCCCGUUAUUUUUUCAAAAGGACCCUAUAAUUAAGGACGGAGGUAGUAUAUCACUUAUUAUUAUUAUUAUCCAAGCCAUCAAUUGAUAAUAGAAUUAAAGGCAAAGAUUUAGAGUAAGUAACCAAACUUACUCUUGGAGUCAAAAUAUCCCUCCUCAUUUGUUUUUGUACAAAUUAAAUUAAUUUAUUAGUUUGAUCAAAUUAAAUUUUUUUAAUUGAUUAAAUUACUAAUAUAUUUUAAUUCGAUUUAACAAACUUAAUUAAUUUAUUUCCAAAUAAAAAAACUUAGUUAAAUCAAUUGGAUUUAGCUUAUUAUAUAUUUUUCAAACGUUGUUGCUUAGCAGCUAACUCAGCCCAUGUUUUUUUUUUUUUUUUAAAUAAAAUUAGUAUGCGUUGUAACUUGUAAAAUGUCUAGCAUAAGUACGUACAUGUGAAUUACAGUACCCCCAAUGUGAAAUUGGGGUGGACAUGACCGUAAAUUGCUCUCUCCACUUCACUUUCUCUCAUUUUCUUCGCAUGAUUGAGAAGAAGUAAAAAUGUGGUAGGGUCCAUCUGUUUUUAUUCUCUCCUCACAAAUUCUUUGCUAUUCAAACAGGAGAAAUAUGAUACUUCUCUUCUCUUUCUCUCUUCACUAACUCUCUCUUCUUUAAUUCUCUGAACAACUUUUCCUUCAAAAAAAAAGUAACAUCAUCUCUGGGUGUUUCACAUAAUCACAGCGAGUCAUCGUGAUUUUAUUAUCUUUACACCAAACUUGCACAAAAUGAUUUGAUAAAUGGUAGUACAUAACAAAGACACCUCAUAUAUCCCCAUAGAAGAACUUCUUAAAAAGCUCUAAAAGUGCAAUCUGAAAAUGCAAACACACAAGAACAGAUCCAUCUCCAUCAGGACUAUGAAGAAUCACUGCCCUAUCAUGUGGAGACACAAAAGCUAAUCCAAAAUAAACAGGCUUCCCCCAUCCAAAAUCAGCUUCGUAAAUAGGCAUACUCAUCCAACUAGUAAAAUUAAAAUUUGGAUUUCCAAAAUAUGGAAUAUUUUCUCCUACACCACCCAUAAACAAUUUCCUUGCAUCAUCCAAAUGUUCAAAACCCCUAAUAACAUCAAUUUGUGACCUUAUAAACUCAUCACUUACUAACUCAGUUGCUUCCCUUAUCAUUUGUGCAACAUAACCUAAAGGCUUUGAUGUGAUUUCUCCAACAUACCCUAUUGCUGCUGUUUGUGUCAAAGCAUUCCCAAAAUAGUUCUUUGGAAGAGGUGGAACCAAUCUUGUUCUAAUAUCAGCAUUGAAUCUAACUACACUUUCUUGAUUCUCUUCAAGCUCACGUGCCCUAGAAGCACAUUUCCAUAUAUGUGCACUAAUUGCUUCGUAUCUACUAAAUGGCCUUGACCCUUUAUUCUUGAUUGCAAGAAUGUCAUUUUCAUUUGCUUUUUUCUUCAACUUAUCAACUUGUUCCGGCGAAAGUCGCAACAAUGUUGCUGAAGUUUUCUUCUUUUUUUCUUCACUUGUGUCUUUUCUUCCUAGAAUGAGUGGUAGUGGCUUCAACUCCUUGUGUUCAAACCGUACCAAUGGCGUGUGUGAGAAUUUGAGUAUUGUUCUAUCUAAAAAGGGUAACUCAUUUACCUCAAGGGUUUCUCCUCUUGCUAUUUUGGCCCAUGAGUUGAUGAGUCUAAUGGCUCCAAGUCCAUCUGAUAAAGGGUGAGAAUAAGCAAUACCAAUUGCAAGACCUUCAUCUUUGUUUUGAAAUCUUGUGAGUUGAACCACAAACAAUGGAAUAUCUUCCACUGGUUGAUUGUAAUCUAUUAUUGGAACAAGCUCCAUGGUUGAAUCAGAAGGUGAAAAAUCACCAUAAUCAUGAAUUGUUUUUGUGGUUUCAGCUUCAAGCAAAAUAGCACCUUUUGCAUUGAGAUUCAACUCUAUUCUACCACCUUCUUUGUAACAAUAACGACCAGCUACAGGAUAGUAGUAAACUAGGAUUUUGCUGAGUGAAUUCUUUAGGGUUUCUAUGGCUUUAUCUGUGUUUUGUUUUGAUUUGUAAAUAUAAAUGGUUUGUGUGUGGCGGAGCUUUACCACUUGGUCUAUAUCAGAAAGCCAUAAACAACCUUGUGGAGUUGCAUCUUCUGGAAUCACGGUGUGAGAAGCAAUAAUGGUUACCAUUUUUUUAAGAUAUGGUGCAAAGUUUUACUUUGAAUAUGACAAUGGCAAUAACAUUUAUUUAUAGGCAAUUUCUAUGGUACACUCGAUAAUUUUGAGUGUCCCGGUACACCCAUGUAUUUAAAUGAAUAGUUUAAUGAUUUAUUUUCUUUAAAAAAAAUAUUUUCUAUCAUUUAUAAUUAUAAUAAUUAUAUUUUAUUUUUCAAAAGUGUCGGCAAAGCAAAAUUCAAAUUUUUUUAAUUUUUAUUACUCAUAAUAGUGAAUAUUGAUUAGUUUUUUUCAAUAUAAUGUUAAAAUAUUUAGUAUAAUUCUUAUAAAAAAUGAAAUGAUGUUUUUUCUUAUGGGAUAUUAUUUUCUAAAAUAUAAAAUUCGAUAAAUAUCUCUUUAUCACAUAAAAAUUAUCGUUAACUUAUAGAUUUAUGAAAUAGGUGUACUGGUACACCUUAAUUGACGGGUGUACCGUAGAAACUCCCUUAUUUAUAUAAUAAGCCAAGUUUUGUUGGUGAUAUGUUUGUGAUAAUAUGAAAAGAAAAUAAAAUAAUAAAACGAGGUAUUAUAUAAGUGUUGAAAAAUAAAUAAAAUAAUAAAACGAGGUACUUAUAUAAGUGUUGAAAAAUUAUAGAUGUAUACGUUGUACUCCGUCUUUAUAUAUAAGUAUUUGUUUGAUUAAAAAUAAAAAAGGAUAAUCUGAUGCACUAAAGUUCUCGCAUACGCAAGGUUCGGGAAAAAGUUCCAUUAUUUUUAGUGUAUUGUACGCAGCCUCACCUUGAUUUUACAUAAGAGGUUGUUUGAUUAAAAAGAUGUUAUUAAAUAUUAGCCGAUUUAAAAAUUAUUAGUUACAUUUUUUUUCUUUCUUAAAUAUACCUUUAAUUAAUACUAUUGUUAACUUAUUUUAAAAUAUGAAAAUUCAAAUUUAAUACCCAUACAAACAAAUGAUAAUUUAAUUGCACAAACUAAAUACAUUAAUUGCACUAACAAAUUUUCUUAAAAAACGGAAAAAAGCAAAGGGAUUUAUAUAUAAGAACAAAUAGAGUAAAAAAAAAGGAAAAUACUUAAGCCAAUGAAAAAUAUCAUAACAAAAAUAUCACCAAGGCGUAUUAUUGCUAUGCAAUUAAAAUUUAAAGAAGUGUAACUAAAAAAUAAAAAGUAAACAAAUAAAUUAUGCAAUUAAAACUUACGAAAAAAUUUUAGAUGCAAUUCUUGUUAGAGAAAUAACAUUUUCCAAUUUCACUCCCCCACCAUCCCUUUUCUGACGAGCAUGUGAUGUGAUUGAUUUCACAGCAGUUCGGGACGAGAUCGUGCAAAAAACUAUGUGUAUACUCCCUUCGUUCUAUAUUCUAUUAUUAAAUUGUCUAUGUAAAUGCAUUCGACUUAAUUAUCUCUGCACACUCUUAGUUUUUUAUUUUAUUAUACUAAUGCUAGUAGUAUCUUGCACGUCUCAAAUAUGAAGACUUGCACCGACUCCUGUGAAAGCACCACUCAAUUUAUAUAAACCAUGCAGGUCACAUGUGUCCAUGACAGCAACUGAGAGGUUCAAAGUCAAAGCACAUUCUACAAUGAGUCAUAAAAUAUGACUGAAAUUGUUCUUUUCACUUAAGAUAUUGCUAUUUCACAUCAUAAAAUUAUCUAAGAAACUCUUUAGUCCUAGUUCUUUAAUCCUAGUGAAGUCUUCAAAUGUCUCCUACUAGAAAAAAAACAAGCAUAUAUGAUAAAUAUGUGUUGGUAGGAAUAAAAAAUAGAUUAUUUGGCUAAAAGAGAAAAACUUCAUCCAAUUAAUUAUAUACAAAAAGAAUGUUAACCAAUGCUCUAAAGACAUUGAUUAAGUAUCUAAAACAAAUAAGUUUUUAUGAAAAGUGGUGUAAUCAUUGCUUGAUCAAAAGUAACAUAUUAUAUUUUUAAAACAAAAUUUCUAUUUGAAGAUUUAUUAACCAUUACUCUUAGAGUACUCGUUAACAAAACUCUUAUAUAUACCACUUAUUUGAAGAAAAGAUGAUACACCACUUAAUUUUUUUGUUGAUGCGGCAAUUAACCAUCGGUGCGGCAGUUAACUACUGUUAGGGGCGAGCGGCAGCUAACUCUCCCUUGAAGUACUGCCUUGGAAUUAAUUAUAUAAUUUUGCGGUGGUCGAAAGAUUUUCGUUGAAUAUGACAAUGGCAAGGGUGGAGUUUAGCAUGGGAAAAAGGCUAGUUUUUCCCAUCAUGGGAAAGCUUUUUUCUAACCAUUAGAUCUAGUGAAGAACACGUCUUUAUCAUGGACUGUCAGUAUUAUAUCUAACCACCCAUCUUCCUCCUUUCCCCACCACCAUUUCACCUUGAUAUGAUGUGAAGAAAUUGAAGUUUUAUUAUUGAUCCCUGACAUAGUUUUGACUGGAAAAAUGUCGUGGCAUAUUUGGCUUCAUAAUUGAGCAUAAGAAUUGUAAUUUUUGGCACUAGAUUGGCCACAGUGAAAACUUAAAAGACCAUGUUUAUGACCUAUCCUUUUGGAACUGUACUUUUAAGUUUCAAAGAAAUUUAUGUCUUUAGUUUCAGUUUCUAUCAUGCAAGAGUGACAUAGGUGUUGUAUUGUGCACAAUAUGCACCACCACCGAUCUAAUGGUGCACACUUCACAUUGAAUAAAAUCAGAACCAUGCUCUGAUGCAUGAGGGAGAGACAGCGGUAGUGAUGAUGGUGAAAGGGAGAAUAAGUAGCGUGGUAUGCAGUUUGAAUCAAAAGGAGCUUGUGGAGCUUGUUUUGAUAGCUAAACAGAACAUGAACAGAUCCGGUGAUUUGGUGGUGGAGCAAGGAGGAAGAUGAGUGGUUAGAUAUAAUACUGACAGUCCAUGAUAAAGACGUGUUCUUUACUAAAUCUAAUGGUCAGAAAAAACUUUCCCAUGGUGGAAAAAAUUAGUCUUUCCCAUGCUAAACUCCACCUAGUAUUACUUAUAUAAAAAGGCAAGUUCUUGUUGGUGUAUUAAAUAUGAGUAAGAUAUCCCACAUUUGAUCUUAAAGUAGAUACUGAAACCCUUUACUCAAAAAAUAUUGAAAGUCCAUACAUUUAAAUAAUAGCUUAAGAAAACAAAAAAGAAGAAAGUAGAUGUGAUAUACGAGAUAUGUUGGUGAUAAUACGAAGGAAAAAAAAUAUAAAAUAAACUGAUGUAUUAAUAAAGUGUCGAAAAGUUAUGGGUGCAAAUAUCAUUUCAAUACAAAGAAUAUUGUAUCACGGAUUUCCAAUUGCUCUCCCAUUAGUUGCAUCAAAGAUUCAAAGCUACCAAGAUAUGAACGACUCCACUUACCAGCAUUAAGUUGCACAGUUUUCUUAAAAAAUAAGGCUAAAUUGCUUUUUUAUCCCUUAACUAUUUAAUUAAUAUUGAUUUGGUCUCCUAACGUUUCUUCUAUUAAAACUAAUAGAAAUAACUAAAUGUGGUAACAAAGAUAAAUUUAAAGGACCAAAAUAAAUCAAAAUAUAGUUAAGGGACCAAACCGAUACCAAAUAAAUAGUUAAGGGAUCAAAAAGACUAUUUAUCCAAAAAUAAAAGUUGUCUGUAAGAGUUAAUUAGGUUCACUUACCUUAAAUAACAUUUUUUGUUUGAAAUUCAUGUUGUGUGCAAGUGUGAGUUAUAUGUCCCACAUCGGAUAAAAGAGUAAAGGAUGAAUAUCUUAUAAGUAAGAGAACCCAUAAACGUAAUGCCUUAAGGUUUUGGGUAAGAGUGUGGUGUCUCUCUCACAAGUGAGUGCAGUUGUUCUAGCCUCGAUGUGGACGCUCCCCUGAGCUCCUAGUGAUCCAACUGUGGUAUCAGAGCCCGGUUCGACAAAGGCAGCCGAUCCGUUUGCGCAGAGAGCAACAACGGCGAUACAAGCAGUGUCGGUCCGUUUGCGGAGAAACCAGCAACGGCGAUACAAGCAAGUAAGAGCUUCCGCUUGAAUCGGUCCGUUUGUGGAGAAACUAGCAACGGCGAUACAAGCAGUGUCGAUCAGUUUGCGGAGAAACCAACAACGGUGAUACAAGCAAGUAAGAGCUUCCGCUUGAAGGGGGAGAUCGAUGCAUUGAUGGACUCACACUUGAGGGGGGUGUUGUGUGGUGUCUCUCUUGCUUGUGGGGUUGUUUUAGCCUCGAUGUGGACGGUCCCACGAACUCCCCUCAAUGACCUAACAAUUCGUAGAUGAAAUAAAAGAAAAAAUAUAAAGUAAUUUUUAUUUUAUUCUCUUUUAGAUUAAUUUUCUUAUCUUUCAAUUUUUAAAAUUUUGAAUUGAAUUAUCUAUUUUAAUUUUUUGGGGUUUUUGUUUUACUUCUUAAUUAGUGUUUCUUUAAAAGGGAUAGUUCCUUUCACUUUUUAAACGUAAUUGUUGAAUUGGAAAUUGAUUUUUAGUCAUUCUUUUAGAAAGGGAAAUUAUUUACGGAAAGAAAUUUUGGAGAUUUAUAUGUCAAGGAAAUCAGAGGUUUUUUUUUAUUUACUAUAUUUACUUGGAAGAAAAAUAAAUGUUGUCUUAAAUAAUGUGACAGGAUGUGAUAAUAAAUUUUCAGUACUGCAUCGAAUCAUAUCAUUAGAUGUUGCCUUAAAUGAUUUUCUAUUUGUAACCAAAAAAAUGAUUUUCUAUUUACAUGUUAUCUAUUCUGUCUUUUUUUUUUUUGACAAACAAUGUUAUCUAUUAUGUCUUUGUUUGGUGGCUCCAAUUCACACCAACAAACACUUUCUUCUCAAACCCUAAUAUGACAUCCCUCGAUUUGGCCUACCCAAGUUAUAGACAAGCUAGGCUUUUGUCUAAGACCUCAAAAUAUAUAUUUUUCUUUUUACCUAUUAUACACAAAUUCUCAUAUUUAUUUAUGGAGCUAAAAUUUUCAAGAGAAAUGAUAUAAGUGAAAAAUGAUACACCAAUUGAUAUACUUAAUUAUAUAAAAAUAUUUUAUUCGUUUUAAAAUGUGUAUAUUGCUUAUAGAAUAAUAUUAACUAUUCAUAUAAUUGUUGUGUCCGUCGAAAAAAGUUUUUCAAAUCAAUGUUAAUAAUAUUUUAUUUAAGAUCAACAACAUGAAAACAAAGAUGAAAUGAAUUUGUUUUACCGUCGAUUGAAAAAUAGUUGUUAAAUGAAACAGAUUACAAUAAUUUAAUGAAUAAUUUUGCAUCUAAGAAAGUUAAAAAAUUGAAAUUUUUAAUAAAAAUAUUACUUUCGUAAAACAAAUACUAUUAAGAGAAGUGUCAAAACCUCUUAUAAACUAGGGAUUAUUGGUACACAUGCUUGAGAUUCCAAACCUAUUUAUAGAAGUGUCAAAACAAACUAUCGGACUUGUUUAUUGUUUAAAAUCGGUUCAAACCCAAUUUAAUUAUUUACUCUAAAAAACUACAUUGAACCCGGCCUUAUACGGGCCACGGGCUAAAUGGUUUGGUCCUUCUUUAUUUUAUUUUUUUGAAAAUUAUAAAAUGGUCAACAAAAUUUAGUACAAGCCUUAUUUUUUAUUGAUAAAAAAAAUAUAAUUAAAAAUUAAAAGAAUUCAUAGCUGUUGUAUAAUGACAACCAUAGUUUGACACUAUUCUUGUUUUAUGGUCAAUUGAAGUUGGUUGAUGUGGAAUACAUGUUGGAUACUAUGUGAGAAAAAAUAGUAGAAAGAGAGUGAGUCUAUAGAAUAGGGUGCAUUGGAUGAAGGUGAUGGAGUUUUCUAUGUUCUUGUUUUUCUAAGUUUUGAAGGGUUUGACUUUGAUGAUAUGAAGGUGACGAGGGUUUGAGCUUUUUGGGUUUAUGUUGUCUCUGUUCUUCUUAAUUUAAUUUUUUCAUUUUGUCAUUAAUUAUCUAAUUUUUAAAAAUAUUAAUUAAAAAGUUACAUACGUGGCGGCCAACUCAUGUCAAUGACGUGCCACAUUAUAUGCAUUGAUUGGGUUAAAAUUGGACAAAAUGACUACUAUUGUAAAAGGGGCAAACAUGAGGGGGGACUUUGGUUUUUUUUUUUUUUUUAUUAGGGGGGUCAAAAUCGCUACAUUUUAAAAAUUUGGGGGGGGGGGGGGGGGGGGGGGGGGUGUGUGAAAAGUGCGUUUAACCUAGAGAAAAACAUCAUUUUCCCAACUUCUAGGUCCAGUCCCUUUUGGGUAUAUAAAUUAGAGAAAUGAUAUCAUUUUAAAAUUUUAGAGACAACUCUCUUAUACUUUUAUAUACUUAUACUUUCUCUCUAUUGUUUCUGUCACAAAAGAAAAUAAAAGAAAAAAGGCUUGUCUCGGAAGUUGUUUUAAAAUGAUUAUACAAAUAUCAUUUCUAUAAAUUAAUAUUAAUUUGAAUAUUAUGAAAAGUAUAGAUAUGUGAGAUUAUUGGAUAAUAUUUCAUGGACAUUCAUUUCUCUAUACACAUUUUGUAUCACCCCAUGUGAGAGUGUAUGAAAGAUAAUAAAUGUGAGUUUUUUGUGCAUAUGGGGACCACAUGGACAUAUAUCACAAUUGUGUGUGAAUGUACAAGUGGUACAUGCCAUCUAAGGUGGUCUAUGUAUCACUACUCGAGAUUAUUUGUUGUAACCAUUCAAAAGUUAAGAACAAAAGUUGUGUUUUUAGUAAUGGAGAUGCUCUAAUGUUUCAGUUAAUAUCCGAUGCGGAUGUUUUAAAUCUUCUCUAGAAAUGUUCAAACCCCUCAAUUUUCUGUCAGAAUGAAAAAUUUUAAAAGGAAUCCAAAUUACCAGCAAAACAACCCAAAAGGGGCCUCUAUGGUUACAAAAAGUACCACUAGAGGAUGCAUAUGUACCAAUCAAAGAGCCAUCAGUAUUUACCUUAAUUCAUUGCUUGAAUGACGACUUCCAGAUUAUGAACAAAAUACUACGUAAACGCCAAUGAAGACGAGAGGCAAGAAAACUAUGAAACAACUUGAUAUCAUAAGCAAUAUUCUUGUAUGUCGGCAUUUUCUGAUGCGUCAAACGUCAGGAAAACAAAAGAGUGAGAUGGAGGAAUGCAUGACUACCAAUUAAGAACGGCCCAAGAAACCGACACAGAUAAAGGAUGCAGAAUUAACAUCUAAAAAUUGCAACCAAAUUAAACUAGCUUGUCUGGAAGAGGUGAAACAAGCAAAAUUAACUUCUCAAGGCCAGAAGCAACUGUUGGAAUAUUUUAUUAUUUAUUAUAUUCCAAUAUCAUUAUGUGGACAAAUAUCGUAACAAUAAUUAUAUUAGCUAUUUAUCAAUUGUGGACCUUAGUUGAUUAGUGAUCAAAUUAAGUAAUAAGGAUAUAAGAUUUCUAAUUGGAUAAUUAAUUAAAUAUUUAAUCAGUUGAUAUGGACUUAAUGAGUGGAUGUCCGGAUGACCCAUUAACGGAAUAAUGGGAAACCCUAAUGGUCAUCCAAUAUAAAAGAGGCUAUGGUCCCCAAUACACUGUACACGGCAAACUCUCUCUUCUCCCCAUCUGAAGAGAACUUGAGGCAUAAAGGUACCGGUUGAGGAAGAACCAAAUCAGCCGCCGCUAACUCUAUUGUGUGUUUUAGAUCAUCUCCUCUCUUUGGUUAUCGUUGUUGACGAGAGGGCUGCCUUGAAAGCUUUAUCCAGGUAUUCCUAAUAGCCUAAUUCUUAAUAUCCUUGAUAAAUCAAACAUGUCGUAGAUCCGAUCAUAAUCAUGUUCAAUGUUUUGUUUGCUUCCGCUAUUGAUUUAUAAUUGUUGAACAUGUUUUAUAAAAUCUAUUUAUAUUAAGAGCUAAAUUUCCAACAGCAACAUCAUGAUGAUUCAAAAUCUUGGAGACCCAGCUCAACCAAGAUUUAUAAGAAAAAUCAUGUACCAUAAUAAAUGUCUCAAAAAAAAUAAAAAAUACCAAUAAAAAUAAAUAAAUGUCGAUUGUGCAAGUCUUGAUAAGAAGUGGAUGCACAUACCAUGAUUUUUUCUGUGCAAGUGUGCAAAGCUGAAAUGAUUUAGGUAAUUUAACUUGGUCUAUUUAUAGUGUCACCAUAUCAUAGUAUAUAAUUCCUUGCUUAAAAAAAAAAUCAUAGGAUAUAAUAGUAAAAAGGUUAGGAAGUUAUCGUUAUUAUUAUUUCAAAAGUUAUUUUGCACUUGUUUCAUUUCUUCAUCUUUUAACUACAUUUUCUAAGAUUUUUUACGUGGGUUUUCUGUUGUGUUUGGAUAAUCCGUCUUUACUCAUUUUAUUCUACUUAUUUUUAAUAAUAAUAACUAAGUGUUAAUUCGGUAGAGCAAGUCUUGCAUAGACACAAAUAUAAAUGAAAAAUGUUUAGGCACACUCACAUAAAUAGAGAAAAAUAAAUGAGAAAAAAUUUAAUCACAUCAUUCAAUUAUGAGAAAUUCAUUUCUCUUUUAUUUUUUCCAAUUUAUGUGCAUGCCUAAUCACUUUUUAUUUGUGUUUAUGACUAAGUAAGUAUUUCUCUAAUUGAGUAUUUAUUCCAUUCCAUUUAAUUCCAUUCCAUUCUAUUCCACCACUUGCCGCCAACCCAAACAUAACCUAGAUAUUUUUAUGGUGUAACUAUGAAAAGUUCAAAACAAAAUUAAGUGUAGAAAUUCCAAACCCAUUUUUCCCCACUCCGCACGUAUUUGAGCAAUUUGUAAAAGAGGUUGUUGUUUUGUUCCAUCAACUAAAAAUUGAGAUUGUAUAAAUAACAAAAUUUCUCUAGUUUUUUUCCUUCAUAUAAGACAAAAGAUUAUCUUUGUUAAUGAAUAUAAUUUGAACAUUAAAUGGAUGGACGAUAAAAUUACAGGUUUAAGAUAAGAAGGAAGCAGGAAAAUACACCUUCCUUAAACACAAUUUUCUAUAUGUGUGUGUUUGUAUAACUCUUAAGAGGGAAAGAUUCCUACUCAACUUGGGAAUCUCUCACAAUUGCAACACCUUAAUCUCAGACUUAAUGAUCUUGUUGGAAAAAUCCCUUUCCAACUCGAAAAUCUUUCAUUGUAGCAAAAUCUCUCAUGCUUGGUUACAACUUUGAUCUUCCAAACUUCUACUUAAACAACAAACGAAAUUAUGGAAAUAAUAUAUGUAAUUUACAUAUAUUAUUUCCAUAAUUUCGUUUGUAAUUACAUAUAUUAUUUCCAUAAUUUCGUUUGUUGUUUAAGUAGAAGUUUGGAAGAAUGCCAUGGGAGCUUAUUAUUAAUUACUUAAAUUAAAUGGAGGAUUAAUUGGAUAUCUCAAUUAAGAUAAGAUAAGUUAAUAGAUCCGGAGGUUCCUAAUUAAGACGGAGAAAAAUGCUCCAUUCGUCCUAUAUUGUAUGAUGUUUUGAGGAUUUCACACAUAUUAAGACAUGCAAUUGAUAUUGUGUGGAAAAGAGAUAUUAUCAGUUGUUUUACAAAAUUAUCCUUAAUAAAUAAUAUGGGAAAAAUAAAUGAAAGAAUUAAAAGAAGAGAGAGUAAUAAAUAGUUAAGGUUAUAAUAGAAAAAGUAAUAUUAAUGUUGCAUUAGUAUUGUAAAACAACAUAUAAUUUUUGACAAUUUUUUUUCGCUAAAGCGACAUACAAUUUGUGACGGAGGAAGUGGUAUUUUAAUACAAAAAAAAAAAAAUUGUUAACUAGUGUAUAAGUGAGCUAUUUGGGGUUCGAACCCCAACCCAUAUAUAUUAUAUUACAUUGUCCUGCAACCGAGCUAUGUUCAAGGAUAAUAAUUUAAUCAAUCUAAAAGGAAUUUUAAUUAUAUAUCGAAUAAUAUAACUUUACAAUAUUAAUCCUUACAAAGAAAAAUUAAAUUAAAGAAAAUUAAGCACGGAAGUAAAUAAAUAAAUAAUUAAUUUAAUGUCGAUUGCGCUCUUGAUAAGAAGCAGAUUAAUACCGCCUGACUACAAGCGUGAGGGGAUAAUAGUUAACGAGGAAAUAAGAAACUACAAUUGGAACUCCUUUUGAUUUUUCCUUUAACUUUGAUUCUCCUGAAGAUGAAGGUUUCGAUUGAGAAGAAUUUUCAGCAUUCUCAUAAACUUGUGAAGAUGAGUUUGAAGAAGGACCAAAACAAUUGAAGUAUGGUGAUAUCAAAGCCCACUACAACAUUUUGGCUCUACGAGAACGCCUAAUUUAUGGAAUGUAAAAUAACUGUUUUGGUAGAGUACCUUACGCAAGGGUUUUCUAAUUCUGUUUUGUAAGGGUAUGCGAUUUUUUAAUAUUUUUAUAUAACAAUUCAAAAGCGUCCUCAUAUAGAAAACCAAAACGGUAUUGUUCUGAAAAUUUUCAAUAACAAUUAAUAAUCGUUCUAAAUCUUUUAAUUAUUUUUUAAUAAAAAACUAUCGUUUUUUUUAGAGGUGUGUGAAAUUUUGUUUUGUUGAGCCCGCUAGUUUUUUUUGGUUAAUUCUCAAUCAAUCAAACAAUAUUAUUUUUGUUAAUUAAUAAAAUAGAAACCUUCUAUCUCUUUCACAACAACUCAGAACCAUUCCUAUCAAACCCUUUGCACCUUCAACCCCCAAAAUCUGAUCGAACCCUACUGAAACUUCAGAACCAAAGUAACAAAGAAAAAAGGGCAAUGGAGUUACAGAACUCAUACCCACACAACACUCUCUUGGUGUAGAUCAGAGUCUCUCUUUCCUCUCUUCUCGGAUUUUGAUCUCUGAUUUCGAUCCCUGAAUCCCCCAAUUCCGGCAAAUCGAUUCAUCAAAUCCUUCUCUUGCAAUUCGAUCUGAUUCAACUUUCCCGGCGAACACACUCAAUCAUCGAUUGUGAAUCCUUUCUCUACAGGAAUGUUAUUGAGGUAAUAAAUUGAAUCCUUUGAAUCGAAUCAACUUCACACUGUUCGUGCAAUCCAUGUGUAGCUGCUCUUUCUUAAUGCUGAUUUUAUAGCUGAGUAGGAAUAUUUUGAUUUGUCUUCACGUUUUUUAUUGAGUUGGAAUUUAUAUAGCUUUUUGAGUUCUAGAUUUUAGAAAUUGAAAUUGGUGAUGUUUGAUGAUAAUUUUUAUUUGUUUAUGGUUUUAAUGCGGUUAGUUAAGUUAUGUUUUUCAAACAAUAUCUGGAUCAUACAUUGAAAUUGAAUGAAAUGUUGUUAUAGUUUUUACAUAUACAUGUUGCUGCAAUUCAAUUUUAGUAUGUAGCAUCCAACUUAAAUUUAAAGUGUAUCAUUGCUCAUCUUCAAUUAUGAGUUAUGUCACCGACAUUAACUCGUUGACACCGGUAAUAAUUUUAUAAAGUGAAUUAUUUGAACAUAAUCACUUGUGUGGGUGUCGGAUACCGGACACACUUGAUCAAAGGUGUUGGUACUUCAAAGAUCUUCAAAGGCGAGGUUCCAUUGGGUACAAUUCAUUAAAAGCACAUAUUUUGGAUAUGAAAAUAAAAUCCAAAGCAUUUUCUUGCGUAAGAUCUCACCCACUGCAUCGAACUAGCCGCCACACUGGCACACUUACGACCUACAUCUUCUCGGCUCUUUCUCAAACCCAUUCCCUUAUUCUCAUUUGGUUCCUCUUUCGAUUCUAUUUCUUCUAUGAAGAAUGACCCAACUUGAGCCCUUUGACGAUUAAGUUUGUUUACACACCAACAUCUUUUGUUGAUUCAGUUUUCUAUUCUCUGUUGAUUUGGUAAGCACAUGUUAAGUUGGGGUUUCUGUUUGUGAUUUUUUGUAUUUUGAUUUAUUAAUUUUCUCCUACGGAUUGUGAUUCAGAUUGUAAUUUUUCUAUAUUCUGAUUGUGAUUGCUAUUCUCAAUUGAUUUUUAUUUUAUUUAAAAGGAUUAAGGAAUAUCAAUAUCUAGAAUAAUACGCUUUAUCUAUUUGAUAUAUCCUACCUACUUGAAUUUUUUCGUGAUAUGUCUAAAUUAAAGCAAUGUCAUUCUUUGGAAUGAAAAGGUUAGGUUCUGUUAUUUAAUGUCAAAUUUGGAUUUCUCUGUUUUUUUUUCCAGGCUAUUGGUUGUGAUUGUGAAUUGUGACGUUUCAGUUUGUUAUUCAAAAUCUAUGAAGCUUAAAUUCUGUACAUGACACACUACCACCGACAAUAAUUGAACAAAGUUGAAUUUCUCUAUGUUGUUUGUUUUUAUUUGGCUUAAUAAUAUUUUUGGUCCCCUAACUUUGGAAAAAUAGCGAUUUUGGCCCCCUAUUAAAAAAACAACAAUCUAGCCCCCAAAAGUAAGGUGUUAACCGCUCAAAAUUGGCCACUUGUAAAAGGGGGUAAAGUUAGGGGGCUAGAUUGUUGUUUUUUCAAUAGGGGUCAAAAUCGAUACUUUUAUAAAGUUAAGGGGUCAAAAGUGUGUUUAGCCUUUUUAUUUCUUCUAUAAGAUUGUCUCUAACAAGGUCUUAAAGUUGAAUUGCAGAAUUCUGAGGUUAUAUGACAGUUUGGUUAUGUUUCUGUUAUGAUACAGGUUUCUGUUCUUGUGCUACUUCAUGAAUCUUUUUUCUAGGUACUUAUAUAAAGCAUAUUAUUUGCUAAUGUCCAUAAUUAAAAACAUGAUAGUGACUUUUUUUUACGAACUCUGCAUCCUGAAAGUGCAUUAUAAAGUGACAACCAUGAAUCUAAAGUUUCACUAACAAUGUUGUCUAUUACUAAUCAGUGAGUGGAUUCAUGUUGGAGGUAUCAUAAAUUGAAUAUCAUUUUUUGCAUGUAAGUGAUAAGUCUACAUGUUCUCCAUGUUGGUGUGGUACUUCGAGAGAAGGUCUCAAUGUGUGCUUUUAUUUAUCUUGUUCUUAGUUCUUAUUUAACGAUAUAUAAAUACAACUAGGCAUUUUGUUUGGUAUCUAUUUGCUGGUGUUAUUAUGUUCAAGAGUGAUUCUAUUUUGUUUUAUAUUCCACUAACAAGAGUCAUUUAGAUUUUUUUUUGUCUCUAUUAUAAUAGGUCAUUUACCUAGCUCUAGUUUUGCCCUUAAGCUUACCUAGCUCUAGUUUUGCCCUUAAGCUUAUGUUUUUGUUAGAGUUUUUCAUGACACCAUCAUCCAAAAUGAUUGUGAUAGUUUGUCAUAUGUUACAGGAGUUGGAGUAAUUAGGCACAAUGCAAAGUUCAUAUGAUAUUGAGCAAGCAUUAUUUAGAAGUGCAUGGUAUGGAGGAAGAUGUCUAGCGAGUGGAAGUGCACUUAAGAUAGUUUUUUCUUCAUCAGGUUUGUUUCAAAUGGCAUGUCAAUUACUAUAUACUUCGCUAAUUUGUUAUGUGUACUCUCUAUUUUAAAUUACUUGAUUGUUUUUAGCCUUAAUAAUUAUUAUAUUUAAUAUAUUAAUUCAUCUAUAUUUUAGUAGUUAUUUUUCUGAAAAAUUAUUUUAAUAGUUAAUACUAUAUUUUGAUUUUGGUGGGAUCUUACGAUCUUUGUGAAGAUACUGUCAGUUACGAUUUUUCGAUACCCAAACGAUCUUAGGUGAGAUCUGGAAUUUGACAACCAUGGAGGGGAGAGAGUAUUUCAAUUUUUUGCAUUUGAUUCAAAUUUUUGGAGGGGAGGGGAGCCAAAUUUUUACGUUCGUUUGUUUCCAUUGAACAAAAUAUGAAAUGCAUGAACCAAUGGUCUUGAACUGAAGGAUUAUAGAAAUGCAUGAUAUGUCCAUUACUGUCCUGCAGAAAAUUCCAUUCACAUCUAUGUUUGGCUUUAGCAUUAUUCAAAUAGUAUGAUUAAAAAAUUAUGGAAGGCAUUGAACAUGGAACAAAUAUCCAAAGAUCGGAUUAUAUGCUUGUCUCAGUUUUCAUUUUCUGAUGUUGAGACCUGGUGUUUUGGAUUAGUGUAGUUAUAUUGUAUUAUAACCUUUCUCGUCCUUCGCUUUACUAUGGGCUAUGUGAGUUUUGUUUUUUUUAUGUCAUUUGCCAUAUCUGAUAUUUGUUCUGAGCAAAGAAUGUUUGUUUGUACUUAUUACUAGUUGAUCAUACCUUUUUUUUUGUAGAUAAAUAAUGAUGGUAUCGAUUAAUAAUUUCAAGAUUUGGAAGCACAAGACGAUGAGUUAGAUGUUUGAUGGUUACGAUUUUUUUACAGAUGUUAUUUUGAUUGUGGUCAAUAAUGAUUGGCCUUAUGUCUUUUUUUUUUUUUUUUAGGGAGUUUGCCUUAUGUCUCACUAUGUACCUUUAAGACUUGAGUACUUAUUUUGACAAAUAUUUGAAGGUUAAUAAUAACAAUUAACACAGUUUCUAAUUUUAUUUUUUUUCAAAUUGUUUUAUCACAACGGUUAAAAACGGUAGCAGUAGCUUAUUAUGACUCAUUUUAAAACUGCUCUAUCAAAACGGUUUCAGUUAUACCAACGGCAGAUACGUGUUUGGAUAGCAAUUUAUAAACCGUUUUGCAAUAAUAGAUAGGACAACGGUUUUUCUUGGCAACGGCAUAAAAUCGUUGUUGUUGUGAAAUUUAUAAACCGUUCUUUAAAGGAUACCUAGGCUUACGCUUUUAUUAUUGUCGUUGCGGUCUUGCUUAAAAUCCGUUGCGAAAGGAAAAGACAACGCCUCGAUUUACCACAGACAAGAAACCGUUCUGGUAGAAAACGACAACGUUUUUUUUGGAUUAGCCAACACUUUUCUUUCGUUGUCUAAGAACAGAAAUGUUGUUGUGGCCAUAAAAAAUGAUUUAGUUUGCAUUAUGUAGCAAAAGGUGCAAUGCAUAUGUUAUGCAUUGUCUAUACUAAGUGAGCUUGCUAAGCUCACGAGAAAUAAAUGAUUGGUUUGAAUUCAGGUUAUUGAUGAUAUCUUGGUCUAUUUAUAAUAGGGUUAAUUAAGUUUUUGGUCCCUAUAAAUAUCUGCAGUUUUGUUUUUACUCCCUAUAAAAAUAAAUCACACUUUUUAGUCCCUACAAAAUUUUCUGCUAGUGUUUUUAGUCAUGGUAAAUUAAAAUUGGCUAAAGUGCACUUUUCGCCCCCUAUGUUUCAAAAUGUUGCGAUUUUGACCCCCUAUUAAAAAAAAUGGCAAUUUUGGCCCCCUUCAUCCCAAAAUUGCUGAGAAGACGCCACGUGUCCCAAAAAAGAGGCCAUAAUCGCAACUUUUUGUAAAGAUAAGGGGUCAAAAAGCAUAUUUCUAUUAUGUUAGGAGGUCAAAAAAGCAUAUUUCCCUAAACAUAAGGGGUCACUUUUGCCAUUUUUUUUAAUAGGGGGCCAAAAUUGCAACAUUUUGAAACUUAGAGGGCGAAAAGUGAAGUUUAGCCAUUAAAAUUUGUUUAAUUAUUAUGCUUAAACUUUUAAAUUUUUGAAAGAUUUUUUACAUACAUGUUCAUAACAUUGUAAGACACUCUUUUAUAAUUUUUUUUAGUUUCUUAACAUAUGUAAUGAAUUAAAUAUGAAUUUUUCUAAAAGCCAAAUUUUCAAGAUUAUAUUAAUGAAAAUUUGGACCUAAUAAUAAAAUUUUAAGUUACUAUUUUGCGGAGGAACUUUGUAUAAUAUUUUAAGUAAGUAUGUGAAAAAUAUGUUACAAAUUUAAAAUUUUGAGCAUAAUUAAGCAAAUUUUAAUUUUACACGGACUAAAAGUAUGUGUUGGUCCCUGUAAAAUUGAAAUUUGUUUAAUUAUACUUAAACUUUUAUAUUUUUAAAUGAUUUUUAGCAUAAAUGUUAAUAUAAUAAUCUCUUUUAUAAAAAAUUAAAUUUUUUUAUCAAAUGAAUUAAAUAUAAUUUUUUUUAAAACGCCAAAAAUUCAAGAUAAAACUAACGAAAAUUUGACCUAAAAAUAAAAUUUUGAACUAUUUUAUUGCGGCGGAACCUUUUAUAAUGUUUUAAACAAGUAUGUAAAAAAUCAUUAAAAAAUUUAAAAUUUUAAGCAUAAUUAAACAAAUUUUAAUUUAACAGGAACUAAAAACACUAACGAAAAAUUUUGUAGGGACUAAAAAGUUUGAUUGAUUUUUAUAGGGACUAAAAAUAAAAUUGCAGAUAUUGAUAGGGAUCAAAAACUUAAUAGAAUCAUAACAAAAAAUUUAGGAAGGUACUAUGUUAGUCCAUUUGCUUAGCGAGUAGGGAUGACAAUGGAUAUCCAAUAGGCAGGGUACUCUAGUAUCCAUCCCCAUACCCGCGUUUGUAAAAAAUGUCUGUACCCUCGUGAAAAACAACUUUAAUGCCCUUCCCCAUACCCAAUGGGCACCUAAGUGCCCAUACCCGCACCUAUUACCCGCAUUUUAACUAUGAAAAGACAAUAAAAAACCACCACAAUUGAAAUAAAACUAUGAUCCAAAAAAUUUCGAAUCAACUCAUAAAAUAGUAUGAAUCGUAGUAGCCAAAUAAAAAAAAAUUCAAAAUAUCCCUCGAAAAUUAAAAUAAAAACAUAUAUGCAGGUUGCGGGGCUGGGUAGUAUAGUGCCCAUACCCGUGUCCGUACCCUUUUAAGUUUACGGGUAAUUACCUGGACCCAUGCCUAUACCCACGAAAGCGGGUUUUACCCUACCCGUUGCGGGUUUUUUAUUCGGGUACCCAUCGGGCCUGGGUCCAAUUGCCAUCCCUAUUAGCGAGCAAGGAGAACAUUUUUGGGACCACAUUGAACUUUGAAAAUUCUUCAAUGUAUGCAUAUAUUUUGUGGCUGCUUUGGAAACUUGUUGAUUAUGCAUUCGAAAUUACAAUGUUAUUUCUUCUGUCUUUUUCAGAGCUUAUUUCAUGUAGGUCCUUGCUUGGGGAGAAACUAGUCGUCGUCGAAAUAGAAUGACUUGACUAUCAACUCUCUGAUCCAUAAAAAGUUAGACAUGUAAGAUGAACAAUCCUUCAUUAUGGCUCAAAUUAUUUAUGAAUUUAUUUAUGAAUUAAUAUUCAUAAAUAAAUUAUGGCUCAAAUUAUUUAUGGUGUCAUCAUAUCAUAGUAUAUAAAUCCUUCCUUAAAUAAAUAUCAUAGGAUAUAAUACUAAAAAGGUUAGGAAGUUACGAUUAUUAUUAUUUCAAAAGUUAUUCAAAAUUAUUUUAUUUUGCACAUGUUUCAUUUCUUCAUCUUUUAACUACCUUUUCUAUGAUUUUUUACGUGGGUUUUCGGUUGUGUUUGAUUAAUCCAGUCUUUACUCAAUUUAUUCUACUUAUAUUUAAUAAUAACAAUAGGUUAAUCGGUAUUCAUUUCAUUCCACCACUUUCCACCAAUCCAAACAUAGCUUAGAUAUUUUUAUUGUGUAACUAUGAAAAGUUCAAAACAAAAUUAAGUGUAGAAAUUCCAAACCCAUUUUUCCCCACUCCACACGUAUGUGAGCAAUUUGUAAAAGAGGUUGUUGUUUUGUUCCAUCAACUAAAAAUUGAGAUUGUAUAAAUGACAAAAUUUCUCUAGUUUUUUUCCUUCAUAUAAGACAAAAGAUUAUCUUUGUUAGUGAAUAUAUAUAUGUGUGUGUGUUUGUAUAACUCUUACAGGUUUAAGAUAAGAAGGAAGCAGGAAAAUACACCUUCCUUAAACACAAUUUUCUAUAUAUAUGUGUGUGUGUUUGUAUAAGAAUAUAAACAUCCAUUAGAGAAUCUCAUCUUUAUUUUGUUGUUGAAAUAAUGAUGGGAAACUAUACUAUUAUUACAUUCCAUGCAUUGUUGGUGUUGUCCUUCAUUGCUGGGUUCAACUCAAAAAUAAUUAAUGGCGAUACAAAGUGCAAAGAGAGGGAGAGACACGCACUCCUCACGUUCAAACAAGGCGUUCGAGAUGAUUAUGGCAUGUUGUCCGCAUGGAAGGACGGUCCAACUGCAGAUUGCUGCAAAUGGAAAGGAAUUCAAUGCAACAAUCAAACCGGUUAUGUUGAAAAGCUUGAUCUACACCAUUCACAUUAUUUGAGUGGUGAAAUCAAUCCUUCAAUAACUGAGUUGUAACAUCUAACAUAUCUUGACCUCAGUUAUUUGAAUACUAGUGGUCAAAUUCCAAAAUUUAUUGGAUCGUUCAGCAACUUACGAUACCUUGAUCUCUCAAACGGUGGUUAUGAGGGAAAGAUUCCUACUCAACUUGGGAAUCUCUCACAAUUGCAACACCUUAAUCUCAGUCUUAAUGAUCUUGUUGGUACAAUCCCUUUCCAACUCGGAAAUCUUUCGUUAUUGCAAUCUCUGAUGCUUGGUUACAAUUCUGAUCUUAGAAUGACCAACCAAAUUCAACGAAACUCUGAGUGGCUAUCAAGUCUCUCUUCUUUGAAAAGACUUAGCUUGAGUUUUGUUCAAAAUCUCAAUGAUUCUUCUCAUCACACCCUGCAAUUCCUAGGGAAGCUUAAAAGCCUUGAAGAGUUGUAUCUUACUGAAUGUAGCCUUUCUGAUGCCAACAUGUAUCCUUUCUAUGAAUCCAAUUUGAACUUUUCCACUUCUCUUACUGUCCUUCAUCUUGGUUGGAAUCAGUUAACAUCAUCGACGAUAUUCCACUGGGUGCUUAACUACAACUCUAAUCUUCAAGAGCUUCAACUUCAUGAUAACUUGUUAAAAGGUACCAUUCAUCAUGAUUUUGGCAACAAAAUGCAUUCACUUGUGAAUUUCUAUCUCUCUGGUAACAAUCUAGAAGGCAAUAUCCCAAAAUCCAUUGGGAAUAUAUGCACCUUGGAGAGAUUUGAAGCUUUUGAUAACCACUUGAGCGGAGAAAUUUCAGGUUCUAUCAUCCAUAAUAACUACUCUCAUUGCAUCGGAAAUGUAUCCUCGCUACAGGAGCUAUCCUUAUCGUAUAAUCAAAUUUCGGGCAUGUUACCUGACCUUUCAGUCCUAUCAUCUUUGAGGGAAUUGAUACUUGAUGGAAAUAAAUUAAUUGGAGAAAUACCCACGAGCAUCGGGUCGCUUACAGAGUUAGAGGUUUUGAGCCUGCGCAGAAACUCUUUUGAAGGCACCCUCUCUGAAUCCCAUUUCACUAACCUCUCAUCCUUGAGAGUGUUGUAUCUUUAUGACAAUAAACUAAUUGGAGAAAUACCCACGAGCAUCGGAUCACUUACGAAGUUGGAGAAUUUGAUCCUAAGCAGAAACUCUUUUGAUGGUGUCGUCUCUGAAUCUCAUUUCACAAACCUCUCAAAAUUGAAAGAACUACAGUUGUCUGAUAACUUAUUGUUUGUGAAGGUUAGUACUAAUUGGGUUCCUCCUUUUCAAUUACAAUUAUUGUUUCUAUCAUUAUGCAAUAUCAAUGCUACAUUUCCUAAUUGGAUCCUCACCCAAAAGGACUUAUUGGAGCUCGACAUUUCAAAAAACAAUAUCACCGGCAACAUUUCCAAUUUGAAACUCGAUUAUACCUACAAUCCUGAAAUAGAUUUGAGUUCAAACAAACUUGAAGGUUCCAUUCCCUCACUUUUAUUGCAAGCAGUAGCAUUGCAUCUCUCCAAUAAUAAAUUUUCAGAUAUAGUUUCCUUACUAUGCAGCAAAAUUAGACCUAACUAUUUGGGACUUUUGGAUGUAUCAAACAAUGAAUUAAAGGGUGAGUUGCCCGAUUGUUGGAAUAAUUUAACCUCAUUAUACUAUCUUGACCUUAGUAAUAACAAGUUGUCGGGAAAGAUUCCAUUCUCAAUGGGUAACGUUCCAAAUAUCGAAGCUUUAAUUUUAAGAAGUAAUAGUUUGAGUGGACAACUUCCUUCCUCCUUGAAAAAUUGCUCAAAAAAGUUGACUUUGUUGGAAAUUGGAGAAAAUAAGUUUCAUGGUCCAUUACCUUCAUGGAUUGGAGACAACUUACAUCAAUUAGUAAUCUUAAGCAUUCGAGUCAAUAACUUCAAUGGAAGUAUACCUUCAAAUCUUUGUUAUUUGAGAAAACUUCAUGUCUUGGAUCUGUCGCUAAAUAACUUAUCAGGAGGGAUUCCACCAUGUGUAAAUUUUCUUACUUCAUUAGCUGAUGACCCCAUGAACUCAACUUCAUCAACGGGUCAUUGGUAUAUACGCACUGUUAUACCCUGUUUUUGGACCUAAAAAUACUGGGCCCAAUUUCAUUUCAAACUUUGUCAAAUAUCAAAUUUCAACUGCACAGUUCAAAUUGUCUCUGCCUCGCAGUAUUUUCAAUCACAAUUUUACCUAUGUUUUUCUUGCAUAAAACCUUUCGAAAUGUCUUUACUUGUCUUGUAAGUCAUUCAAAAGUGUCUCUGAAUCAUUACAUUGCUUUUUCUACAGUUUAUUUCAAAAUUUGCAAAAAGUCGUACAAAAGGGUAUUUUGGUCAUUUCCUGCAGUGGAACCCACUUUAGUCCCUGUGUUUGUCUCUGAGUCUUUUCAACUUGUCUGUACAAAUCAUUGUUGAAUCUCUUUUUAAAAUCAUUUCAAAACUGCAUCUGAAUCAGGUUGUGUCAUUUUAGUCCCUAUGGGCAUUUUGGUCUUUUCCUGUCAUUUUUGUCCAAUUUACCAAUUUUAGUCCAAUUUUAUUUUAAUUGCAUUUUAGUCCCUGAACGAUUUCUAAAAUUGCAUUUUUUGUACUCAAACAGAUUCUAAAAUUGCAUUUUUGUCCAAUACUUUUUUUAAUUGCAUUUUUUUAGUCUUUUUUAAAUUGCAGAUUAGUCCUCAUAUUAACUUUUUUGCAGAUUAGUCCUUAAGUCCAAAACAGUCCAGGUGUCAAUUUUCCAUUGGGUCUCCAAUACACAUGGCAGGCUAUAAAUAGUAAAUGUGUCAGAUCCAUCAAAGGAAUCAGUCAGAAAAAUCAGAAUCAAUCACAAUCACUCUCAAACAGAAUCUUUUUCUCUCUCUCAUCCAUAACAGAAUCAAAACAGAAAAAACUCAGAAAAAAGAGGAAGAACACCAAGAACACCUCAUCACCAAAAUCAACAAAUCCGAACCGGAUUCACUCAAAACCACCGCGAAUCAUCACAUCAACACCAAAACGUACCGGAUUUUUGAGCAAAAACAACCACAAACGGAGUUGAAACGUGCGCGCACGGAGGGGGAAAAAGGGAGAUUCGAAGUUUUCCGAAGAUUUUUCUCCGUUCUACGACAGAGGUAACGCGUUUCUCCUUCCUUUCUAAGCCAUUUCCGCGCAUUUCUUGCUUGAAAUUGCAUGUGAAAAAGUUUGUUACGGAUAAAGAUUUGUAGAUCUAGGCUUUUGUGUUCGGAUUUUGAGAAUUUUGAGGCCGGAUUCGGACUCUACAGAGAAAAGGAUAUCUAGAUCCGUAGUUUUUUUUGCGAAAAGUGUGAAAAAGAUUUUCAAGGCAAAAGCGUAGAUCUAGUCCGAAUCGCUCCGUUCUCGCUAAAACUAACGCCGAAUUUGUAUAGAGGAGGUGGUGACGGAACUUUUGAUGUAAAAAUUUCGAAAAAGAAAAAACGCUCCGACGCGGCGGCGCUACGGCCGGCCACCGCGCCGGAGCAACUCCGGCCACCACCACCACUUAGCACUCGCCGGCGGCGAGUUUCUAGAGAGAAGGGAGAGCAUUUUGUGAUUUUGAGUUUUAGAGAGAGAAGAGAAGAGGUUUAUGUGUUUUUUUGUGUGAAAAUUCCUUUAUAUACUCCCUUCGUUCCCACGCGCGCGCGUGCAUGUUUCUGUGGUGUUCCCUCGUAUUGUGAACCAUCAGAUCUGGAUCGUUCCAAGAUCUGAUGGCUGCUGUGUGUUUGAUUUUGAAUCCUGUGUGAUCUUCUGUGUGAAAUAUGGUAUAUCUUCUGUUUGAACCGUUAGAUCGUUGAUCUAACGGUCAUUGUGCUUCCUGCAAUUUUACACUAUCUUUUGUGCUUUUUUUUGGACCCUUGGAUCUUUGAUCCAGUGGCUGUGAUGUGAUCUUGGGAGUUAGAUCUGGACCUCUGGAUUCAUCCAGCGGUCCAGAUUAAAUCCUGCUGAGCCUCUUUUUAAUUGCCUUUUAAUUGUGUUUUAAAUACUUUUUUUUACAAUUUCUUGGUGUUCUAUGCUUCUAAAAAAUUUCUAAAAAUAUUUCCCUAUCAUUUUAAUUUUUCCUCUAAGUGUUAGAAUUUAUUUGCUUAUUUUUGCAUUUAUUUUCUUUAACUUUGUUCUUUUAAUUCUUGCUCAUUAAAUUCCAUAUAUGUUCUUGAUGCAUUUUUUACAUAUUAUGAUAUUUUUGCAUGUGAAAUAAUGUGUGAAAAUAUCUCUAGGAAUAUGAUAUAAUGCUUUGCUUGUUUGUACUCUUAUGAUCCUCACAUGCUAGCUUAAAUUCAAACCUUUCAAAAAAUGGCUAUAAUGAGGGAAUUAUAGGUCAUAUGCAUGUAUGAGUGUUAUACCUAAAUUCUAGGUGUAUUUUUACUACUUUGUUUCAUUGCAUUAUUUUCUUUCUCUUGUGCUAUUCAAUUCAACAUUGCUUGCAUUAUUUUUACUACUUUGUUUCGUUGCAUUAUUUUCUUUCUCUUGUGCUAUUCAAUUCUAUAUUGCUUGCAUUUUUUUAUUAUCAUUUUGUACUUGUGUUACUAACUCUUAUGCUUCAUAUUUCACUCAUUCCAUAAGCACCUAAUCUUUGUACCCUCAUUGCUCCUAGUUUAGGUUUUCUUUUUGUAUUCAUUUCUAUGCCAUUUGGUUUGUAAUAAAUUUAGUUAGUUUAGUUUAGUUUACAUUCUUGCAAGACCAUAGAAUGUAUCUAGGACUCAAUGUAAAGGACUAUGGACACUAUAAGUGAUGUACACCGACACAAGCACCGACACAUGCACACACCCCACAUGGAUAUUCUAGAUGCAUGAUUAGGGAAUGUAUGUUUAGAUGUAUGCUUAGGUUUUAUAAUGCUUAGACAAAAAAUCAUUUUUUCCAAAAAUGUGAAUAAUCUCACUUGAAAACCUUUUUCCAAAAAAGUAGGAGUCAAAACUCCUCAUUUUCCUUUUAUUUUCUUAAGUAAAAAUCUUAAUGAAUUUUAAUCAUACUUAGACUUCAUUUUGCAAAAUAACUAACUCCACCUCACUUUUUUUUUCCAAAUCUCAUGCCCUUGAGGCCUCUCAUCUCUAUUCUUCAAAAUCUCUUUUUCAAACUUAAAAUCAACCAACAAAAACAAAAACGAUUUUUGAGAAUGAACUACGAUCGGUUUUGAUCCCUUAAAAGGGUACGUAGGCAAUGAGUCAAAACUCCUCCAAGCCGAAAUAAAAAUCAAAUUCUACUCCUUCUCACCCCCGUUCUUAAUUAAUCACACCUUCUUUUUUUACAAAUAAGCAAUAAAACUAAAGCAUAGAAAUAAACUUAGGAAAGCGGUUCUUAUGGAAUACCAUAAUCGCUCCGGGUGCCUAACACCUUCCCGUAGCGAAAACGACCCCCGAAUUCGGAAACUCAAGGGUUUUUCUCCUUUUACCCUUCCCAAGAAAAAAGAGAGAUAUCAACGGUCAAAAGGUUCAAGUCCAAUUAAUGGCUUGGCACCCAAAAACCAUGAUAACAGAAAUGGCGACUUCACUGGGGAGUUUCUUAAGCGGGUCACGACUAGUUUUCCAUAGUUUAUGUUUAUGCUUUGUUUUAUUGCUUACAUAUUUGAAUACUUGUUUAUUUUUCAUUUGACGUGUGGGGUGAGAAUAUCAAAAGUCCUAUACCCGGACUGAGUGAACUUAUGUUUAGGUAGAGAUAUAAUCGACAAUUCGAUCCGGGGGUUGCCUCGUGUAUUGGAUUAUGCGACCAAUCUCACAUAGCUGAGGCAUUUUGGAGGCGAUGUUCUUUUACGGUUUAACUGAGUCACAAAUAUUUUUGAUCUUGCAUAUACAUGUUUUGCUACUACCACUGUUGAUAUACAUCAUAUAUGUAUAGCUAAUGCAUUUCUACUAUUUGUAUUGCUUUGCUCAUCGAUUUUGGAUAUAUCAGCUAUAAUACACCAUAUCAAUCUCAUAACAUCACCUUUGUUUGCACAGUUAAGUUAAUCUAUGUAUUUCACUUGUCCUGAUUAAUGAUUAGGUGCUUGAUUUAUCUUAUAUCAUGACCAUUUAUUUGCUGCCCCCAUAUGCAAUUUAUUCCCUGGAAAUGGCAAUGCUUUGAUGUUGUUUCCAAGAACUAAAAGUAAUUUUUGUUUUUGCAGGAUCUCCUAUUGGUACCGGACAAGAUGAGUACAUCUUUUGCUGUUUUAGAAUAAUGUAGUUUGGUUAUCAGUGUGCCGUUUGGUUAUGGGUAGGAUGAAUGCCUAUUCUGGGUGUGUACGAAAUAAAAUGAAUUACAUUUUGUUAAAACUUUCUUGUAAUAAAGUUUGAUUGUGUUUUGGUAAGCUUUCAUGUUUGGUAGUUUUGGUAUGAAAAUGUAAUCUUUUAUAUGCUAUCUGGCUUUUUGUCAAUAGAAAACUAGUUCAUUUCAUCAUAAAUCAAAGAGUCAAUACAAGACGGAAUGUCAUGAAUAAGAGAGCUGACAUUGUAUAUGACCGACCACCUUUGCAAGGAUAUGAGCAACCAUAUUAACAUCUCUCUCAGAAAACUCGACAUAGUAGUCGUUACAAAAGAAGAUUAAAUAGCCCUACAGCUAGCUAUGAUGGAUUCUAGUUCCGUGUUAUCUUGCAUUGAUGAAUUAAAGGAAUACACCACACCUUUUGCAUCCAAUGUGAAAACGAUUUGCAUAAACUCCGUAUUCCACAUCCACUCAUAUGCUGAUAAUAAACGCAAAGUUUCGCCAUUAUUCACUUCCAACAUUGGUUGGAACCACGAAGUUUUGGCUUAGAUAAACAUGCCAAGUCCAUAUCUCAAACCAAUGCCAUUCCCGUCUCUUUUAUUUGACUCCGAAAACGAAGCAUCAUUGCUGCUUUUUAUGAAGUUAUGAGGAGGACGAUGCCACGGUGGACUGUCAUGGGUAUGGUGCUGUUUUGAGGCAGCCUGCAUUCGCUUAGCAAAUAAUUCCCUCUGUAAAUAAUUUCUUUCGACCUCUUAUUCUUAUUCUCCUAAAUGGUAAAGUUGCAACUCCUCCACCAACUCCAAAUGGUGAUUGAAAGCACACAUUUUUCCUCUUUUGACAAACCGCCCAGCACGCCAAAACUUUUCUGGCCAAUUUUCCCGCUCUGCAUCUGAACUCGUGUAAUUUGCGGCCACGAAUUUAGAUUGCACCAGGUCUGCCUGCUUUUAUUGCAGAACAUCAACACAUGUUCCGCCCUCUCCAGAUCAGCCAUACAACAUGGUCUGCGGGCAAUUGGCGCCUACUUGAACACUUUUAUCCCAUAAUCAUACACGAGUUGGAAGACAAUUUCGUUCUAAUCGGAAAAAAUAAUUUCUUUACCUUGGGAGGCACCUGCAUCUUCUACAUCAGCUGCCAAUCGCCCUCAAGUUGCCGAUCUGCAUUAUUUAUAAUUUCACUAAGACAAAACCUGUGAGCUGACUGUUUCCAUGUCUUUCCAGCCUCCAAAUACGCUCGUCCGGCCCCACAAAGAGGAAAAGGGGUACAGCUGAACUGCUGAAGCACAUCUAAUUUCCACUUUUUUAUCCAUUCGGCAGCAAAUCAUGGACGGUAAAUUGCUGAUUCGGUACAAUGUGCAUCAAUGGUUGUGACACGCUCUUGUUUACUAACCAAUUGUCAUGAAAUACCCGGACGUUCUCCCCACUACCAACCUUCCAUUUUUUACCAAACUUCACAAUUGUAAGAGCUUAUUGAAUGCUCUUGUUUCGUAAGAUAAGUUUAACAAAAUUCUCUUCAAAACACAUUAGUUCAAGUGAUUUAUGUUGGGUGUGGCCGUGUGGGUCACUGCUGCUGAGUGAUAUAGAUAUUAUGAAUAGAAUUUUAGUCUUGGGAUUUCUUUCUAGCUAAUAUAUUUCUACAAUUUUACAACCAUUGUUGAUAUUCGUAUAACUAAAAUUUUAAGCUGAACCAGAUUCUUGUGCCGCAAGCAACCAAUCAUUGAAGCAAACUCGGUUGCGAACGGAUUGUAUAAUUGGUCAAAAUCGUCUACUUUUUUGAAUUUGGUUAAAAUUAAAACUAAAGCAUUUCUAUAAUUUGUAUCUUAUUUAAUCUUGUUAAAAAAAAUAAAUCAUCAAAGUUAAACUUGUCUACCAUUAUCAUCCAAAUUUUGGAAUUAUUGUUUAAGUAGAAGUCUUGGAAGAAGAACGCACCGGCAGCACAUUAUAUGAAUUUUAAAUUAUACCUUACAAGAAUAAUCAAAUUAUAAAAAAUAAGCACCAAACAAAUAAAUUAAUUAAUUAAUGUUGAUUACACUCUUGAUAAUUAAGUAGCAGAUGUAAAUUAACAUUGCAUGACUACAAGCGUGAGGGAUAAUAGUUAACAGGGAAAUAAGAAACUAUAAUUGGAGCUCCCUUUGAUUUUUCCUUCCUCUUUGAUUUCUCUUGACAUGAAUUUUCAGCAUUAUCAGAAACUUGAGAAGAUGAGUUUGAAGAAGGACCAAAACAAUUGAAGAAUGAUGAAAUCAAAGCCAUCAAAAAGUGAUUUAAUUUGCACUAUGUAGCUAAAGGGGCAAUGAAAUGAAGAUUUAG